AGCGACACACCCUUCCACUAGACUAUCCCCCUUUUCUCUCUGAAUUUUUAGAGACCAGUCCCGAACCACGGCAUUCUUCUCGGUUAUUUGUGUAAUUGACUCCUCCAUCAGAAACCCAUUUUUUUUGGCAACCAACUUUUAAUCAACACCUUCCUAAUAUGAUGCCUAUGAUGCAUGAUGAAAAUAAAAGUAAAAACAAAUAAACUUGGUUAGUAAACACAACAAAUAUAAUUUGAAAAACAAAUUAAACUACCCAAUCCAAUUAUUUUGCAUAAACAGCGUAAAUGAAAGGCAAAACGCAUUUUCCCCGUGUACUUAUUUUAAUGACUAUAAGCGGACAGAGGUUCAGCAUGGCUCUAAUUGGAUAGCUCGUAUGGUUCACUAUAUGCGGUUUUGGUUCUAGGUGGGUACUCGAAUCGUCUGCACUGUCAUCUACUAAGAUUAGUACAGAGCCUCGGUCAUGGCCCAUCAUAGGCUUACGAUGAUCAAUUCGAGGGAUUACAUUUACUUAUGCCUAUGCGGAGGGACAAGUUAACUCACGAAAGCAUAAGUCAUAUGUAACCCGAAAGUAUUCACUAGCCUGUGCGGAGGAACGAGUUAACUCACGAAGGCGUAGCGUUUACUUUCUCUUAACAGGGACGAAGCCCGGGUAUAGAGCUCAUGUUAUGCAAAAAAAAAAAUGCAAGUGCACGGUGUGUGGGGAGAAACUUGUAAACCUUUACGUUUUAUUUAGAAAAAACUAAACCAAAAAUAAAAUCGCAAAAAUUUAAAGCUGAAAAACAACCUGAUAAAACAAAUUAGAAUAUGUACAACACAAUGCAAAUGCAUGAUUUUUUUUUAAAAACAAAAAAUUUAAGGAUCACGACUAAAUGUUAAUUUGAACAAGAAAUUUUGAAAAUUUUGACAACACGCGUUUAACAUUAGACUCGACUCUCGAAAAAAAAAAAAGUCCCCAGUGGAGUCGCCAGCUGUAGCAACCUAAAAAUUUGGCAAUAGGCGCUAGUUGAAAUGAUUAUUGAAAAAUUAAAGUUUCAAAUUUUAUUUACAAAAGAGGAGUCGCCACCGAUCUUUUUUAGGUAUGAUCGGACACCAAAUAAAAUCCUUUUUUAGAAGAAUUUUUUUUUAAACUUUUCUAAAAAAGAGACAAUUUUAGGUCCACGUCAAAAUCCAGAAAAAAUUAGGGUCCGGGAGUCGGUUACGCGCGAGGAAGGUAUUAGCACCCUCGCGACGCCCAAAAUUGGUAUCUCGUUAAAUGCAUGUUGUCCUAAUUUUCAAUAAUACGAGUUCCAUUUAAUAUUUAGUCGUGAUCCGAUUGAAAUACGAGAACCCUUUUUUUUUUAAAAAAAACACGAGAAUUUUGAAGCGCAGUAUUUCUUUUUUAAAACGAAAGUUUUUUUUUUAAAACACGAGAAUUUUUGAAAACACGAGAAUUUGUAAACACGAAAAUUUUAGAAACACGAAAAUUUUUAGAAAAAACGAAAUUUUCUUAAAACACGACUUUUUUUUUUGAAACACGGGAAUUUUUAAAACAGGGAAAUUUUAGAAACACGAAAAUUUUUAAAACACGACAUUUUUUUGAAACACGAUUUAAAAAACAAAAAUUGAAAUGCGAGAAUAUUUUGAAACACGAAUUUUUUUUUAAACGCGAGAAUUUUUGAAAACAUGGAAACUUUGAAACACUGGAGUUUUUGAAAACACGAGAAUUUGUGAAACAUGAAAAUUUGUGAAAACACGUAAAAUUUUUUUUAAACACGAAAAUUUUUGAAACGCCAGAAUUUCUGAAAACACAAAGAUUUUUGAAAACACGAAAAUUUUUGAAAACACGAAAACACAAAAUUUUGUCGAAUACUGAAUUUUUUUGAAAACACAAUAAUACCAAAAAUAUUCACGAAAUUUUUUUUUAUUUUUUUUAUUUUUUUUAUUUUUUAUUUUUUUAUUUUUUUUGAAACACGAGAUUUUUUUUGAAAACACGAAAACACGAAUUUUUGAAACACGGAAAUUUUUGAAAACACGAUUUUUUUAGAAAGAAACACGAAUGUAUUUUUUUCGAAACACGGGAAAUUUUAUUAUUAUUAUUUUUGAAACACGAGAAAUUUUGAAGACAUGAAUUUUUUUUUAAAAAAACGAUUUUUCUUUAAAAAUACGGUAUUUAACACAAAUCGAUGAUAUUCACCCCGAUAUGGCGAUGAAACUAUCGAAUUAGUGUUAAAUUAAUUCAAUUUAAUAUUUAAUCGGGAUUCUAAUAAAACAAGAGGAUUUUUAUUGAAAUACGAGAAAUUUUGAAUAUUUUCAAUUUUUUAUAAGGGCGUCCCGUAUUUAACACGAGCCAUCGAUAUUCAUCCAACAUAGCGAUGAAUUCGAUAAUUCGAUGCUAAAUCAGUUCGUUGCCUUAUGCAUUAAAAUAUUUAUCAUUAUUAUUAUUUAAAAAAAUAUGUAAUUAAAAUGACAUAAUAAUAUCUAUGAAAAACUAUUUUUAAACAUACUAUUUUAAAUUAAAUAAAAUACCAUUUAAAUACAUUAAACAAAAUAAAAUAGAUUAAAAAGAAAAAAAGAAGAAAAAAAUUCACCCAAAAGACCAAAGUCUUGGAGGACAAGCCCUUUUUCUUUUUUUGCUGCAAAUUGAGGCUUAGUGGGCCGUCAGUGGUGUUGGGCCUGCGCUGGGUCGGGUCCACUGGUGGUGGGCUGCUGGUGGCCUACCAAAAAAUGGGUUUUAUUUUUUCUUUAUUUUAUCUUUUUCUCUCUUUUUCCUUUCAUCUUUCUGUUUCUUCUCUUCUUUUUUUUUUUUCAGUUACCCUUUUUUCUUCUUUUGCUUGCUGUUUUUUUCUGUCUUUGUCUGCUUAUUUGUGGAGGUGCGACGGUGGUGGGAGUGUAAGGGCGCGCCGGCGAGCACGGUAGCGGCGAAGGAGCGGCGGAUUUUUUGAAGUUAUUUUGUUUUUUUUUUUUUUGCUACUCUUUUGUUUGCUUUGCUUUUCUUUUUGGUUGCUUGCGACUUUUCAGGUGGUGGGGGCAAGGGGACGACAACGGUGGCGGUGGUUGAACGACGGUGGUGAGGGCUUUUGCUUGCUGCUGCUUGAUUUUUUUCUCUCUUUUUUUGCUUUUUGGUUGCCGAAAAUAAAGAACCCCCCUUUCCCUUUCCUUCAAUUUUCUUUUAAAUGCUUCAAUUUUUGUCGUUUUCCUUCUUGUUUUCAGGUGGUGGGUGAAGAAGGAGCAGCCACCCAUGUUUAUGGCCUGAAAAUCGGGGAAGUGGGUGCCCCAAAUCACGUAACUUGUCUGAAGGACCAAAUCACAAAUGCAGCAAAACUUCUGGGGCUAAACGUAAUUUUUAGAAAAUUUAGGAUUAAAAUGAAAUUUAAUGAAAGUUUAAGGGUCUAAGUGAAAUUUAAAGAAAGUUUAAGGGUCAAAAUGAAAUUUAGGAAAAGUUUAGGGGUCAAAAUGCAAUUUUUAUUUUUUAAUUUUUUUUUUGAAAUUUUGAAAAUUAAAUACAAACUCUAGUCGGACAAAAAUUUAGUGCUUACAAUACCAACAUGCGUUGACUUGCAUUUUUAGGGUAUUUUGAGGUCGUUUUCUAAUUUUAAGCCCUAAGUAUUGUAGUAAUAUGAAGGGCAAUUUAAUCUUUGAGUUAUUUUGUAAUGACCCAAAAUUCACGGGCACCGAAAAAGUGCAAUAUCUGGCCUCCGACUUGGUACAUCGAGUUCAUAAGUAAUUAUUAGAAAUAUUUAUGAGUCUGGUUAUGUGUCUAAUUAGGUUUUAAUUAAGUGAAUUUAGCUUAAUUAAGAGUAAUUAGUAAAAAUGACUAAAUUGAAUAAGGAUAAAAGUUUAAUUGUAGAUUAAAGAAAACUCAAAUAAGCUAAAUAGGCAAUUAAAAUAUUAGAUAUUUAUUAUUAAUAUUAUUAUUUGAUAUUAUAUUAUUAAAUAAGUUAAAUAAUGACAAAUGUAUGGUGAUGAAACCAUACAUUUGUAAUAAAUAGAUAUAUGCACACUUGUUAAAUAAUUAUAUAUUACUUAUUAUCAAAGUAAAAGAUAUUUAUUAUUAUAUCAUAAUAAUUAAACUAAAUGAAAUAAAAUAAUAAGAAACAAAGUAUAGAAAAGAGAAAGGCAACAAAAGCUUAAACGAAAAAGGAAGGGAGAAAAGGGAAAGAAAAAAAAAAAAGGAGAAACUAAGGUUUUAAAGCUUGGAGUUUAAUUUGGUAAGUCAAUUAAGUCCUUUUCUUUUAAUUUUGAUGUUUUAGAAGCUUUAGAAUAAAAUUUUGUUGAAAUUAAGUUUAAAUUUUGGAAGUUCUUGGUUUUUUGGACAUGAGUCAUGAUGAACAAAAUGAUGAAUUAGGGGUUUAAUGGAAUGAAUUUCAAGUUAGAAUUUAUAGGAAGUAAAUUGUAAAAGAAGCUAUAAGUUUUGUGUUAGAGGGACUGAAUUGAAAGAAACUUGAAAUUAGGGUUUUAAUAUAAACAUUGGAUAGUUAAGUUGAAUAUGACGAGAUUAAGUAGAAAUGAAGUGUGAAUUGUGUUAGAAAGUAAAUGAGUUAAUUAGGACCAAAAUGAAAAUAGGGUAUAAAUUGAAUAGAAAUUGAAUAAUUUAUUGUAAAUUGGUAUUGUAUUAAUAGUAUGAAUUAUUUUAAUUUUUGUAGCUAGCAAAGAACCCGAGGCAUCGACACAGAAAGGAAAAGAAAAGAUCAUCAAGGAGUAGACAUGAGAAUUACGAUUUGUAUUACUAUAAGUCAAAUUAUUUAUUAUCAAAUAUUUGUUAAAUUAUGUAGUUGGUAAGUGAAUUAUGAGGUAAGUGUCAUUGUUGAAUUGAAUAGAAAUUGAGUUGAAUAAUAAUUAUGUAUUGGUAUUGAAUAAUGAUAAUUAUGUAUUGGUAUUGAAUUGUGAUUGAAUAAUUGAAUUGAAAAUGAGUUUGGAAUUGAAAAUGAAAUUAAAUUGAAAAAUGAUUUGGAUACCCUAUUAACUAGUCGGGCUGAGUCGGAUAUAAUUUUUAUGCCAUAGGAUUCGAAGAGUAUGAGAUUUCUCGGCUUUGCCGAUCAGGCACUAUAUGUGUUAUAUUAGAUACCAUGUGUGUUGUAUCAGGCACUUUAUGUGUCGUAUUACUGCUUCUAAUAAAUUGAUCAGGUACUGAGUAUCGUUUUAGACGCAAUGUGCCGUACUGGUGUGUUUGGUUGGAUCCGUGUAUCCACCAAAGUCCUAGUUAUGUUAAUAGGGGUAAAUAAAUGGAAGAAUGAAUUGAACAAUUGAGUUAUUGAAGAGAUGAGAAAGUUGAAUCUGUAAAUCGAAUUUGAGAAAUGUAUUUGAGACUGAAAAAUGAAAGACAUAAACCGAAGGUUCAUGAGAUAAUUGAUUUCAAUUUGAUGAUAUAUGAUAUCAAUUGACAAAAUUGUGACUAUCGUGAUUUGAAGCUAAUGAAUGAAUUAAUGCAUGUUAAGCAAAUUGUUAUAUGUUUAUUACCUAUAUGUUUAUAAAUAUUUAUUGUUAUUGUAGUUUGAAUUAUGGUAAUACCACUGAGUAUAGGUAUACUCAGUGUAUGGUUGUUUCCAUGCGCAGGUCAGUAGAAGUCAAAGGACACAGUUUAACAUCCAACUCAAUUUUCGACAUCAGCACAAAAUUUGGUGAUGAAUUCUUCUUUUGGUAAAACUAGCAUGUACUAGGUGUUGUAAAUAUUACUUGAAUAUGUUAUAUAAUUUUUUGUUGUAAAGAAUGAUAUAUGGUGUUUUGGUAUCAAACUUGAAAUGGAAAUUGAAUGAAGUUUUUUUUAGCAAAUUCUAUAUGGUAGUAAAAAUGUUAUUUAGUCAAGUUGAUAAGUUAACGUUUAAGCAUGAUAUGGGAAUGUUAAGUGUGUAAAUGUAUUGGUUGAAACAUUGGUUUUGGAUUGGGUUUGAUUUAUAAUUUGCAGGGAGGUUAGGUUGCUAUAAAAGGGCUUAUAUUGAGUCCACACAGCCUAGCACACGGGCGUAUGGCCAGACCGUGUGAGACACACGGCUAGCACAUGGGCAUGUGAACUAGCCGUGUGUCUCCUGCAUCUUAAAAUUUGAAAUCAGAAUAGCACACGGAUAGAGCACAUGGGCGUGUGACUUAGCCGUGUGAAGGACAUGGCUUUAAGCAUGGGCGUGUACCAAGGCCGUGUGAAAACUUUACUUUGUAACCUUAAGUCAGAUUAGCACACGGCCUAAGCACACAGGCGUGUGGCUUGGCCGUUUGAACCUAGUUCUUCAUGCUUAUGAAGUCAGAAAGCAACACAUGUAAGGGACAUAAGCGUGUCCUAGAAUACCUUGGCCGUGUGAGCCUUACGGCUCAACAACACGGGCAUGUCAUGGAGUUACACUCUAACCCACACGGGAGUAUGAUCCCUACACCUAGGAAAAUUUUGAAAUUUCAUGAAAAAAAUUUUCGGAGCAUUCAAACAAGUCCCGAUCCACUGCUAAUGUAUAUUUUGGGCCUCGAAGGUUCAUUAGUGGGACUAUAUGAUUAAAUUAUAAAUAUGUAUGUUAUUUAUUUUUGAAUUAAUUGUAAAUUGUCUAAUAUGUCCAAUAAUGCCUCAUAACCCUGUUUCGACGACAGUUUGGGGUUAGGGGGUGUUACAUAUUUCCUAUGUAAACAACAAUUUAUUUUUCAAUUAAGGGGUAGAGAAUUAGAGAUGAGUAGUCAGUAGAUUUUAUAUUAGAAUUUUUCUCUCAGAAAUUUUCUUAGAUUAGGUUUCAGUUUUAUCUUUUCACUUUUUAUUUUUAUCUCUUAUUUCACUUGGUGUGUGGAGUUCCUAUUUUUGAUUAAUCUUUGCGAUUGGAGACGAUUUAAGAACUUUUCAAUCAUCUGAUUUAUCAAUGAGAAUUUUUUCCACUCAUUCUUAUUUUAUAUUUUGUUCGUUAUUUAUUUAAUGGAAUGUUUGUAUGAAAAUAAGAAUGAGUUAUGUGCUUUCAUGGAUUUGUAUAAAUUAGUUGAUUCAUCAAUUAUUUGAUUCAGUAUUAUUCCUAUUCAAUCGGGUAUUUAUUUAAUUUUGCCAAACUAUUAAGAAUACUAGAAUUGACGUCUCUAAUAAAAUAUGUAGACAAAGGAAACCGAUAGGAGAAUUUUUCGUGUAUUUUUUGGUAAAUGUGUGCCAAGCCGUGAGACCGAAAGCAAAGUUGUAUUCCUAAGUGAGACCGAAAGGGUAGCUUAGGUGAUAAUCUUUAACUAGGAAGAGACCGAGAGGGUAUUCCUAAGUAAGAGUAGUAAAUAAUUCAAUCGAGUUAGGGUAUUAACUUAAUUAAAAAUUAAUUAAUCAAUUUAUCUUAGAUUAACGAAAUUGCAUGGUUGAAACAAGAAAUAGGAAAUUCCUUAAUUCCUAGUAGAUAUUAAGUUUAUAAUUAGUUUUAUCUCAAUUCGAAUUUUGUCUGCACUACUAAUUUAUGACUCGAUUAGAUUAAUACUUGCUUUUAAAUGAUUGAUUUAAUAACAAAAUAUUCUAAUAUUUGGCAAUCCCUUAGGUUCAAUCCUCGAAAUACUCUCGUAUUUCAUUUUAAAUUUCUAUAUUAUAAUUUGACAUUGUACACUUGCAGUUAAAAAACUGCUUUUAAUUUUUUUUAUAAAUUGUUUGUUUUCUGCGCACGCGGUCAAAUUGUUGGCAUCGUUGUUGGGGAUUGUAAUAGUGUAAAUUUAUUAUUAAAUUAGUUGUUCUUAGAAAAGAAAUUUCAAUUGAAAGAUAAGCAAGUUAGAUAGUUCUUUACUCUUCUUGUAUGGUUAUUUUCAUUUUCAUUUUUUGUUUUUGUUAUUAUGUUUAUUUACUUUGCUGGAAAUUUUGACUCAACUAUGUAUAACGAUGGAUAUAAAUGGAAAGGUGAUCAAUACGAAUAUGAUGAGAGGUCGAGUUGGGCAAACAAAGAUUUGACGAACUAGUGGAGUAAUGGUGGUGAGUAUGGAGGGCAUGAGUAUUUAUAUGAACAUUCUUAUAAUUUGUAUGGAUAUGCAACUGAGAGGGAUAGCUAGAAUAGAGGAUGGUCCACCAAUUAUUCGACUUAUGAUCCCCAACCCCAAUGUUACUAUCCAGAUUGGGGUGAGGAUUAGAAUAAAUAUAAACAGGACCUAUCACUUGUUGCUUGUGUUAGUGCAUUAGAGGAUAACAUGUCUUCAUGCAAAGUUUCCAUGUCCUCUAUUUCCAAACAGAUGGAAUAGUUGUUGGAACUUGUCAAACGACGAUUCGAAGUGGACACUCCAAAAGAAGAGGUUGAGCAUGAUGUUUCUGAAUCUGAAGAUGAAUGUCACUUUAUUAUUGUUAAGCGUGAUAAGUUGGAUGUUCAACAAGACUUUGGAAUUGGAGACCAUAAUUAAAACUUGAAUGCGGAAGAAAGUGUCUCUAGUUCAAUUGACAUAGGAUUAGGAGUAGGAGUAGAUGUAGAGUUAGAUGCUGAAGAGAAGCUUAAACCAAAACCGAGGUUGCAACAUGAGGAUGUGAAGUCGUGACUACAUGAUAUGAUGUCGCAAGAAGGGAAACAAAGACAAAAUCAAGGCAUCCAAGUCAGUAUGUCAUGUUGUGAUGAGGUAAGUCUUGACGUUGCGAUGAGCUACCUUGAAGUCACGAUAACACUAAUUGAGGUCGCGACGAGCUCUAUUGUACCAGCCCUAGUAAUUGAAAUCUGGAUACAACGUCACAAUGAGUAAGGUUUUAAUGUCACGAUGGGGUGACAAAUUUAAAACUCUAUCAUCCCUAAGCCUGCAUUUAAAUAGUUUCUUAUGUCUUCUAAACUCUUCUCUCACCGUUUUUGCUCUCCACAUCAUCAGCAUCUUUUCUUUUUUCUAUCUUUUUAUUUUUAUUUGUUGUUUUAGUUUUAGUUUUACAUUAUUUUAGUUUGAUGUUAUUUUGUGUAGUGUUUUAUUUUUUAGGGAUUUUUCUGUUCGUUUGGAGCACACGUUGACCUCGAUGCCAAUGUGAUACCGAGGUUUUGGCCUUUUUAGAGGAAUUUUCUUGUUUCCACUUAUUAUAACGCCCUAAUUUAUUUAACUUUGUUUUUAUGAAUUUUUUCAUAAAUAAAUAUUUAUUUUAGUGGUUAAGUGUUUGUAUGUUUGAGGUCUUGGGUUCAAGUCCUAUUUUUAGAAAAUUAUGCUAUUUUUUAUCCUAGCCUUAUUUCUAGUGGUUUGACUUAUGCAAUACUUUCGGCCAACUCAUAUUAGAAUGAGCAUGUUGGUUCAAGUGGUAAAGUGUUAGCUUGUCUUAGGGUCUUGUGUUUGAACGAAGCAUGUUAAUUUUUACUUUUGUGAGUAUGUUCCGGUUGUGUUUUAAAAGUUUGGUGAGAUUAAAAAUCUGUGGUAGUUAGAUGAGAUUAGUGGGUAGGAUUCUGUGAGAUUGUGUUGUUAGUGGGGGAGUUGUUUGGGAGUUUUAUUUUUUUAAUUUUAAUUAAUUAAUUUUGUUUAAUUUUAAUUUUGUUUUCCAAAAAUAGUCCCCUCUGGAUUUUACGUCACUUUUUUGUCUUUUUUCUCUUCUAUGUACCAUUUUCUUCUUUUUCCCCUCUUUUGAGUUUCAAAUCAAAAUUGUGUGUUACCUUUGUGGAUCGACGUCACUAUUUCAAUUCAUCAUCUUUUUUUAUGCAACUUUCAAUUGCGUUUGUUUCAGUAAGUUUUGUAUAGGUGUGGUUUUAUUGUUUCUUGGCUAGUGAUUAAUGGGGUUUUUUGUUUAAUUCUUGGUUAGGGGAAAGGCAAGAAGCAAUUGGUGCUCUUCCAACAAAUUGAGCGUUAGGUGUUUUCUGUUCGUUGUUGGUAAGUGUGCGAAUGCAUUGAAUGUUGUUGUGUGGCUUUGUUUUUGAAUAAUUUGUAUUUGAGUUUCAUAAAUGUUUACUAAAAUUGGGUGUUGGGAUACUGUUUUUAGUGUUGGUGGUCUUGAAGUUGAUUUUGCAUCAGAAUAGAACCAGGUAUGUAACAAAAACGCGAGAAAACGACGGUUGUUGAAAGCAAAAAAUCUGGCCUAUCGACGACACACGGGCAUGUGCCCCGCCAUGUGGUAGGCCAUGUGCGACACACAGUCGUGUGGCGGGUUGGGCGUGUGGGCCAUACAGGUGUAUGGGCCUAUAUGGGCAUAUAGGCCCAAAAUUCAGAAUUUUCCCUAAUGUUGCACACGUCAAUUCAGUUGACAGUGGGCCUUCUGUUGAGUCAGUAUAAGCAAAAAAAAAACCCUAAAGCAUGAUAUUUUCUACUCUGUUAGAUUGGUAUGAGUACUAUGAAAUACAAUAUGUAUGAUUUGAUUAUUAUGUAUAACCAUGUGUAGUGUUUGUAAACGAGUAUGUGUGACAUGUUAAUUCUAAUAUAUGUGUUACUGUCUGUAUAUAGUAUUGGGGCGAGAUAUGCUUAAGUGGAGGAAGUAUUUUGUAUGAGGUGACAUCUCGACAAUAUUCUGGCAGCAUGGCUGCGAUUAUUCUGAUAAGUUUCGUACGGACACUACGUGGUGUGUAGGGUUGGGUGGGUGUUUUAUAUCUUAUGUGGUGUAUUGGGAUGGUCAGAGUUGGUGUGUAGAGGAUGGGGGUAGGACUAUGCAUAUUUGUUUCUGUAUGAUUCUGUUGAUAAUUUGAUUAUGUAAAGGAUAUAUGCCUGCAUCUGUCCUAUUCUGUUGUAUGAUAGAAUCUGAAUUUAUGUUUCUGUUGAGUUACACACUGAGUUUUUAAAACUCACUUUCUGUUUGUCUGUUCUGUUCAGGUAAUCCUCAGGCUUAGGUGGGUCAGUGCGACGGAGGCUCAUUUGUGACCACUUGUCUGUAAAUUUCAUAUACUUUAAAAGUUUACUUAAAUUUCUGGUUUUCAAAAGUUUUGUAAUUUUGGGACUCUCUGGACUUUUGGAUUUUACUUUUGGAUUUGGUUUAGAUUUGAGAUUGCUUGCGUCUUUCAACAAAACAAUUUACAAAACAACUGUUUUAUGUGAUCUACGCUUUUGAGAAAAUAGACUCGAUUUUCAAAAUAUAAUGACUUAUAAAACUUCAGCUUCAAAUUAUUGUUUUGUUUGAAAGAAUAAGCAAUCGAUGGUUUUAUUAAUGAAUGUAACAACAGAUUCUUUAAAAUAAAAAGGUAUAAUGUUUUUAAAGGAAAAGACAGAUUUCUAAUUUUUCUUUGUAAUAUCUCCAGAUUCGGCCAUAACGUCUAGGUCGGGCUUGGGGUGUUACACUUAUAAUUCAUUUGUUUUACAUUGAGGACAAUGUAUGUUUUAAAUAUAUCAAGGGGAGUACAUAGAUUUAUAAUUUUCUUGUUUUCUUUGUUUUGCUCGUUAUCUUUUGUUAUAUAUAUAUCAAAUAAUAAUAAUUUGUUUGUGCUUGAAUUGUAUGUUGCUUAGACUAUGUUGAUACUGAGAUUAUUGGUUGUGAAUAUUAAAUUAUGUAUUGCUGUCUUUCAUGCAUGUAACUUUUGUUUGAUAUUAGGUAAUUUGGUUCUUUUUAAGAUAGAUUAAUUAGUUCAUUUUGUUAAAUUGCAUAAUAGACUAGAGGUAAUUACUUUAAUAAAUAUGUUUGAUUUUGUGUCAUAUGAUAGAUAGGUUAUAUUCAUGUUUGUAGAUAGACAUUGCUUGAAUUGAUUAUCAUUCCUUUGUAUAAUUAUAAGUAUGAAAGAAAUUGUAUUUUGUGGAAUGUUUUGAGAUGAUCUAAGGCAUUGUUUGAAUAGCUAGUGCUUAAAUGAACCCACCUUUAUGCUAUGCAUCCUAGGUUUCCCAUGUUCAAUUGAUCCUCCACUAGCUCAGCACAAUCAUAUAUGGAUAGCAUUCAGAAUUGAUACUAUGAAUGAAUGAAAACAAUGAAAGAGAAAUAGAUUUCAUGUAUUACUAUCCACAGUAAAUACAUUUUCUCAAAUGGAAUAAUAGAUGACUUAGAAAUUAAAUUAAAUUAAUUUCUUUAAUUAUUAUGUAAUUAAUUGUAAUUAGAUAAUUGAGUGAGAAGUGAAAAGUACAUUAAUUAGUUAUCACAAUUUCACCAAACGAAAUGAUUAAAUUUAUUUAUACAUAUAUUUAGACUUUUGUUUAGUCUUUUUUGAAGAUGAUGAAAUCUUAAAAUAAUAAUCAUAAUAAAAAAUUCAAGCCAUAAACUUGGGAAACACUUUAGUUAGCAAAGUAGCCUUGAAAUUAAAACACAAAAUCACAUAAAAUUAGCUAACUAAGGCUCUUCAAUAGACGAUGUGGGAUAAUAAAAGAGCCCUAAACAUUACUAGAAAUCUCACAAACAUCACUAUAUCGUAGACUCUAGAUACGAUAACCAUAUAUAACUCUAAACAAACAUCAAACUAUGAUGAUUGCUAUUUUUAUUUUCUACUCUUUUAUUUGAUCCCUCAAUAGCAAUUUUUUGGCUUUGUUUAGCUCACUCAACACAGCAGCGAUACAUGAAAUACAUCUCCAUUGGACGUCCACACUCAGCACACUGCACCCUCUCCGGAAUCCCGCCACUGUUUUCCGGUAGAAUAAGGCGAGUGCAAUGAUGGUCAUCGGUAAUCCCUUCCAACUGUUUACGAAGUGCUGGGAUAAACCCCAUUUGCUUCGCAAGUUUUUCCCAUUCAUCAAAGCUCUCCAUGCUGCUAAGCACUUUAUCUCCAUUGGCUCUCACCAUUUCAUCUGAACCAGUGAAGAACACUGCCCAUCCAUUUUCACUACCGUCAUAUGCAAGCAUCGUCAUCACUUCUUGCUUUAUAGCGUCGUUUUCAAUGGUCUUCCCAUGUUGGAUUUUCGAGUACAACAUGCUCUCUAAUCGGUUCCAAAAGAACCACAGAUUGUCAUCUUCCCAAGCGUGGCUAAGUUGCUUCUCUUUGAUUAGACCAGUAAUCUUUUUCACUCGUUCCUUUGCAUUGUUUUUGCCAAUAUAAACCAUUUCUAAGCCAAUGUAGAGAGCCUUUGCAACCCCUUUUGUUGCGGUAGUGAAACUUUCGAUCCAUUCCAUUUGCACACCACCAUAAAAACAUACCACUUUCUGUUGGCUCACCUGAUUAUAUAAGAAACCAUACAAAACCAUGAAUAAAUUAAGCAUAUUAAUUUAUAUACAUAUGUAUAUUAAAGUUAUGUGGAGAUGUUCAUGUACCCAAGUAGGUAAGUUUGGCUCAAGGCGAUCAACGAGAAGCUCAAGGGUCCAAGCUUCAGCUUUCCAAAAACUUUCUUCUUUUUCGCUGCUAAAUGGGAAAGCUGAAUUUCCCCAUAUCCACAUCAUGUUGAGUGCAUUUGGGCAUAAAACCUUUCCUUUUGGAUCCAAUGUCACCGCAAUUGGUUUCUUAACGAAACCCCAUACUUCCAUUAUGUAUUUAAUCACUGCUGGUUCAAUAGCAAAAGGAUGAUUCACUGUAUACCAUGGCAUAAUUGAUUGUAAGCUCAAAAACUUUUGUUCAUAACCAUCAUCCCAAGUUGAUCUGUCCACAAUUGGGAGCCAUAGGAUCUCAUAGUUAAGCUCAGAUGAUACCCUUUCACCUUUGUAAAGAGCCUCAAGAACUCGAAUCUCCUCUUGGGAGAUGUCAAGAUCUGAAAUAAGCAAUAAAACAUGCUUUCUUCUCAAGACAUCAUUAAGAACCUGCUAAAUUUAUAGGAAGUUAAUAUGCGGUCCAAUCAAUUUAAAAACAUGCUUGAAACUUGGAACAUGAAAUUAAAUCAACCUUGGUCUUGUCUGGAUUCAAGAGAUAAUAAGUCUCUUCCUUGCGAAAGAUUUUUAGGAGAAUCUUCAAGUUGUCCGUUUGAGGUGUUUCAAUAGUACGCUUGAAGUCUUCAAAAGCUUCCAUUAGCUUCUCCUCAUCUGCAUCUCAUUAUCAUUAUAAGUCAUCUCUUUCUAUGAAUAAAAAGGUAAAAGUAUCAUUGAGGCCUCUUAUAGUAAGAGUUAGAUUGAAUUUUGUCUAUUUUAUUUAUAAAAUUGAUAAAUUAGUCCUUAUAUGUUAAAUUAAAGAGCAACAUGAUUCUUUCUAUUAAAAAUUUCAUCAUUUUUUAUUUUUAAAAACUGGUGUCGCCUUCAUGUUAAUAUAGAAGGACUAAUUUUUAACAAUAGAAAUAAAUGAAAUUAGUAAUAUAAUAACUAAUUUGCUUUUUGAUGUAAUGUAUAAGAAUUAAUUUAUUCACUUUUUUAAUAUUUAAUAUUGGAGGUAAAAUACAUUCAAACUCUCCAUGACACUUUUAGCAUGUAUACAUAUGAUUUAUAUUUCUGAGUUCUCUAGGAUAGACUCACCAAUGCGCUGAUAACAAAGACGUAAUAGACUUUGAAGGUAUUCAUGUAUGCCACUAACUUUAUGUGCUAAGCUUGAUAGUUCCCAUGCCUCAGAAGUCGAUGUAAUGAACCUGAACGAAACAAAAGAUUUGAUUAUUGAUAGAUUUUGUCAUCAUAUUGUGUCAUUGAGAGCAUGUAAGAAAUUCAUUACUCACUCGUGUCUCAUCCCUACGAGACCCGUAAUCUGUGCAGCACAAGCGACGACACUCCAAAUGAUCCAGUAGGUAGCAGUGGGGAUAUGAGCCAUGGCGAUCGACAAUGGUGGCACAUCGAUUGAAAUAAACUCAGAAGGUAGCUCAGUGAACUCAACAAUGCACUUGGUUACAUCAAUCAUUGCAUUGAUGAGCUUGUUAAGUGCAUCAAAGCGGGGUUUCAAUGUUUGGGAAUGCUCUAAAAUGUCGGGUAACUGCUUGAGGAGAGCCACGGAUUUGGCCAAUGAGUUGGAAGUGCAAAGCUGAACGAUCAGCCAAAAUUCCCCAAAAUUCACUGCGAAAGCAGCUAAUGUUAGCACCACUUUUGCAUCCCACGAAUAGCUUGAAAGCAUGUUGAGAAUCCCCAUUGUUGCUGCAUGAGCAUCCGCUCCUCCUGAACACUUGCAUGAUACCUACAAAACAUCAAAUGUUACUAUCGUCAUUUUGCGGUUUCGGAAAAGAUCGAGAUUCCGAAUGAAAAAAGAAGAGCCGAAUAACCUCGCAGCAGAUUUUGUGUACGAUAUAAGCCAAUGCAUCAAGUGCACCAUCAAUGGCAGACGAGUUGGUCCGAUCAUCGAGAGCAUCGAUGUGUCCCGUUCCACCCUACAAGACAAAAGCCAAAUUACCAAUGUCUUGAAAUCUUUCUAUUUUCAUGAAUAUAAACAUCAUGAAAUCAUAAGGUUAUCAAAAUUUACAUUCAUAGUAUGAUCAAUGUUGGGAAUGGUAUGAUGCAACACAUUGACAAUGACUUGGAGAAUUGGUUUAACAUCAACAAAACGACCGUCGGGGGCAUGAGUCGACUGAAUCAGCUUCAUCAUCGCACCGUCGUCGGAUGCGGCGAGCAUCUGACGCUCAUUCCUCGCCAGUUGCUGGGAUUUAGAAGCCAGUGAUGAGAGUAAGAGUGAGAUAGGGGUAGCCAUCGUUGAAUAUACGAAACUGUUUUUGAUGUUUGACGUGUGAUGUGUUUGGUAAGCAUUGUAGAGUUUAUAUAAUGAUGGGAACAUGCACUGGGGAGGGUACUCUGUCUUGUUUUAUUACCUGUCCUCUUUCCACAUUGUAACUACUUUUAACUUUUAUAUAUGACUAGAAAUACUUCUCCUCUUUUUAAUUAUAUUUAUUAAUAAUUACAAUUUAAAAAUAUUUAUAAUUGCUUAAAUACUUUAUUAUCUUACAUACACGAGUUUUAAUUAUUUAAAAAAUAUUUUACAAUUUCUAAAUGUCCCAAUUUGAAUAUCUAAAAUAAAUAAUAAUUACAAUUUAUAGCAAAUGGUACAAGAAAAGGUGCUAAUUUUUUAACUUUUGCAUUUACUUUAGAUCAUAGUAAAUGAUCAAUAAUUAUUUUAAUUGAACUCAAGGAUUCAUGUGCCCCAUUUAACCUUUGAAUUUACUUUAUUAACUUUACUUAAUAAAAAAAAAAUCAAUAUUGUCAAUCUUUGGGAAACAUAGGAUCCCAAACAAUGAUCUGUUUUCUUUUUGCCUCUUAUUAAAAGUCAAGUUUUUAAAUUGAAAACCAUUUAAGGUAACCAAAAAAUAUUGUGAGCACAAAAUUGCAUAAUAUCAAAUUUAAUUUUUAAUAUUUAUAUUAUUUUACCAAUUUUACUUUUAUUUUAUUUUUAAGUUAAUUUUGGUCUUCUUUUUUUUUUAACAAUUGAAUUGUUGUUAUUUUUUAAUAGAAAUAUUGACUAAAAUGUUAAGAGUGCCUUUGGAUUCACUGCGCUUGUAGUACAAUGAAAUCUGUUGCAUCACCGCUACAAUAAUUAAUCUUAUCGCCACUGCUUUUUUUAACCUAACCAGAGAUAAAUGAACCGCCCAUCUAAAUUAAGUUUAAAUACUUAUAAAUGGUAGCCUGCAUGGGAAUUCACAUGUACUUUAUGUUAUUUUUUUAUUUUGUUCUUGUUUUUUAAAUUAUUUGUUGGCGUGACAUUUGAGACAAAUAGCUUCAUGUCAGUAUGAAAUAUAUAUGAACGACCACGUGAAUUGUCACAUCAACAUUGUUAAAUUUUUAAUAUUUUAACCAAUAUUUUCAUUAAAAAAAUUUAACUCAUUUUAAAAUAUUAAUAAUUAAAUUGACACUUAUAAGGUGCCCGCUGCCCAUCACUAAGAUUUUGCAUUAAAAAAUAUUUAAAAUUUUAAGGUAAUUUUUUAUACAAUACAAAUGUGAAUUCACAGGCCCACAAAUGCAAGGUGAAAUGAGAGGGAGUAGGUAGAGGUAUUUCUAUGUGGUUUAAAAUGAGAAUAUCUCUAUUUAAUCCUUUUAAAAUUGAUGAUAUUAUAAGUUAACCUCAUAAAAAAAUAGAAUUCAAUUCUGACUCCAUAAACUAAUUUUCAUACUUCAUUAUCACACAAGUGAAUCUAUAUAUCAAGUCCGUCUUGGGUAUGCAUGAAUUUACUUUACAGAAUUUUAUAUCCCCUUAAUUUGGGAUUUAAUAUUUUAUACACAUAAAUUUAAAUUUAUAUACAUGGAAGCCUCUGCAUUGACACGUGUUCCGUUAUUCUUUAUUCCUUCCACAUUAUAAGAAAAUGGUAAUAUUUAAGUUUUGAUCCCUCUACUAUAUGUAAAGAUGUUUCAUCUUUAUAAUUUAAUUUAUAUAUUUUAUAAUAUUAUUGACUACUUCGAUCGAAUUUUUUGGCGUGAAUUUAUUUUUAAAAAUAUUUCGUUAAACUUGAACAAUUAAUAUUAUAUUAAUAUUAUAUUAAACAAGGUCAAGCAUGGACUGCUUUUUGUAGGUACAUCUCAGUAUCAUAUUCGUAAAAGGUCAUCAAUAAAUAAUAUAUCGACAAAAUUCAUUGUGUAACACGUUUCAAUACCAACAAUUAAUGAGGAUAAAAUUUUUGAACAAUAAGUGGUUGGAAGUAUUUUUAUUUUUAUUUUUAGAAAUUUUUUACUUGAAUCCACUCUUCACCCUACAAGAUUGAUUUUAAACCCUAAAAUNNNNNNNNNNNNNNNNNNNNNNNNNNNNNNNNNNNNNNNNNNNNNNNNNNNNNNNNNNNNNNNNNNNNNNNNNNNNNNNNNNNNNNNNNNNNNNNNNNNNNNNNNNNNNNNNNNNNNNNNNNNNNNNNNNNNNNNNNNNNNNNNNNNNNNNNNNNNNNNNNNNNNNNNNNNNNNNNNNNNNNNNNNNNNNNNNNNNNNNNNNNNNNNNNNNNNNNNNNNNNNNNNNNNNNNNNNNNNNNNNNNNNNNNNNNNNNNNNNNNNNNNNNNNNNNNNNNNNNNNNNNNNNNNNNNNNNNNNNNNNNNNNNNNNNNNNNNNNNNNNNNNNNNNNNNNNNNNNNNNNNNNNNNNNNNNNNNNNNNNNNNNNNNNNNNNNNNNNNNNNNNNNNNNNNNNNNNNNNNNNNNNNNNNNNNNNNNNNNNNNNNNNNNNNNNNNNNNNNNNNNNNNNNNNNNNNNNNNNNNNNNNNNNNNNNNNNNNNNNNNNNNNNNNNNNNNNNNNNNNUAUUAAUUUAAAAUAGUAUGUUUAAAAAUAGUUUUUCAUAGAUAUUAUUAUGUCAUUUUAAUUACAUAUUUUUUUUAAAUAAUAAUAAUGAUAAAUAUUUUAAUGCAUAAGGCAACGAACUGAUUUAGCAUCGAAUUAUCGAAUUCAUCGCUAUGUUGGGGAUGAAUCGAUGGCUCGUGUUAAAUACGGGACGCCCUUAUAAAAAAUUGAAAUAUUCAAAAUUUCUCGUAUUUCAAUAAAAAUCCUCUUGUUUUAUUAGAAUCCCGAUUAAAUAUUAAAUUGAAUUAAUUUAACACUAAUUCGAUAGUUUCAUCGCCAUAUCGGGGUGAAUAUCAUCGAUUUGUGUUAAAUACAGUAUUUUUAAAGAAAAAUCGUUUUUUUUUAAAAAAAAUUCAUGUCUUCAAAAUUUCUCGUGUUUCAAAAAUAAUAAUAAUAAAAUUUCCCGUGUUUCGAAAAAAAUACAUUCGUGUUUCUUUCUAAAAAAAUCGUGUUUUCAAAAAUUUCCGUGUUUCAAAAAUUCGUGUUUUCGUGUUUUCAAAAAAAAUCUCGUGUUUCAAAAAAAAUAAAAAUAAUAAAAAAUAAAAAAAAUAAUAAAAAAUAAAAAAUUUUCGUGAAUAUUUUUGGUAUUAUUGUGUUUUCAAAAAAAUUCAGUAUUCGACAAAAUUUUGUGUUUCGUGUUUUCAAAAAUUUUCGUGUUUUCAAAAAUCUUUGUGUUUUCAGAAAUUCUGGCGUUUCAAAAAUUUUCGUGUUUAAAAUUUUUUUACGUGUUUUCACAAAUUUUCAUGUUUCACAAAUUCUCGUGUUUUCAAAAACUCCAGUGUUUCAAAGUUUCCAUGUUUUCAAAAUUCUCGCGUUAAAAAAAAAUUCGUGUUUCAAAAUAUUCUCGCAUUUCAAUUUUUGUUUUUUAAAUCGUGUUUCAAAAAAAUGUCGUGUUUUAAAAAUUUUCGUGUUUCUAAAAUUUCCCUGUUUUAAAAAUUCCCGUGUUUCAAAAAAAAAAAUGUCGUGUUUUAAAGAAAAUUUCGUUUUUUCUAAAAAUUUUCGUGUUUCUAAAAUUUUCGUGUUUACAAAUUCUCGUGUUUUCAAAAAAUUCUCGUGUUUUAAAAAAAAACUUUCGUUUUAAAAAAGAAAUACUGCGCUUCAAAAUUCUCGUGUUUUUUUUUUAAAAAAAAGGGUUCUCGUAUUUCAAUCGGAUCACGACUAAAUAUUAAAUGGAACUCGUAUUAUUGAAAAUUAGGACAACAUGCAUUUAACGAGAUACCAAUUUUGGGCGUCGCGAGGGUGCUAAUACCUUCCUCGCGCGUAACCGACUCCCGGACCCUAAUUUUUUCUGGAUUUUGACGUGGACCUAAAAUUGUCUCUUUUUUAGAAAAGUUUAAAAAAAAAUUCUUCUAAAAAAGGAUUUUAUUUGGUGUCCGAUCACACCUAAAAAAGAUCGGUGGCGACUCCUCUUUUGUAAAUAAAAUUUGAAACUUUAAUUUUUCAAUAAUCAUUUCAACUAGCGCCUAUUGCCAAAUUUUUAGGUCGCUACAGGUAUAAUCAUGAUGUCAACUGCCUCCACACCGCAACGUCAUGUCUGUUUGGUCCCACUUACAUUUGUUUUUGAUGUUGUGACUUCCAUGCCUUGUGGUCGCAAUCUCGGCUGCAAUUUUAUCCUAAAAGUGCAUCUUUAGCUUCCAAAUUAGUCCUAUAUGACCACAUAAUCUUAUUUAGAUAUAAAAUAACAUAAAUUUACUAAAAAACACAAUUUUAUUACUUACACCCAAAAACACAAAUUAACACUAAAAUAACUAGAUUUUACUUAAAACUUGUCAAAUUGUGACAAAUCAGAUUUCGACAUAGACAAAUGAAUCACUUUUGUAUCAGUGUUGUUUUCGAAUUCUAAAGGUAUAAUUUCGACCCAUUUCAGCCCAAUUCAUUCCUUUUACAUGGAUCAACGGCUUGUGAUCGUUGGAAUUUAUUUUUUCAUUGCAUCAUAGGGCAUACCAAUGAUCCAAUAGUGAUGAAUUAUGUUCUAACACUGAGGGAGUGUCCAUUCCCAAGACCACUUACAAGAGCAUAAUUGUAAGUCUCCUAUAUUUUAUUACAACACAACCUGAUUUGAGCUUUAGUGUGGAUAUUUGUGCAUAAUAUCAGGCCAAUCCAAAACAGGAUGUUUUUACAAAGGAGGCAAUCUUGUGUCACUAUACAAUAAGAAACAAGGUUCCAUCUCCCUUUCUACUGUUGAAGUAGAAUACAUUGCAACAAGGAUUUGUUGUGCUUAGUUAUUAUGGAUGAGACAAAUGUUAGUGUUAGUAUUAAGUGACCUGAAUCCUUAUUUAAAUAAAAUACAGUGGUAAAAUAAAAUAAAAGUAAAAUCCAUAUAGAACUACACUUCUUUUAUUUUAUUUUAGAAUAAGGUUUUUUAAACCUUAUUAAACUCCAUUUAUUUGAUACUUAUUAGAAUAAGGUGUUUCAAUCUUACUACACUCCUUUAGCAGCACAUUUCAGACUUUCAUUGGCUUGUCUCCACAAUCAGAUGAUGAGAUUGAGUACAUGUCACAUAUUCUAUACUCUAGUGCAGUGGGAUCUCUCAUGUAUGUUAUGGUUUGUUCAAAUCCAGAUUUUUCAUAUGCAGUCAGUGCAGUUAGCAGAUACAUGGUGAAUCCCAGUAAAGAACAUUAGAAAGCAGUUAAAUGGAUUUUAAGAUACUUACGAGGUACUACUGAUGUUUACUUACAAUUUGGAAGAACUAGAGAUGGAGUCAUUGGGUAUGUUGAUGCUGAUUUUACUGGAGACCUUGAUAGAAGAAUAUCUCUCACAUGUUAUGUCUUUACAAUCGGAGGUUGUGCAAUCAGUUGGAAAGCCACUUUGCAAAUUAUAGUUGCUUUGUCUACCACUAAAGCUAAGUAUAUGGCAAUUACUGAGGCUUGUAAAGAAGCUAUUUGGUUGAAGGGACUCUUUAUUGAACUCAAUGAAGACCUUCAAAUCAAUACAGUAUUUUGUGACAAUUAGAGUGUCAUCUUCCUUACAAAAGAUCAAAUGUUUCAUGAGAGAACAAAACACAUUGGUGUUCGGUAUCAUUUUGUUCAUGAUAUUAUUGCUCGUGGUGAUAUUGUUGUGAGCAAAAUUAGUACUCAUGAAAAUCCUACAGAUAUAAUGACUAAGUCACUUCCUAUAACCAAGUUUGAGCAUUGCUUAGCCUUGGUUGGUGUUCAUUGUUGAAGUUAAAUCCUUAAGGGGUUUUAUGGAAGAGGUGGAGAACUUGCUCGUUGAGAGUUCGCUACGAAAAUCUUGUUCGUUGAGAAUUCGUGUCAAGGUGGAGAUUGUUAGAAUUAAGUGACCCGAAUCCUUAUUUAAAUUAAAUACAGUGGUAAAAUAAAAUAAAAGUAAAAUUCAUAUAGAACUACACUUCUUUUAUUUUAUUUUAGAAUAAGGUUUUUUAAACCUUACUAAACUCCAUUUAUUUGAUAUUUAUUAGAAUAAUGUGUUUCAAUCUUACUACACUCCUACUAGAAUAUGGUUUUACAAGCAUAUAAAUAGACAUAGCCUACUCCUCUUGUAAUCAUUCGAAUUUGACAUAGUGAAUUAUCUUCUCUUCUGCCCAUGAUUUUUUCCCGAAAGGGUUUCCAAGUGAAAUUUGUGUGUUCUUUAUUUUUAUUUUUUUCUCUCGAUUUUCUUUGUGAUACAUUGUCAUUACCGACGUUCUAUUUUUUUCAGUUAGAAACUUUGGCAUUGCCCUACUAGUAACUAUAGCUUAUUGUGAGAAUACUAGUGCCAUCAAUGUUUUGAAGAAUCCAAUGCAACUUUCCAAAACCAAACACAUUGACAUUAGACACCAUUUUAUUUGAGAAUUGAUGGAGAAUGGGGCAGUUGAAGAAAUAAAUAUAGUGACAAAACAGGAGUGGGGUUGCGACCGGGGGUGCGGGGACUUCGCCUCUGUUGUACGAGCCAUACAACACAAGUUGAAUCCAUAUAGAAGUGUUCUUCUUCUAUUUGACUUUAAUUAGAAUAGGGUUUUUCAACCUUUAAAUAGAUGUAGUAAAAAACUCCUCUUAUAUAAUUUAUUUUUAAACAUUAGUGAAUUUCUCUUCUUUUACCCGUGAUUUUUUCCUAAAAAUGUUUUCACGUAAAAUCUAUAUGCUUUUAUUGUUUUUCUUACUGCUCUGGGAUCUUUCUACUGCUAUUAUUGACAUUUAUUAUAACAGUAUGUAUCCAUCCAAAACCAAUUAGUUAAUCUGAUCACAAAGGCCUUAAAUGCAAACAGAUUUGAGAGCUUGAGAAGCUCUGUAGGUAUUUGUCGUGCUUAAGAACAUGUAUCAAUUAAAGAAGGCAUCUACACGACAAUAACAGAUGUUGUUGUGAUGAUCUUAUUCCCAAGUUUUUAAGAAAAUAUUGAAGGGAAUUAUUUAUAUUAUUUUGUUACCAAAUGUGAACUGUUUGGUAGGAAAAUCCAAUUAAUUUUCUCUCUUUAAAUAUCGAAAAGAGACGUGCAUUAAACGGGAAGUGAUUACUUCUUCCCCUCUUUAAAUUGUCCUUCAAGUCAACCUUGAUUCUUUCCCUGUUUAUUGGAUUUAUUUUUUACACUUUAAUUUGAUAUAAUUUAAUUUUUAAUAUAAUAUUAUUAGUCAAUCAAAAUAGUUGAUACACUUAAUUAUUUUAGUUAAAAUAUUAAAGUCAAAUUUUUCUUAAAAAUACCUAUUCCAACUUUAUGCAUGUAUGAAUUUUUUUUAUGUGUGCGAUGUUAGAAAAAUCUUCUCAAGAGAAAUUCAUCUAAUCGUUUUAAUCAAAAUAGUCAUAGAUGUUAUUUGGGCUAACUUAUGUCAUUUUAAAAGUGGAUGAUUAAAUUACGUUGAAUUAAAAGAUAAAGAUCAAAUCCAAAAUAUGAGCAUAAUAAAAGGAUCGGAACUGUAAUUUUAUUUUUAUCAUGUUAUUAGUUGAUCCAAAUAAUUAGUACCCUUAAUAGUUUCGGGUACUAACAUGGAUUAAAAAAACACUUAUUCCAACACAUCAUGCUCGUUUUUUUUUUGUUAGAGUAGUAAUUUAAAAAAUAAUCAAUGUAAAAAUUUCAAUUAAAAUAGUCAAUAAUUUUAACUAUUUACUAAUUAAUAACAUUAUAAAAUAUAUGGACCAAAUUAUAUUAGAGAUUAAAGUAUAAAUAUUUAAAUUUAAAUUUAAGCUUAGUAGAGACACGGAAAAAAAAAGAGAUUUAACCAUUUUCAUAUAAUGUAAAGAAUUGUGGAACACGUGUUAACGUAAGAAGAUCUUAGGACCUUCCCUUUAUAUAUAGGUACCUUUAAUUAUUCCAGUUAAAAUGUUGAGGUUGAUAUUUUUCAUUUCCAACUUAAUGUAGAAAUCUAUUGUGUUAGAAUUAUGCUUUUAAGAUGAAUUUUCAUUAUCAUUUAAUCAAAAUAGUUAAGGAUGUUAAUUAUCUAGAUUAACUAAUAUCAUUUUAAAAGUAGAGAAUUAAAUUAUAUCAAGUUAAAAUAUAAAUAGUAAAUCCCAAAAGUGAGUAUAAUAUAGAGUUUGAAACUGCAAAUUUACUAUUCUCUUAUAAUCAUUAUAAAAAUAAAAAUAAAAAUAAAAAUAAAAAUAAAAAAUAUAUAUUAUCAUUAAAUAAUCCAAAUAAUUAUCACCCUUGAUAAUUUUUGAUAAUUUUGGUACCUAACAUGAAUUUGAAUUUAAAUUUAAAAAAAAAAUACUUAUUCCACUUCAUCAUGCCAAAUUAAUACAACAUAUAUUAAUGCAGAGGCCCUCCUUCCAUAUAUAAAUAUAUAAAUUUAAAUUUAUGUACAUAAAAUAUUAAAUCCUAAUUUAAUUGUAUAUAAAAUCUCGUAGAUAUAUUGAUUGAGUCUUAGCUUGAUUGACAUAUGUAUUAUUGUCAAUAGAAGAGGAUAUGGAUUUGAGUGCACUAAAGUGCAUUAUCCUCCUAUUUAUGGGUUGGAGAGGGGUUAUGCGUAGUUCUAGGCAUUGUAUCAAAAAGAGAAGAUAUGAUCAGAACAUAUAAUGAGAUUAUUCAAAUUUAAACAAAAACAUCGCAAAUAUUGAAAAUUUAAAGGUUAAAUUCUUGCUAUUAGUUCUUGUACUUUUUGAGAAUUGUAGAUUUAAUCAUUAUACUUUAAUUUGGUCUUUUUUUAAUCCUUAUAUUUUUUAAAAUUUAAAAUUUUAGUCCUCACCAGAAAAUAAUUAUUAAAUUCAUUAAAUUCGAUUAUUUCUAAAAUUUGAUGUGUUAAAUGUAUUUUUAUAUGUACAAUGCCAUGUCAAUUUGUUAUUUUUACAUAUUACUCACUAAAAAUCUAAUUACUAGAUUAACAAUUAUCAUUUACAUCAAUAUUGAAAUUUCAAAUUUCCAAAAAUAUAAAAACUCAAAGUAAUUCUUUUUAAAAAAUAUCAAAUAAAUCUAAAAUUCAAAUUUUAAGCAAUAAAAAAGAAUGUGCCACUAUAAUUGCACGUUAUAAAAUUUACAAUUAAUGUUGUUGUAGUCUCUUCUUCGUUAUUUGGCUACUUGAAAUGGUUUGACAUUUCCAAAUUUGACUUAAAAAUAAAUGCUUGGGACACUAAGUCUCCCCGGGAUCAACAAUGUUCAUUAUAAAAGAAUGUGCAUCCAUUCUUGUGUUCAAUUAAAAUAAUUUGUGGUUAACGUGAAUAAAAUAUUUUCAUAUCUAAUUAAUUUAUCGUAUUUUAAAGGUAAAAAAAACACAAUUUGGCACAUGAAUUCUCGACUUCAAAUAAAAAUAAAAUUAGUAAAGGGUGAAUGAGAUCAUUUCACACUUGAAAGGUAUAAAAAAACAUAAUUUGGCAAUUUGGCACAUGAAUUCUCGACUUCAAUUAAAUUUAAAUUUAAGUAAGGGUCAAUGAGGCCAUUUCACACUCAAAGGUUUAAAAAAAAAAACUCAAUUUGGCACAUGAAUUCUAGACUUCAAUUAAAAAUAAAUUUAGGCUUAAAGUAAAAAAAACACAAUUUGGCACAUGGAUUCUUAAAUUCAAUUAAAAAUAAAGUUUAGGUGAGUGAAUGACAUCAUUUCACACUUAAUUAUUGCAUCAUAUAUAAUAUAAAAUAAUUCCAAAGGUUAAAAAAAUAUCUGACCAAAUUUAAGGAUAGGUACCAAUUUAAGAAAAACAAUUAAGUUCAAGGAUUAAAACAUAAAUUAUUCCAAUUUUAUUCUAAGAACCUCGUUAUUUAUAAGUGAUACCAAUGAAAUUUUAAUUGAAAUGGUUAAAGGUAAAAUAUUAAAGAGUUCAAAUUUUAUUAUGUGUAUAUUAUCUUAGAUUUUAUAUAAAAUUAUAGAAAGAAAGAAUACUAUCCCGUUAUAUUUAUGAAAAUUUAUUUGUACACUGCUAUAUGUUAGUAGAGUUUUUGGAUUCUACUAGUAGAGUUAUGGGUUGACAAGAGUCAUAUAGGAGGAAUGUCGUUGCUAAACAAGUCUAGCAACAAGGUCCAUAGCAUGUUUCGUUCUCUAUUCUAGGAUUUUGAGGCAACUAGUAGAUUUAGUUGGGAUUUUGUCACUUUGGCGUAUCUAUAUAAGGUGUUUUACAAGGCGACCCGUGAACCGAUCUAUAAAGUCAACAGUUGUUACAUGCUUUUGCAAAUAUGGACAUGGAUACACAUGUCAUGGUUAACACCCACCUCUUCCCAAUUGUUGGAGCCUCCUCUUAUCAAAAGGUUGAAAUAUCACAUUGUGUAAUAUCUUAAAAUGUGUUUUAGUGCCUGUACUUAAUAUUUCCUAUUGCUUUGAUUAAUGGAAAAGAUUUAGAGGUUGUUACAACCAUACAUGCUAUAAGAAGGACUUGGUAUGCAUGCAUUAAGAAAUCGAUCAAUGAGCUGGUGAAGAGGUAUGUUGGUGUUGCAUUCAAUUCCAUUUAAUGGAGUUCAGUGUUCCUAUUAAUGAAUAUAAUCAUAUUUGUAUAUUUUUUUGUAGCUUAGUGGAUGUCGUACCUAGACAUUGCAAUGUUUGCCACUAUAUUGUUAAGGGCACGAAUGACCCUUAUUUGUUUCCAGAAGUAACACUCUAAUCGAGUAAAAAGCUAGUUUGGAUUCGUCCAAGAACUUUCAGUAAAUCCUUAGACCACCAAGCAACUCCAGAGGGGAUAAGAUCAAUAUUGGUCAAAGGAUAUUGCAACAAGUUGAGUUAAGAAUAUAUGCGGAAAUUAUCCAAGAUGGUCAACUUUUAGCCUUUAUGCUACAUACGUAAUGGUUCUGUUAGGCGAGCCACAAGCGAUUCUAACCAGCAAAGUAUCUUGUACUAUAGGAACAAUAUGUACCAUCAAGUCAUUGAUGAGCACAUCAAUAAGAUCAUUCCCAAGCAUUCGUACCUCUCCAAUUGAAACUAAAGCCACCAACGCAAUAGUUUGACAACCUUACCUCUAUGACCUACUAUCCUUAUGAGUCAUCGUCCCAUGUUGGCGAGGAAUAUGAUCAUGGGAGCAUCCAUUCGUCUCCAGCAAUGGAAAUGACAUUGCCAAAUCUAGAGUUUAUACAACUUUUUGGUCCAAUGAGCCUGAGCACACCUUAAACACAACAUCUCUUGCAUCAUUUAUCUUCUAUCAGGUAUACAGCUGUGCAAUUCAGGUUUAUUGAGUUGUCAUUUUAACAAUUUUAAAUACACUAAAUUUAACACCACAAAUGUCGAGUACAUCAAUAUUUUUAGAUGUGCCAGAGAUUUUUAAACCUUAAUCUAAACUAAUGCUAAUGAACCUUGUAACACCCCUCACUUGGCUCGGUCGCCAGGUCCAAGCUAUAAGAUGCUACAACAGUUAACGAAAUAUAUUACAUAUAAACCCAACUUUAAACAUUAAAUUAAACAAUAAAACAUUUCAUAAUCCAAGCUUAAUAUGAUUUAUAAACAAAUCCGAGUCUCAAUAGAGCUUACGAAAGCUCUUAAACCAACUAGGGAACAAAUAAUGACGUAAUUGAAAACAUAACAAAAAUUAUGGAAAUUUCAGGAAACAAGAGCCAUAUGGUCGUGUUACAAGUGGUGACCGUGUAGAAAUGGAGUCACACGAUCAUGUAUUCAGGUCGUGUAACAAACUAAAACCAUGUGAAAUUAAAUGACCAAUUCAACAGUACUCACACAAGCGUGUGGCCAGCCUGUUUGACAAUCGGGAAUUAUGUGGUAUACUAUACAAUUCAGUUCUUGUCUCUUUAUUCACUUCCACCCUUAACAUUUUCAACUCAGUAUCUAUUAAUAACUUACCUUUAUGUUAUAUAAUGUAAUAUAUCAUGAAUAUAUUUUAACAAAAAUUAGUUUCGAAUUAUAGGAAUACAAACCAAAAGCUCGCGUCACUCGUCAUCGACUCUCAUCUUUCCUUUCCCUUUCAAUUAUCCUGCGUCAUUUUUAGCUAUGAAUAAUAAUUCAAUAAUGAUAUAAUAACAAAGUCUAUCCAAAUCACAUUCAAUUACAAGGUCAUACAUAUUUUGCAAAUUAUUCAAUUUAAUCCUCUAUCUCGAUAAUCAAUCAAAUUCAUAUCAAUAUUAUUCGAGCAGUCAUAAUCAAAUAUCAAUUCAUUAAAUAUCUUCAAAUUGCAUGUCACAUCCCAAAAGUGGGCUUAAAAGAAAUAGGAUAAAAUUUAAGUUGUUAUUUAAUUUCUUAAAGAUAAGGCAAUUGAAUUAAUAUGCCUUAAAAUUACUUUAAGAUAGAAAAUUAAUAAGAAUGAGUUUGUUGGUUUAGUAGUAAGGCCUUAGCCUUCCUAUAGGUCCCAAGUUUGAACCCUUUAGUGAGCAUCCAACCAUGAUAUUUUUAUUUCCUUAUUUUUGCCCCAAGAGUGAUGAAUUUUUAAAACAACCCAACUCAAAAAUAAUUUUUCCAAUUUAGUCCCUAUUUUAAAAAUAAGUCCUAAACCUACAUGAAUUCGUAAAACCUAUUUCAAUUAGGAAAAACAAAUUUUGUAAAUAGCUAAUUUCAAAACAAACCCUAAAAAUUACCUAGCAAAUUUUCAAAAAAAAAUCCUUCAAAAAGAUCUCCAGUCUCCUCUCCAAACAAAAGUUUUUUUAAAGUCUUUAAAACAAGUGUGAUAUCCAAACCUAAAUCUUUGUAUAUAAUUGAUAAAUAUAAGAAGUAGAAAAUUAGCAUUAACGAACAUAGGUAGAACUUACCUAUGCAAUGGCUACUAGUAUUUGACGACGACUAUUCAACAACCUUUCUUUUCCUAUGAUUAUCGAACAAUUUACUCAUUUCUUGAUCGACAUAUAAUAAUUCAAUUCAAGUAACCCAAUUUAACAUCUUAAAACACUUCAAAUCAUGUAAUUAACUCUUUAAUAAUAUUUUAUACAUCUACCCUGAACUUUUACCUUUUAUACUAUUUAAUCCCUAAAAUCAAAACUUCAAAUUUAUCACUAUUAAACCAAUUCAAAGCUUAACCAAAUUUUCUAGGUUCCCUAUACAGUCCAUAAUCAUUAUAUUUUUCCCGAUGAUUUCAUGCUAACUUUCAUAUUUUAAUAAAUAAGUCCUUAAACUUUAAGCUAACUAAAAUUACAUCUCAAACUAAUCCAAACUCAACAACAAGCUUAAUACUAAACAACUUAAGAUCAAAAUCAUUCAAUAUCAACAAUGGAAAACUUCUAAAUAUUGGAUGAUAUUACAAUUUAGUCUUGGAUUAACUAAAUUAAGCUAUAAUCAUUCCAAAAACAUAAAAAUUGUUAGAGAUCGACCCGAUUAAGCAAGGAACAAGUAAAAAUAGCAGAAGAAAUUGAGAAAUUGAACACGUAAAUUUAACGUGGAAAAACUCCUCCAAAGAGGAUAAAAAACCACGGGAAAAGAUAAUUUUAUUAUAAUGGCAAAAGAAACGAAGAGUACAAAAGAUGGAGAUAAAAACUAAACCCCAAAAACCCGAAAACAAAGAACCCUCAAAACAUAAACACAAAAUUCUCUAUGUGUGUUAUGACUUCUAAUAUCUAAUGGGUGUAUUUUCUAAGGCUGUAAAAGAGCCUAUUUAUAGGUUAAAUUCAUAUGUCAAAUAAUAAAAUAAUCUAAACUAAUCAGUGUUUGAUUGAAACAAAUAAACAGAGUUUAACUAGAAGAUUAUUUCUCAAAUUUGACUGAAAUAGGAGUCAUACUUAACAAACCCCCACAUUGACUCAUAUUUCUAUAAUGCCAUCUUUGCCAAAGCCCGCCACGAGCCUAUCUUGAACUAUGCAGGGAAUUAACUAAGUCAAAUUUGUGCUUAAAAACUAGAAUACUUCUAGCCUUCGACUUGUACACUGCCAAAUCAAAACUAACCCGGGUUUGAUUUUCACGAACACAGUGCCCUAACCUUUCAAAAUCUGCAUCCAAAAGAGAAUCUAUCUUCAAUGAAAUAGUUAUACAUUUUUCCCUCCUAUGACUAAGUUGCCUCCGCUUUAAACGAGUUGACUUCAACUCUGUAAUGGACGAAGGACGUCUGAUUUCACCGGUCACUAUAGAACCUUCCAGAAUAAAAAGACUACUAGUUCUUUUACCUUUUAACAAAAUGAGAGCUCCACGAGAUACUUUAAUGCCACUCGACUCGAUGUUGAUUCUGCAUCCUUUCAAGUCUAAAAUACUCAAGGAGAUGAGAUUCUUUCAUAAAUCAAGUACAUACCUGACAUCUGAGAGUGUGCUAAUUGUCCCAUUGUGUAUCCUAAUUUUAACAGUGCCAAUACCAAUUACCUUACUAGAUGAAUUGUUUCUCAUAGCACAAUUCCACCUUCAACCGAACUGUAUGUGGAGAACCAUUCUCUAUUUGGGCACAUGUAGAAAGAACAUCCCAAAUCUAGGAUCCACUCGGACGUGAGCUAUCGCUCAUUGACACUAACAAAAAAUCAUCACCGUUUUCAUUGAUCAAAUUAGCACCAGCUACAUCUUCCUCGUUACUCUCAAUGGCUCUUUUAUUUCACAGUUUAUAACAAUCUGCUUUGACAUGAUCUAACUUUUUACAAUAGUGACACCUUUUGUCUCGUUUCUUUGAUGCUAUCAAAACGGAAGCUUGCCUAUCUGCCUUGCUAUCCAAAUGAAGCUCAUUGUUGAGUUUGUCUCUACUCAAUAAAUGACCCUUCACAUCUUCAGACGAGAGUUUGUCUCUACAAUAAAUCAGGGUCUCCUUGAAAGGCUUGUAUGAAGGGGGUAAAAAGCACAAGAAUAGCAUAGCUUGAUCUUCAUCAUCAAUAUGAACCUCAACGUUCUUUAAAUUAUUUAAAAAAGUAAUGAAUUGACUGAUGUGAUCUCUAAGAAGCUCACCUUCGUUUAUGCGAAACGUAAAUAGACGUUUUAACACUAAAUGGUUAGCCAGAAACUUAGUUGCAUAAAGAGUUUCUAACAUUUUCCACAAGCAUAUGAGGUAUUCUCCAUCAAUACCUCCUGCAAUACCGUAUUCGCGAGGCACAACUAGAUUGCAGAUAAAGCCUUUUCAUCCAACUCUUCCCAUUCUGUUUUAUUUAGAUUCUCAGACUUUUUCCCGGUAACAACCUUUUUCAAAUUGAAUUGAACUUGAAUUGCCAUCAUCCGAACUUGCCACAGAUUAAAAUUUGUCUCACCAUUGAACUUCUCAAUUUUAAGCCUUAUUGCUGCCAAUCUAAAUGGACUUAUCUAUGAAAAUUAAACUAGCUCUGAUACCACUUAUUAGAGAUCGACCCGAUUAAGUAAGGAACAAGUAAAAAUAGCAGAAGAAAUUAAGAAAUUGAACACACAAAUUUAACGUGAAAAAACUCCUCCAAAAAGGACAAAAACCACGAGCAAAGAUAAUUUUACUAUAAUGACAAAAGAAACAAAUAGUACAAAAGAUGGAGAUAAAAACUAAACCCUGAAAACCCGAAAAUAAAGAACCCUCAAAACGUAAACACAAAAUUCUCUAUGUGUGUUAUGAGUUCUAAUAUCUAAUGGGUAUAUUUUCUAAGGUUGUAAAAGAGCCUAUUUAUAGGCUAAAUUCAUAUGUCAAAUAAUAAUAAAAUAAUCUAAACUAAUCAGUGUUUGAUUGAAACAAAUAAACAGAGUUUAACUAGAACAUUAUUUCUCAAAUUUGACUGAAAUAUGAGUCAUACUUAACAAAAAUCAUGAAAAAUUAAGUUGAAAAUACUCACAUGCAAGAGAACUAAGCCCAACCGAAUGCUCUUCUAGCCUCUAAUGGAGGUUUCAGUUCAUUUCAAGCCAAAAAUAAUAAGAUGGUGACUUUUUUUUUACUUAAUUUUAUGUUUUAUUCAUUAAUUACUAUUUUUCCCUUUAAUAUAACUCAAAUUUCAAUACAAAAAGCCUUUAAAACCGUCCACUCUUAAAAACUAGGGUAAAUUUGCUACUUAAAUCCCUCAAUUUAUUAUUUUAUACUCCUUUAAUACAAUUAACUAAUAACAUUAAACUUUUGCAGCUUUUACAUUUUAGUUCUUUACUUAAUUAACAUAAUCAAACAAUAAAAUUAACAUACCAAAUUUUUAUAAGACAUUACCACGACCAUCCAGAUGCUAGUUAAAUAAUAAAAUAACAUACUAAUUGCAGUCGAGGUCCCGAACCACAGUUCUCGAUACCACUGAAAACGGGUUAUUACACUAAACCCUAUCAUUGAAACCUUAAACACUUGAGGAACAAGAAAAUGGGAGGGUUUAAAGCCUGAAAAUAGAUAUUGGAUGUGAGAGAAUAGAGUGACAUAGGUCAAAAGUGUUGGUAGGUCUGUGUGGUUGCUGACACCAACAAAUGGCACCAUUCAGUCUCAAUUUAUUACAUUUAAUGGGUUUAUAUGGUUGCAGGGUCCAAAAAAUGCCACAGACCAAUCAAAUAUCAAGGGUUAGGAAAAAGGGAUAAUGUUAACACACACCUACACUACAUCUUUUUUUUAACCAUGAUGGCAUGGGUGAUGCAUGAACCAUGCAUAGAUGGUCAUAUUAGUAGCUUAGAUCAAUCAUCAAUUGGAUUUUUUUGAGAAGGAGCUAGGGAAAUGGUUUAUAACAUAUAUUACCCUAAAUGAAUAAUUUUAUUUGUAUUAAACAAUUACAUUGGUUGGCAUAUUAUCUUAUGUCAACUUUUGCUACCAUUAUCAGGAAUAGAGUAAUAAAAAAGAAUAAAAACAAUUUACCAUCCCUAGUCUACUUAGUGCAUUGGAUCUUUCAUCCAUGAUCUAGGUAAAUUUAGGAUCAACAACUAUAUCUGCAAAGUUGAGCCUGUUGUUAGGACCAACAGGUACGAUAGCCAAGGAAUCUUUAACAGAAUCGCCUCUACCUUGCCCUUUACUUUAGUUUCUACCUCGACUGUAGUCAUUUGGCCCUGUCUUAAUGUUUUCCUUGACCUGCUAUCUUAUAUCAUGAUCUGUUCAUAGAUUUCUCCCUCAUUGAACUUGGCCUCUGAUAAUAGGUUGGGCUCACACUUUCAUGUUCCUCAUCUAACAUUUCAGAACUAAAUGAUCAAUCCAAGAAAAUGGAGUCUCUCUUGAGAAGUAUGUGUAUGGUUUACCAUUGUCCCUACACCAUUCUAUAUAUAUAGUAAAAAGAUGCAAAAAUUGUCAUCCUUGAUCAAUGCAACCUAUGGCUUAUGUUGGAAACGAUUUCUUCAAUAUGUCAUGUGUUGUACAAAUCUAAGCCCAAUUAUGUUCCCACCCCAAACACAACUUAAUGGGUUCAUAGUCAUCCAUAUUCUCCGGAUUUGUUAGAAUCCCUUGGACCAUCUUGAAUUGUUGUAAUACUUUAUCUAGCUAAUGUCACUCGAAGCAAGAAAUGCAUAUAAUGGGUGUGCAAAUGGUAAAAACAUAGCUCUGCGCAUGUGCCUCUAGUAGUAGUAUGGUUGCAAACUCUUCUACUUGGUACGACAUCCACAAAAAAUUGUAAAAUAAAUAUUGAAUUUAAAUUCCAUUAUCAAAUGAUAUUACUUAAUGUAAUUGAACUCGGCCUAGUAGAACACAAUUAAUCGAAACAUUGGAUUCCUUAUUAAUUGUUUCUAAUAUUGAUGCCAAACUAUCCUUCUAGUAUGUCAUAUGGUCACAUUGCUCAGACCACCAAUUAAAUUACAAAAUGUUAGUACAAAUAUAAAAUAUUUAGAAAGUAAUGGAUUUUAAGGGUUAGGUUCUAUUUUUACUAUUUAGCUAGAGGGUAAUUAAGAGGUUUAAAAGGUAUAGACGCAAUAAGCGAAAGUCGAUACUACCCUCACAACUGUAAAAUCACAAGACAAUCAUUCACUUCCUUAUUCCCUAAACUACACCCUAUGCACAAUGCCUUGUAAAGGCAAGCCAAAUUAGCAAAGCUCAACCAUAUGUAAUAAUCGUCCGAAAAUUUUAUAACAAAGAAAGGUACAUAGUAUGAACUAAGUUGACAAACUUUUUUUUCCAUAUGCACACCUUUGGUCAAGCAUAGAAUGUACGCUCGAGCAUGGCAAUAAAUAUUAAUAGGCAUUAGUUUCUCCAAGAGAAGCUUAAAACUCUUCUUCAACUAGUCUAACUUCAUCUGAAGCCUUUUGAACUUGUUUGAUACAAUGUCUAGAACUACCCAUAGCCCCUCCACAACCCAUAAAUAGGAGGAUAAUGCGCUUUAACGCACUCGAACCCACGUACUCUUGCAUUGGCAACAAUGCCCAUGCCAAUCAAGCUAAGACUCAAUCAAUGAUUUUUUACAUGUUUUAAAAUUACGAGGUUCUGUUAAGAAUUUUAAGUGAAACUCAACAUUCACUAGUGUCGACUUCAAUUUAUAUUUUCCUUAAAUUUUAAUAAUAUUACAUUAUCUUUUUUAAAAAAAAUUUGUUCGCAACCCGACACUAAAAAAUGUCAAGUUCAUGGUUACAUGUUAUCUGUAGUGAACUCGACACUUAUAAAUAUGGAUUACAAUAAUUAUAUCAUAAUACAGAUCCUAAUUUGAAGGGCGCAUUGAAAACUUGAAGGGGUUAAUACGAACAUAUUAAAAUAUUUGAUGCCUAUGUCAGCGGAAUCAACGUUUUAUCACGUUCCUUCGUUUUGUCCCCCAAAUCUUGUAAACGUGUUUCCCCGGGAAACAAUGAAGAGGGGUACAAAGUAUAAUUGAUUUUGCCCUUGGGUUCCUAACAUGUUGCUAGGGAUUGCUAAGAGUUGUUCGUAUUUAAAUUUACCAAAAUUUUAAUUUAUUGUUUUUAAUGUAAAUAACAAUAGCUGACUUUCAAUGUGUAAUAUUAUUUAUUUAUUUGUGUAAUAUUUUGAAAAUAACUUAAACAAAUAAAAAAAAGAGACAAAUUUUAUCUUUAUGGAAAUGGAAUUUUCUUCUUCUUGUUUUGAAAUUCAAUGAAAUUUUCUUGAAUUGAGAAUAAGGGAAAAACUUGUUUGAACUGACUCAUGCAAGAAUUAAAUUAAAGAAUAUUUGGUGUUUAUUUUAUUCCAUUUUCCUGUUUUUUUAUCUCAACCAGUCGAAACUGUUGUUCCAAUAGGGUCGGAAGCGUGUAAAUUAUUGUACUAAAAAAUCACACAAAGUUCAAUUCCCAGGGAAGAGAGGUGGAUCACAAGGAUCUCUUAAAUACCAAGUCUUUCCUUAGUCAGAAUAUUCCUUCUAACGUAAUUUAAUAGCACAAUUAAAUACUACUAUUAUACCCUCAAAUAUUGAAAGAAAAAUAGGACAAAAAGAACAUAAGAGUUUUAACGAGGUUCGGUAAAUUAUACCUACGUCCUCGGGCACUAACACUAGAUGAUAACUUUACUAUCUCCAAAAUAUUACAAACAAAUAGAAUUCCUUAAGAAUUCUCAAAUGGGAGAAGAGAGAAACUAAGAGAGAAAGAUUGGUUAGGAUAGUGUAAAUGAGAAAUGGUUAGGCCUAUUUAUAGUUGAGGUUCAGGGACUAACUUGCAAAUGGCCUAAAAAAUUAGGGACCAAAAUUGCAAUUAUCCCAUUCAACUUUAAACAACUUGCCUACCAUUUUUUUUUCUUUCGGUGCCACUUGCACCUCCCAUUUUUUUGACUUUUCAACACCCCUUUUAAUUUGUCUUUUCAACAAUCUCCACCUUGAAGAUUUGAUUAGGAUAAUCACAUCUUCACAUACUUCCUUCAACUCCCCAAAUUCGAUAAAGCUAUCUUUUGUAGUGCCUCCAAAUGCGCUCUCGAGCGCCAUACACCUAAAGGUGCUCAAAUUCUCAGGAUGUUAAUCAAGUUCAAACAAUGAUUAAACUUGAUUGUUGUUACCACCUUGGUCAUCAUAUCUGCGGGAUUAUCUGCUGUCGGAAUCUUCUGAAGUAGAAUUUUUCCUUUUUCAAAGACUUCCCGCACAAAGUGAUAUCUUACGUCGAUAUGCUUGGUUCUUGAAUGAUAGACUUGAUUUUUCGCUAAAUGAAUAGCGCUCUGACUGUCACAAUAUAAACUUAUGUGACUUUGAACAACUCCUAAGUCUUUCAACAAUCCAUUAAGCCAAAUAGCCUCCUUAACAGCUUCUGUAACUGUCAUAUAUUCUGCCUCUGUAGUAGACACAGCUACUGUAGACUGUAAGGUAGACUUCCAACUCACUGGGGCUUUCGCAAGAGUAAACAGAUACCCCGUAGUUGAACGACGUUUAUCUAAAUCACCAGCAAAGUCGGAAUCAACAUAUCCAACUACAAACUGACCAAGUGCUUCAUCCUGUUCAAAAAUUAAACCAACAUCUACGGUUUUUCGAAGAUACCGUAGAAUCCAUUUCACAGCUUGCCAAUGUCCUUUUCCAGGAUCAUGUAUAUACCUGCUCACAACUCCAACAGCUUGUGAAAUGUCAGGCCUCGUACACACCAUCGCAUACAUCAAACUCCCAACUGCAUUAGCAUAUGGGACUUUCGCCAUAUAUUCUCUUUCAUCUUCAGUCUUCGGAGAUAAUUGAGCACUAAGUUUCAAAUGAGAAGCAAGUGGGGUACUUACAUGUUUUGUGUUUUCAUUUACACCAAAACAUUGUAAUACCUUUUUCAGAUAUUGCUUCUGAUUUAAACAGAGCUUACCUCUCGGUCUAUCUCUACUUAUCUCCAUGCCGAGAAUCUUCUUGGCCUCACCUAGAUCUUUCAUCUCGAACUCUUGAUUCAACUGAGCCUUCAGCUUAUCUAUCUCAUUUUGGCUCUUCGAAGCGAUUAACAUAUCAUCAACAUACAAGAGUAGAUAAAUGAAAGAUCCGUCAUGCAGCUUCUGCAAAUACACACAAUUGUCAUAUUUGCUUCUUGUGUACUUCUGCCUUCUCAUAAAGCUAUCAAAUCGCUUGUACCACUGCCUCGGGGAUUGCUUCAAUCCAUAUAGCGAUUUGUUCAGCUUACAAACCCAAUUUCUACCACCAGCAUCUGUGUAUCCUUCGGGCUGAGUCAUAUAGAUCUCCUCUUCUAACUCACCAUGCAAGAAAGCCGUCUUAACAUCAAGUUGAGCUAGCUCCAAAUUCAACUGUGCUACCAAGGCCAACAAAAUUCUAAUGGAGGAAUGCUUCACAAUAGGGGAAAAUACAUCAUUGUAGUCAAUUCCCUCCUUCUGAGCGUAGCCUUUAGCUACCAAUCUUGCCUUGUAGCUAAUAUCCUUCUUGCUAGGAGAUCCAUCUUUCUUUGCGAAUACCCACUUGCAUCCGAUUGCCCUUUUACCUUUCGGUAAUUGCGCCAACUCCCAAGUAUUGUUCUUCCGGAGAGACUACAUUUCUUCAUCCAUGGUGCUUUUCCAUUUAUCACUUUCUAAGCUUUGCAUUGCUUCUUGAUAAGUGAUAGGAAUAUCAUCAACAACGGGAAGGGCGUAGGCCACCAUAUUAGUAAAUCGAGCAGGUUUACGAAUUUCUCUCCGUGGCCUUGCAACUGCAACUGGUUCUGGUGUACUUAGUGGUUCUUGGGUCAGAACCUCUUCAACCUCUAAUUCCUCCAUUGUGGCUGGAGAAUUAGAGUUAUUAACUGGGCAAAUCCCCAUCUGCUCAAACUCCACCUGUUUUGGAGUACACUCCACCUGCUGUGGAGUAUUGCUCUUUUGAAUAUCUUUAUCUGCUACCUUUUUCAAUGUGGUAGAUUCAUCAAAGGUAACAUCUCUGUUACAGAUCAUUUUCUUUGUGCUUAAGCACCAAAGACGAAAUCCCUUCACUCCAGAAGUGAUUCCCAUAAAGAGAGCUUUCUUUGCCCUCGGAUCUAACUUUGACUCCUUCACAUGGUAAUAUGCAGUGGAUCCAAACACAUGUAAGGAAUCAUAAUCUGUAGCCGAUUUUCCAGACCAUACCUCCAUAGGAGUUUUUCUUUCUAAUGCAGAUGAUGGCAAACGAUUAACAAGAUGGCCAGCGUAUGUCACAGCCUCAGCCCAAAAUUGCUUGCCCAACCCAGCAUUGGACAACAUACAUCGAACUUUCUCCAGCAAUGUUCGAUUCAUAUGCUCUGCCAAUCCAUUCUGCUGUGGUGUAUCCCUAACUGUGAAGUGUCGAACAAUACCAUACUCUUGGCACACAUCGAAGAACGGAUCACUUUUAUAUUCUCCUCCAUUGUCCGUCCUAAGCCGCUUGAUUUUCUUGCCAGUCUGGUUUUCGAUCAUAGUUUUCCAUUUAAGAAAAACUCUAAGCACUUCAUCCUUAGUUCUCAUGGUAUACACCCAAACUCUUCUGGAAAAGUCAUCAACAAAAGUAACAAAGUAGUGUUUUCCUCCCAAUGAAGGUGUCUUGGAAGGCCCCCACACAUCUGAGUGAACAUAUUCCAAAAUACCUUUUGUAUUAUGGAUAGCAGUACCGAAUUUCACUCUCUUUUGCUUUCCCAAAACACAAUGCUCGUAAAAUUUUAAUUUGUAAGCCUUUGCACCUUUCAACAAUCCUUGCUUUGCCAGAAUUUGCAAGGAUUUUUCGCUGGCAUGUCCCAACUUCAUAUGCCACAACUGCAUUGAGUCCAAUUCUUUGUUACCGAAAGCUGUAGCGACUGCUCCAAUAACUGUACUACCUUGGUAGUAAUACAAGUUAUUUUUCCUGAUGCCCUUCAAUAUCACAAGUGCGCCAGAUGUCACUUUCAAAAUCCCAUCUCUCAUAGUAACAAUUGAACCAUUGGAUUCCAAGGCUCCCAAUGAGAUGAGAUUUUUCUUCAAACUGGGCACAUACCGAACAUCAGUCAGAACUCUGGUUGAUCCAUCUUGAUUCUUUAAUUGGAUUGAACCUAUCCCAACAGUUUUACAGGCAUUGUCAUUGCCCAUAUAAACAACUCCUCCAUUUAGUUCUACUAAAUCAGAGAACCACUCCCGGUUAGGGGACAUAUGAUAGGUACAACCCGAAUCCAAUAUCCACUCAUCUGAAUGGAACGACGAUGAUGAUGCAACCAGUGAUAGUUCAGAGUCACUAGUAUCAUGCUUAGCAACACAAGCAUCUACAGCAGCUUUUCCCUUAUUCUUCAGCUUUGGACAAUUUUUCUUCCAGUGGCCUUUCUCAUGACAAAAAGCACAUUCAUCUUUCCCGAGUCUGGACUUUGACUUUGAUCUCCCCUUUUGAGUUUUCUUCCGAGCGUAUGAACGACCUCGGACUACUAAAGCUUCUGUAUCUCUGAUUGAGUUUUUCUGUUUGUCAUUCUUUCUCUGUUCAUAACUGUAUAAGGCCGCACAGACUUCGCUCAGAGAUAUAUCACUCCUGCCAUGAAGUAGAGUAGUUUCUAGGAACUCAAACUCCUCAGGAAGUGACCCCAACAGCAUCAAAGCCAAAUCUUCAUCUUUGAAUGUCUCAUCCAUAUUCAGCAAAUCAGUGACUAACUGAUUAAAUUUGGUGAUGUGAUCAUUCAUUGUGGUACUUGGGACGUAUGUGAAGCGAAACAGUCUUUUAUUCAAGUGGAGCUUAUUUUGACUGUUUUUCUUCAAAAAAUUUUCUUCAAGUGCCACCCACAACUUAUUUGCAGAAGUAUCCUUUGAAAAAGCAUACCUCUGCUCUCGAGAAAGGCAUGAUCGAAUUGUGCCACAUGCCAACCGAUUGAUCGCCUUCCAAUCUUUCUCCUGUACAUCACCUGGUUUCUCUUCAUCAAUGGCAAUGUCUAGACCCUGCUGAAAAAGGGCAUCUAGAACCUCACUUUGCCACAUACCAAAAUGGCCCGUGCCAUCAAAGAUCUCCACGGCCAAUCUUGCAUUUGCAAUUGUCGGUCUUGUCCACAUGGACGAUGUUGAAGCUCCUACACCGACCGUUUUCUCCAUAAUCUUUCAAUAUACCUAAGGAAAUCUUUUCUGAUGUGGAAGAUCAGUUUAAACUGCAACCACAGAGCAUACUACGAUUAACCUUUGGCUCUUGAUACCACUUGUUGUUCCAAUAGGGUCGGAAGCGUGUAAAUUAUUGUACUAAAAAAUCACACAAAGUUCAAUUCUCAGGGAAGAGAGGUGGAUCACAAGGAUCUCUUAAAUACCAAGUCUUUCCUUAGUCAAAAUAUUCCUUCUAACGUAAUUUAAUAGCACAAUUAAAUACUACUAUUAUACCCUCAAAUAUUGAAAGAAAAAUAGGAAAAAAAGAACAUAAGAGUUUUAACGAGGUUCGGUAAAUUAUACCUACGUCCUCGGGCACUAACACCAGAUGAUAACUUUACUAUCUCCAAAAUAUUACAAACAAAUAGAAUUCCUUAAGAAUUCUCAAAUGGGAGAAGAGAGAAAACUAAGAGAGAAAGAUUGGUUGGGAUAGUGUAAAUGAGAAAUGGUUAGGCCUAUUUAUAGUUGAGGUUCAGGGACUAACUUGCAAAUGACCUAAAAAAUUAGAGACCAAAAUUGCAAUUAUCCCAUUCAACUUUAAACAACUUGCCUACCAUUUUUUUUUCUUUCGGUGCCACUUGCACCUCCCAUUUUUUUGACUUUUCAACACCCCUUUUAAUUUGUCUUUUCAACAGAAACACGACAAAGACAGGUAACAAAACAUGACAAACAGCACUCUCCCCAUUGCAUGUUCUCAUCACUAUAUAAACCCUACAAUCCUUAGUAAACACAUCACACAUCAAACAUCAAAAAAUAGUAGUACUUUCAUAUAUUCGACAAUGGCUCGCCCUACCCCAGUUUCACCCUCAUCAGAAACAUACCAGCAACCGAUGAGGAAUGAGCAUUGGAUGCUCAACGAUGAGAUGGAUGAGCAAAUUCUGUCGACUCAUGUCCCCGAUGGUCCUGUUGUUGAUGUUAAACCAAUUCUUCAAGUCACUGGCAAAGUUUUGCUUCAUACUAUGAAUGUAAACUUUGAUAACCUUAAGAUUUCAUGAUGUUUAUAUUCCAGAAAGUGGAAAGAUUUUCAAGACAAUGCUUUGGAUUUGUUUUGUCUUGUAGGGAGGAUCGGGACACAUCGAUGUAUUCGACGAUCAGACCAUCUUGUCUGCCGUUGAUGGCACGCUUGAUGCAGUAGACAAAAUCUGCAGCGAGGUUAUUCGGCUGUUUUAUUUUGCUUUCUGAAUCUCGAUCGUUUUUGAAACCGAAAAAUAACGAUCGUAACAUAAGUUGAUGUUUUGUAGCUAUCAAGCAACUGUUCAGGAGGGGGGAAUGAUCAUGCAACAACAAUGGCGAUCUUCAACAUGCUUUCAAGCUAUUCAUGGGGUGUAAAAGUGGUGCUAACAUUAGCAGCUUUUGCAGUGAAAUUCGGGGAGUUUUGGCUGAUCUCUCAGCUUUACACUUCCAACUCAUUGGCCAAAUCAAUGGCUCUCCUCAAGCGACCCGCCAUUUUAGGGAACUGCCAAACAUGGAAACCCUACUUUGAUGCACUCAGAAAGCGCAUCAAUGCAAUGAUCAAUGUAACCGAGUGCAUUGUUGAGCUUACUGAGCUACCUUCUAAGUACGUUCCCAUCGAUGAGCCACCAUUGUCGACCACCAUGCCUCAUAUCCGCUCUGCUACCUCCUGUAUCAUUUCGAAUGUCGUCACUUGUGCUAGGCAGAUUACAGGCCUCGUAGAGAUGAGACAUGAGUGAGUCAUAAAUUUCCUAUGUGCUCAAUUAGACACUAUGAUGACAUUAAAUUUACCAACAAUUAAAUCUUUUGUUUGAAUCAUUUCAGGUUCAAUACAUUUACUUCGGAGGCAUGGGACCUAUCAACCUCGGCAAAUAAAUUUAGCAGCAUACAUGAACACCUUCAAAAUCGAUUACUUAUUUGUAAAGAGCAUAUGAGUGAGUCCAUCCUUGACGAAAACUCUAGAAAUAUAAACCCUCUAUCUAUACAUUUAUAUAAAAAUUUAAGUAUGAUUGUAAUGAGAUGCAGAUGGGAGGAUGCUAAUGGAAGCUUUUGAAGACUUCAAGCGUACCAUUGAAACACCUCAAGUGGACAACUUGACGAUUCUCCAAAAUAUCUUCGGGAAGGAAGAGAACCUCUUUAAUCCAGACAAGACCAAGGUCUGUUUAAUUCCAUGUUCCAAGUUUCAACUAUGUUUUAAAUUUCAUUGGAUCGUAUAUUAACUUUGCUGGUAUAAUUUAACAGGUUUCUAUCAAUGUCUUGAGAAGAAAGCAUGUUUUAUUGCUUAUUUCGGAUCUUGAUAUCUCCCAAGAGGAGAUUCGGGCUCUUGAAGUUGUUUACAAAACAAGGGUUUCAUCUGGGCAUAACUAUGAGAUCAUAUGGCUCCCAAUUGUGGACAAAACAGCUUGGAAUGAUGGUUGUCAGAAAAUUUCGAGCCUGCAAUCAAUUAUGUCAUGGUAUACUUUGAGCCACCAAUUUUCCAUUAAACCAUCAGUGAUUAAAUACAUAAGGGAAGUAUGGGGUUUCGUUAAGAAACCAAUUGCGGUGACACUGAAUCCACAAGGAAAGGUUUUAUGCCCAAAUGCACUCAACAUGAUGUGGAUGUGGGGAAAUUCAGCUUUCCCAUUUAGCAGUGAAAAAGAAGAAAGUACUUGGCAAGCUAAAGCUUGGACAUUUGAGCUUCUCAUUGGUCGCCUUGAACCGAACUUAUCUUCUUGGGUACAUAAACAUCCUCACAUAACUUUAAUAUUUCUGUGUAUAUCAAUUAAUAUGCUUAAUUUAUUUAUGGUUUUGUGUUGUUAUAAUCAGGUGAGCCAAGAGAAAGUGGUUUGUUUCUAUGGUGGUGUGAAAAUGGAAUGGAUCGAAAGUUUCACUACCGCAACAAAAGGGGUAGCAAAGGCUCUCGAUAUUGGCUUAGAAAUGGUUUAUGUUGGGAAGCAAAAUGCAAGGGAACGAACGAAAAAGAUUACUGGUUUAAUCAUAGAGAAGCAACUUAGCCAUGCUUGGCAAUAUGACAAUGUGUGGUGCUUUUGGAACCUAUUAGAGAACAUGUUGAACCCAAAAGUCCACCAAAGAAACACCAAUGCAACCGAUGGCAUAAUGCAAGAAGUGGCAACUAUGCUUGGAUAUGACGAUAGUAAAAAUGAAUGGGCUGUGUUCUUCACCGGAUCGGGUGAAAUGGUGAGCGCCAAUGGAGAGAAAGUGCUUAGCUGCAUGAAGAGCUUUGAUCAAUGGGGAAAACUUUCCAAGCAAAUGGGUUUUAUCCCAGCACUUCGUAAGCGUUUGGAAGGGAUUAUAGAGGACCAUCAUUGCACUCGCCUUCUCCUUCCGGGUAACGGUGGUAGCAUGCCGAAGACGGUGCAAUGUGCUGAGUGUGGUCGUGCGAUGGAGAUGUAUUUCUUGUAUCGCUGCUGUGUUGAGUGAAGUAAAGAAAGGGGAAAAAGAUGGUUUUGGGGAGGUUUGUUUGGUAUUAUGAUAUGAUGAUCAUAUCUAGAGUCGACGUGUUUGCUAGGUUUUCUAAUAAUGUUUAGGGCUCUUUUAAUAUCCCACACUGGUUAUUGAAGAGCCUUAGCUAAUUUUACCUAAUUGUUUGUGUUGCAUUAAUAGUUUGCGUUGUAAGUCUACUUCCCUAAAUAAAGUGUUCUUUUGAUUUUAUGCGUUCUCUCUUAAAUAAUUAGCUCCAAACACCAAAUUAAAAACAUAUUAAUUACAUUCCAUUAUAUUAAUAAAGCCUUGUUAGUUUAAUCAUUAAAUAUAACGUCAUAAUUUAAUAUAAAAAUUUUAAAGUAAAAUAAAUAUAAUAGAAAUAUUAGUUUUGAGGUUUGUGGGAAAAUUUUGAACCACAGGUCAAAUGGACGGUUGGGUGUUUAAAUAGGUAACGGAUUUUUAAAAAUUGGGUUAUUGCCCUUUUUGCCCCUUUCUGCUCUUUCCUUUAUUUUAAAUUAGAGUUUAUUUUCUUAAUUAUUUUGAAAUCCGGUUUCGUUUUUAAAAUCCGUUUUAAUUUAAUUAAUUACCAAGCACCUAAUAUCAAUUUUCACACUUAAAAUUUUAAUUCUGGUUAUUAUUUUAAUAUUUUAUUUAAUUAUUAGCUGCGAUCCUAAUUUUGGUAUCGGACUCAAACCCUCAACUACUAAUCCGAUUUUUGGGAUGUUACAAUUUCUAUAUUAACAUUCAAAAUUUUCUAUUUUAUUUAUUUCUAAAAAUUCUCUGAUAUUCUUAACCCGACAUGACACUGUAACCAGCUUCGAGUCAUAAAGCGGAUGUUACACUUAUCUACCAACAUUCCACUUUGGUCAUUAAAAUUUGGCUAUUUUAACUACUAUUGACAAGGGAUUGUGAUUGAUAUUUAAUAUGUUAACGAGUCUCGAAAAUCUUUAUAUAUUUGAGAGACUUGUAUAGAUUGAUGAAAUUUUAAAAAAAAAAAGAGCACUAUUUUUUUAGUAAAAAACAUUAUUUGUGAGGGUGCAUUUUGACAAGAAAACCAUAUUUGUAAUUGGUUUUACAACCUUAGUUCUCGCCCGGGGGGAGGGGGGGAGAAUUUAAUAGUGAGAAGUCAAGCCUUUGAGGUACAAAAGUAAGGAUUUUUUAUCGGGGUAUGUUAUCACAAGUUGUAUUGAUUUUAAAGAUAGUAGAUUCAUCUCACUAAACGAGGCUCCGCAAACAUAGAGAAACUGAACUGCAUAAACAUUUUAGCCAUGAAGAUUAGUUUUAGUAGUAGUGUUUUUAUUAUUGUUACUGCAUCUUGCUAUAUGACUUAGGAUGGGUUUGGAUGGGCGAUUGGGUGCGGUGCGGUGCGUUUUUACACUAACCGCAGAUAAAUACACCGCCCAUCCAAACCCACCCUUAGUUAAUUCAUGUGUAGUGGUGGAGUUAUAAGUUAUGUUUGAGCUUCUAAAAUGGUUGAGUUUAAGUGUAUUUCACUAAAACAUUUGGACAUGUCUCUUGUGAAACACACAAGUUUAAGUAACUACAACACUUAAAUUCCUUUUUGUUUUGUGUUCACUUACAUCCAUUAAGACUCGUUUUUAGUUGUAAUUAAUAAAUACAUUAAAUUUUUAUUAGAUUAAGCUAAAAAAGAGUGUAAUUAUCAAUAUUGUAUGGAUGGAAUAAGGGUGAGUUUGGAUGGGCGGUGCGUUUACCUGCGGUUAGUGUAAAAACAGCGGUGGCGGUGAGAUUAGAUACUGUAGCGAUAUUGUAGCGUGAGACAAAAAGUAAACUAAACUCACCACACCGCACCGCACUCAAUUGCCCAUCCAAACCCACCCUAAGUAUAAUGUUAUUAAUAAAAUUGGGUUUGAAACAAGGAUUGGAGCACUCAAUUUUAUUUUACUUUAUGGGUUGAUUGCCAUUUUUAUCCUUAAUAGUUUAUUGUUGAUAUGAUCAAGUCCUUGUUUGUAGUUUUAUUUGUUCAAUUUGACAAUAUUGCUAAAAUUUUUUUAUUUGUUAUCGAUUGCUAAUGAUGUUUUUAUUUAUAAACAAACUAUCUACCUAUCUACCUAAAUCCUAAUUUCUUUUUUAAAGAAAACAAAAGUCCUUAUAAGGUCAUGUGAUUUGAUUUGAAUUAUAAUUUAAUAAUUAAAAUAUAAAAUACGUAAUAUGCAAUAUUAUUAUAAAAAUAAUUGUAAUAUUUAAUUAAGAGUAGUUAAAAUGUAUAAAUUAAGUAGGGCCAAAUUAUGCAAAAAAAAUAAUUGAAGCUUGUUGAGAGAAAUUAAUUCUUUCUCAAGAAGUUUUUUAAGCGCCAUCUGUGAAGUAACUAGUUGGACCUCCGACAAUGGUGGAUAUUGUCCAUAAGUCAAGCCAAGUUUUAUCUUCCAACUAUAUUGAAAGCCCAAACUUAAAAUAGAAUUUAUAGAAUGAGAACAUUUCAUAAAAUUGACACUUACCAUAGAACAAGCACGUCACUCACUUGAUAGGAUAUAAACCCAACCUUUAGCAUAUAGAUCAUAUGUACCACUUGAUCUAUGGUUUUUUUCUAGAAAAUAAAGGGUUGACAGGAAUGUAUAAAACCCUUGCUACUUGUAAUAAAAUAGUAAAAUUGUUUUAAUCGAUGGUUAGGUAUUUACUUAGGAUGCAAAACUCAUUUUUAAUUUUUUAAGAAAACGAUAGGGUGGUAGGAAUGUUUAAAAUAUUUCAUUUUGUUUGGAUUGUUAUGUUUGUAUAUACAAAAAUGAUAGGUUUUGUUCAAAGAGUUAUUCUACUGUGUUUUAAUCGAGAAAUAAUGAUUUAAGUCCUACACACCUACCAUGUCAUAAUUUCACACUUAUAUUUUAAUCCCGAUUACUCUUCAGUAAAAUUUUCCAUUAUAAAUUUGGUUAUAAAUCAAGUGACUGAUUUGAAAAUCCAAACUUUAGUUGUAUUGUUGACUUUGUUUUCACAUGCGUUAAAUAGAUGUUUAAAGUUAGAAGCAAGUGAAUGUAUUAAAUAUUUAUCUAUAUAUAUAUCUAUAUCUAACCUUUGGUGUUGACUUUGUUUUCACAUAUAUUAAGUGGAAGUCCAAGUGAAUGUAUUAAAUAUUUAUCUAUAAUGUAUUAUAUAAAAGCAAAUUGUAUAUUUUUUAUUAUUAAAUUUUGAAAUUUUGAAAUUUUUUAUUGUAUUUUUACAUUGAUGUUAGAAUACUAUUUUUUUUUAUUAAAAUUUGAAUAUUAAAAAUAUUCUUAUAAUUUAUUCUAUUACUAUAUUAAUAUUUAAAUAUUCUUUUAUUCUUUUAUCAAAUUUUGAAUAUCUAAAUAUAUUUUAUUAAAUAUGAAAUUAAAAAAAUAAACUCGUAAAAUCACAUCUAACAUAUAUGACAUUAGAGAUUAGUGUAUAUAAAAGCAUUCAUUUAAAGAAACUAGUAAUAUAUUAAAGCACGAGUUUAAACUAACGAAAAUAUCUUUUUGUUAUUCAUUAUUACUAAAUUAGCAGUAUGAUACUAUAUUUUUAUUAAAUGUUAAAAAUAUUUUAUUUAUAUUUAUUUUCAUAUAAAAUUAUACAUGUACUAUCAUUUAAAUAAUUCAAUUUUGAGUUACACUUUUUUAUUAAUACAAAAGUAAGACUUACCACUAUAAAAUAUGUAUUGCUAAUUAGUAGUUAAAAAUUCACAUAAAAAUUCAAAUUUCAUUAUCAUUUACACAUUCAAAUCUCCAUCAAGAUUUGAAGUUUUUUUUUUUAAUUAUUAUAGUAUCAAGUGGAAUUUAAAGGGGUAGGUGGUGCCUUGGGUAAAUUAUGUUUUGGCUCCUCAAAUGAAAAAAUUAUGUUAAAUCACUUUCAAAAUAAUGUAAUCAUAAAAUUUGUUAAAUUUUAACUCUUAAAAGUUCUCACCCCUUUUUUCAUAACCAUUUCAAAAAUAUUACUUUGUAUUACUUACAUUAAAUAAAAAUAUAUUAUUUAAUAAAUUAGAAAAAUAAUUAGGUAAAAUCACAUAACUCCAACCCCUAACUUCGUCUUUAUUUCGAGAGCCACUUCCAUCUUUCAAUUUCACUUAAAUUUGUUUAUCUAUUGGGAGUUUUCUUCAACCUUUUCUCUCAUUGGUUUUUAUUAUAUAUAAAGGAUACUAAAUCAUCAUGUGUGAUCUUGUGGUUAAUCUAGCUAUUUUUAUUUCAAAAUGAAUCCUCUUAUUCUAUUGAAGAAUGCUGCUCAAAAUGGAGAUGUUAACAAGUUAUAUCAAGCGAUAGCUCAAGAUUCUAAUGUUUUGGAGCAUUAUGAUAAAACAUCUUUCGCUGAAACUCCAUUACAUAUAGCUACAAGUCGAGGGCAUAUCAAUUUUGCUUUAGAGAUAAUGAGGCUUAAACCAUCUCUUUCCAAGAAGCUAGAUGAACAAGGAUGGAGUCCCAUGCACGUUGCGUUGCAACAUAACCAGACCUCGAUGGUGCACCGGCUCAUAGAGACGGACCCAACCCUUGUUGGUGUCAAAGGAAGGGAGGGUUUCACUCCACUGCACUACGUUGUUCAAAACGACGGAGUUAAUCUCUUGCGUGAGUUUCUAGCGGUAAGCCCUCAUUCCGUCAUUGAUACCACGAAUAAAGGCAAAACGGCUUUGCAUAUCGCUGCGGAGAAGGGAAAUACCAGAGCUUUAGAGGCUUUGUUGUCGUUUCUUGGAAGGUCAUGGUAUAGGGAGGCAUUAUAUUGGGAAGAGAAAGUAGUUAACUGGAAGGAUGAAAAUGGUUUCACUGUACUGCAUGUAGCAGUGACGAUGAACGAUAUCGAGGUGAUUUUUGAUGAACUCAUUUCAGCUAUGCAUGACAAGAUUAUAUUGCAUUGCAUUACAAUUAGAUUAUGUUAAGAAAUGGCUUAAAAUUGGUAGUGGAUUGUUGUUGUUGGUAGUGGGUUGUUGGUGGUAGUGGAUUAGUGGAUGGUUGUUGGUGUCCAUUUUCAACCACAAAUCUUUGCCAAAGUUUUGGACAAUUAUGUCCUUGAACUCUCUUAUAAAUAGAGAGGUUCAUUAGCCAUAUUCAUCAUCCCAAACCAAGAGAGAGCAAAGCUUGUUCUUUGAAAGCUAGGAUUUUAGCUUUCGGGUUUUCUAUAGGGGUUGAGAGUUGUGAGGUUCUCGGGUUGUGUCUUGAGUGUAAAACACUUGUAAUCUUCAUCUUGUUAUAGUGAAAUUUCUUUUCGCCUCUGCCCGUGGACGUAGGCAUUAAAGCCGAACCACGUAAAUCCUUGUGUUCACUUUAUUUUUCGUUUCGGUCAAUUUACUUGUAGUCAUAUCGGAGUUCUCGAAUCGAUCCUUUCCGCAACAAAUUGGUAUCAGAGCGUAGUUGAAGGAGUGAUAAUAUUUUCUGAAUUGCCCUGUGACUGCAGCUUUGUCUGAUCUUUCACAUCAGGAAGAAAAUAUUAUCAUUCAUUCAAAGGUUCCAAAUUAUGGCUACAAGUGUUUCAUCGACUAAGUAUGAUGUCGAGAAAUUUACCGGGAAAAAUAGUUUCAGUUUAUGGCGCAUCAAGAUGCGGGCAGUGCUGGUUCAACAAGGAUUGCUAAAAGCAUUGUCUGGUAAAGAUAAAUUACCAAGCACGCUUUCGGAAGAGCAAAAGGAUGACAUGCUAGAAAGAGCACAUAGUGCUAUUCUGCUAUGUCUAGGAGAUGAAGUGCUACGAGAAGUAGCGGAUGAGAAAACCGCGUCCGGUUUGUGGCUCCGGUUAGAGAGCAAGUACAUGACGAAGUCAUUGACGAACCGGCUCUACCUCAAGCAAAGACUCUAUGCCCUGAAGAUGGAGGAAGGUACACCUGUUUCCCAGCACCUGGAUAAAUUCAAUUCCAUUAUCAUGGAUUUGAAUAAUAUCGAUAACAAAAUCGAUGAUGAGGACCAAGCAAUAAUUGUUUUGUGUUCUUUGCCUCCCUCGUAUGAGAAUUUUGUUGAUACAAUGAUGUACGGUCGUGAUGACCUGACUCUAGAGGAGGUGAAAAAUGCCUUAAGUUCCAGUGAGUUGAGGAAGAAAAUCACUGGUAAGGUGGUCGAAAACAAUGAAGGCGAAGGCUUGGUUGCUCGAGGAAGAUCCAAGGCAAAGGGUGGAAGUUCAAGUAAAAGCCAUCCUAGAUCGCAGUCCAAGAAGAGAAUACAGUGCUACUACUGUAAGAAGUACGGGCACAUGAAGGUAGAUUGUCCGAAAAGGAAGGAGAAAUCAGAAUCACAGGAGCAACAAAAUGAUCGUGCGAAUGUAGCUGAUGCAGAUUCUUCAAGUGAUGCCGAGAUCGUUCUUGCAGUAUCCGACUCUUACGCUGGUGGGAGAUGGAUUCUUGAUACGGGAGCUACAUUUCAUAUAAGUACUUCGAAAGAUGCAUUCUCAACAUACGAGAAGCAUUCUGGUUCAGUACUAAUGGGAAAUGACCACGCAUGUCAAGUCAUGGGGAUUGGCACAGUUCGUAUAAAGAUGUUUGACGGUAUUGUUAGAACUCUAACUGAUGUUCGGCACAUUCCAGAAAUGAAGAAAAAUUUGAUCUCUUUGAGUACGUUGGACAAGAAAGGCUUUCGGUACUCUGCUGAAGGUGGAGUUCUCAAGGUAUUCUCGGGUGCUUUGACUGUGAUACGUGGUAAUUUGGAGCGGGGCCUUUACUUCCUCGAUGGUUCCUCGGUUACAGGUGUUGCGGGAGUGUCAUCAUCAGAUGAUCUAGAUUCUGACACCACGAAGUUAUGGCAUAUGCGGCUCGGGCAUAUGAGCGAGAGAGGCUUAUCGGUGCUAAGCAAACGAGGAUUAUUGUCUGGGCAGUGUACAGGAAAGUUGAAUUUCUGUGAGCACUGCGUCUUCGGUAAGCAGACUCGGGUAAAGUUCAGCACUGGGAUUCACAAGACAAAAGGCACAGUGGAUUACUUCCAUUCUGACCUUUGGGGGCCUUCUCCGACAAUUUCUAAAGGUGGUUACAGAUAUCUGCUUACCUUUAUCGAUGAUUACUCGAGAAAGGUUUGGGUGUAUUUUCUGAAGAGCAAGUAUGAGGUUCUCAUCAACUUCAAGCAAUUUAAAGCUUUGAUCGAAAAUCAAACAGGAAAGAAGAUCAAGCGAUUCCGGACGGAUAAUGGCUUGGAGUUUUGCUCAGGUGAAUUCAAUGAGUUCUGCAAAAAUGAAGGAAUAGUGAGACACCGCACUGUUCGUCGAACACCACAACAAAAUGGAGUUGCAGAACGCAUGAAUAGAACUCUCUUGGAGCGAGCUCGUUGCAUGCGAUCAAAUGCUGGGCUCGGUGAAGAAUUUUGGGCUGAAGCUGUUAAUACUGCUUGUUAUUUGGUUAACAGAUCUCCGUCAACAGCUAUUGAGCUGAAGACUCCUGAGGAAGUAUGGUCUGGUUCUCCUGCUGAUUACUCUGGUUUAAGAGUGUUUGGCUGCCCUGCGUAUGCUCAUGUAAAUGAGGGAAAACUCAAACCGAGGGCGAAGAAAUGCAUAUUUCUUGGAUACGGCCAAGGGGUGAAAGGAUACAGGUUGUGGUGUCCUGAUCCGGUUUCGUCCAAGUUCAUCAUCAGCAGAGAUGUGACUUUUGAUGAGUCAUCCAUGCUUCGAUCCACCACAAAUUCCCGGGAAAAGGAGGAGUCAGAUAGAAUGGGAGAUCACGGUGUUGAGAAGCAGGUGGAGUGUCAGGUGGACGCUCCAAUUCCUACGGAAGGUACUUCAGUCCAGGAUGAUCAAGUUGAGGUGCAAGAUUCCGAUGAAGAUGAGUCACCUCAAGAAAAACCAUAUAGCAUUGCCACUGGAAGAACGAAGAGACAAAUCAAACCAAAUCCGCGUUACGCUAAUCUGGUGUCUUUCGCGCUCAGUGUGGCGGAGUCCAUUGGUAUAGAACCUUCCAGUUAUAAUGAGGCUGUCACGUGUGAUGAGUCGGCACAGUGGGCAAUUGCUAUGAGUGAGGAGAUAGAAUCUCUUCACAAGAACCAUACUUGGGAGUUGGUUAAGCCGCCAAGUAACCAAAAGAUAGUUGGUUGCAAAUGGGUCUUCAAGAAAAAGGAAGGCAUCCUAGGGGUUGAAGCAACUAGAUUCAAGGCACGAUUGGUUGCUAAAGGCUUCACUCAGAAAGAGGGGAUUGACUACAAUGAAGUUUUCUCCCCAGUCGUAAAGCAUUCUUCCAUUCGUGUAUUACUUGCCAUGGUGGCCAAGUCUGAUCUAGAACUUGAGCAGCUUGACGUAAAAACGGCGUUCUUGCAUGGUGAGCUCGAGGAAACAAUCUACAUGCGUCAACCAGAGGGUUUUACAGUUCCUGGUAAAGAAGACCAUGUCUGUCUAUUAAAGAAGUCUUUAUAUGGAUUGAAACAAUCCCCAAGGCAGUGGUACAAGCGGUUUGAUAGCUUCAUGAUUCAGCAUGGUUACACAAGAUGUGACUAUGAUGCUUGUGUCUAUCAUCGGAAGCUCUCAGAUGGUUCGCACAUUUAUUUGUUGCUGUAUGUUGAUGACAUGUUAAUUGCUUCCAAAAACAUGUCGGAAAUCAACAAGUUAAAGUCGCAGUUGAGUGGUGAGUUCGAGAUGAAGGAUCUGGGUGCUGCCAAGAAAAUUUUGGGCAUGGAUAUUCACAGAGAUCGCAAGGCGGGCAAGCUUCGUGUGUCGCAGAAGAACUACAUUGAAAAGGUUCUUCAACGCUUCGGCAUGGAUAAAGCGAAAACUGUGAGUACUCCGUUGGCACCACAUUUCAAACUCUCUGCAGAGUUGUCACCACAAUCUGAUGAAGAAAAGCAGCAAAUGUCUCACAUUCCAUACUCGAGUGCAGUUGGAAGCGUGAUGUAUGCAAUGGUUUGCACUCGUCCAGACAUUUCACAUGCAGUUAGUGUGGUCAGCAGAUACAUGAGUUGUCCUGGCAAGGAACACUGGCAGGCCGUGAAAUGGAUUCUCAGGUACUUGAGAGGUUCUGCAGAUUUAUGCUUGGUAUAUGAUCAGAGUGACUGCACUAGCAGUGUCACGGGCUAUGUGGACUCUGAUUAUGCUGGAGAUCUGGACAAAAGAAGAUCUCUGACGGGUUAUGUUUUCACUUAUUCUGGAGGAGCCAUUAGUUGGAAAGCUGUGUUACAGUCUACCGUAGCCUUAUCUACGACUGAGGCGGAAUAUAUGGCGUUAGCAGAAGCAGUGAAAGAAGCAUUGUGGAUGAAAGGUCUAGUAAGCAGUUUGGGUUUACAACAGGAUUUCACUGUUGUAUUUUGCGAUAGCCAGAGUGCCAUACAUCUGACUAAAAAUCAGAUGUUUCAUGAACGGACCAAACACAUUGAUGUCAGAUAUCAUUUUGUUCGGGAACAUGUUACGCAAGGUGACAUUGUUAUCAGCAAGGUUGCUACCGAGAAGAAUCCUGCAGAUAUGUUAACUAAGGUGAUCCCUGCAUAUAAGUUCAAGCAUUGCUUGGACUUGAUAGGUAUUCGGGAUUGAUUAGCGCCAGAGAGGCGUUUGGAAGAGGUGAUCCAGUUCGAGGAAUUCACUAUGAUGUUCAGCUUGGUAAAUUUCAAGCCAAGGUGGAGAUUUGUUAAGAAAUGGCUUAAAAUUGGUAGUGGAUUGUUGUUGUUGGUAGUGGGUUGUUGGUGGUAGUGGAUUAGUGGAUGGUUGUUGGUGUCCAUUUUCAACCACAAAUCUUUGCCAAAGUUUUGGACAAUUAUGUCCUUGAACUCUCUUAUAAAUAGAGAGGUUCAUUAGCCAUAUUCAUCAUCCCAAACCAAGAGAGAGCAAAGCUUGUUCUUUGAAAGCUAGGAUUUUAGCUUUCGGGUUUUCUAUAGGGGUUGAGAGUUGUGAGGUUCUCGGGUUGUGUCUUGAGUGUAAAACACUUGUAAUCUUCAUCUUGUUAUAGUGAAAUUUCUUUUCGCCUCUGCCCGUGGACGUAGGCAUUAAAGCCGAACCACGUAAAUCCUUGUGUUCACUUUAUUUUUCGUUUCGGUCAAUUUACUUGUAGUCAUAUCGGAGUUCUCGAAUCGAUCCUUUCCGCAACAGAUUAUAUAACCGGCCAAAUUUUAUACGAAGUCCCUAUACUUUACAUUCUUCUUUGUAGCUUUAGUAAAUUUACUAAAUUUGAUCAAUUCUAGUUUUUGUUUAGACCGGGUUGUUUUCGGUUUGUGAUGAUGAUUUUGGGUUUUAAUUUUAGGUUUAAUUAAUUUUUCACUUUUUAAAAUAAAAAUUUUGUGCCGAUGGGGCAAGAAAAUUUGCCAUGCCUGUCGGGUCAACGAUUUGAUUUUGAAUUUUUCGGGGCAAUAUAUUAUUUGGUAUUUAAAUUUAGUUUUAAUGUUAAAUUUGAUAAUUAAUUUUUUUUUAAUUUAAUACUUAAGUUUAACUUCAAUUUUUUAUGCACUUUAAAUAAAAAGUGUGUUUAAUUGGAAAAGAAGCUCAAGUAUCAAAUUAAAAAUUGAAGCUAAACUCAAAUUCUUACUCUCUUUUUUUUUUUUUUACUAUUGUCUAAGUACAAAAAUCACAAAUUUUAAGUCAUUUUUCUGAACUAUCCAACUAUUUUCUUUUGAGUGAAGUUUAAAAUUUUAAUAUUCAAAAUGUCGAAUGAAAUUAAAAUUGAUAAAGUUGGAAUGCAGGACCAAAUCCACUAGAACCACAUAGUACAUGAACUAUUAGGACAAUUUAACCAUGAUAAUCCUUUCUUCAAUGGUAAUAAGAUGAUCAUUGCAAAAUCCUACCAUGCAGGUUGUGAAAUCGUUACUAAACUCUAAAAUCAACGUGAAUGCAAAAAGCCUAUAAGGCUUUACAGUUCUGGACAUUGUUGAUCGUGCUAACAAUAAUCCAGACAUGAAAGAUGUUUUAAUCCAAGCAGGAGCUAAACAUAGUGAUGUAAUGAAGACCUACGACAUUAAUGCUAUUCCUUCCAUGAAGCAAGUAAGUUUUGAACCAAAGCCUACACUUCUUGAUAAUGUCAUACGGUUCCUAAAAGGCCAGAAAACAAAUAUCUCGACCGAAACACAUGAUGCUUUGCUAGUGGUGGCUGCACUGGUUGCAACAGCCACUUUCCAAGCGGUUCUCAGCCCACCGGGAGGGCUUCGACAGGCUGACAGUAGCGACAGUGAUUCACUUCCGUUCAGCAAGGUGGGGAAGGUGGUGAUGAAAGAAUGGUUAUACAUAACUUUCUUGAUUCUUAAUAGUACUUCAUUUUGGGUGACAAUCAUAACCAUUUAUCUUUUACUCCCAAACGGGUUUUAUGGUCAGCUAUCGACUCUACCCUUAAUUCUCUUCUCGAUUACCUACUUGUUCUGCUCAACAAUCAUAUCACCAAGCCUCAUUUGUGCCAUUGUUAAUUUCAGCUUUUUCAUAUGUUGUGUGGUGUUACUCAGUUCAGGCCUUGUGGUUAUAUCCAAUCAUUCCUUGUUGUCCUACAUCAGGAAAUUAUGGUCCCGUUGCAGAUAGGAUGAUUUACUUGCGGAUUUGGAGUUUGUUGCAUGGAACCUCCUCAUCACUUGUUUGUGUUGUGUUACUCUGUCUACGACAUAACGUUGAACUCUAUUGCUAAUCGUUGAAUAAUGCGUUGUAAUUAAAGUUUGUAUUCGAAUAAUGUGUUGUAAUUAAAGUUUGUAUUCAAUCAGUGAGAAGGGAAUGGAUGAAUUUAAGAAAUUUAGUAGCCAUUUAAUUAGGAUGCAUGAGUUACAGAUUAACUACUUGGCUAGAAUAGAAGAAAGUAUAGAAUUUAAAAGUAGAGAUUGUAAGUGAUGAAGCCAAUGUAAGCUAAAAAAAAAAGUAAACUAAAAUUUCAUAUUCCAUCAUGAGUGUAUUUUCCCUUUACCAUCUUCAGAGUUUUUUCAACAAAGUAUUAAUCAAAGUUAAAUAUCCUUACAAAGAAAAUAUAGUGAAAAGAGAGUGAGAAAAAAAUGAACUUUUAAAGUGAUGAGUCAUGGAUUUCACAACUAAUUUAUUAAUCAACAAUAGAUUUUACGGUAAUGUUUGUAUAACAUCUUCAUACCCGAAGAAACUACUAAGAAAAUUAAGUUCGUUCAAUGAUUUUAUUUAACUAAUUAAAUUAUUUUACUUUUAUGUCACUUUUUAAAUGCAUAUCUAAACUUAAUACCAACUUUAGGUAGCUCUAUUAUUAGUUAAUAAAUGAAUAGGGACCAAAUUAUGAAAUUUGCAAACACAUUUGCUUCUAACUCUUUGACCCACAUAAAAAUAUGACAUUUAAUGUGUGCUACUAUUAUUAGUACUUUUAAAGAACUAUAAGGAAAAUAUUUCUCAAUAGUGCAACUUUAUUGAUUGAUACACAUACAUCAAGCAAAAGUACACAUACCCAAGUUUUUUGUUUAUUAUGCGUAAGGCAAAGUUUUGGGCACUUUGCUGACAUAUAAACACCUACUUAAUAACAUAAUAAUAAUGAAGCCACUAUAAUUGAGGAAAUUAAUUAUCUUUUAAAAGGUUCUUACUUUCUUUUUUCUCAAGAAGUUCAAUUGCGAUGUAUUUCAUUCAAGCUCAAUAUCUGAUUCAUAAGCAACUCCAGCUUUCCAAUCACUAGGAAUAACAUUUGAUGCCUGCACCCAAUAUACACCCGCUCUACCUUGAACUUGGAAUCUCAAAGUGACCGCUCCCGAUCGUGGAUACGUUGUGUCGAAAACUGCCCCGUAUGCCCUCCUCAUCCCUAUCCAUUCCUUACAAUCCGCCUGCAUAAUUCAUAUCACCAACAAAAUUUUGAUUACUAUGCUUUUAAAAUUAGGUUAAAUCACUAUUUAAGAUCACUAUUUAAGGCCUGAAUUUGACAAUUACAUUCAUAUCUAAAAUAUAGAAUGUAAAUUCUUUUUAUUCUUAGUUCUUGAACUUGAUAAUUAAUCUCACAUUGGAAGCUUGAACUAGACAAUUAUUCUCAUAUUGGGACAUGAACCUUUUUUAGUCUAGGCUAAUCUUAAAACUUCGCAAUUGUUUUUAUAUUGGGCCUUUAGUUUUAGGAUUUUCAAAAUAAAAUUAGGCAUCAAUGUGAAAACAAUUAUCUUUUUUGUCCCAAUGUAGGAAAAAUUAUCAAGUUCUGAAAUUAACUUGGACAAAAAAAGUUUCAAGCUUCAAUAUAAAAAUAAUUGCUAAGUCCAAAUCUUAAAAAAAAAUCUAAACCUUUAAAAUUCCUUGAGCUCACCAACAAUGUAACACUUCAAUUUACCUGCCAAACAUCUGCGGCUAGAAUUUCUGUUUGGCCAGCUUGGUAUAAUAUUACAAUGGCCAAGUAAUUUGGGUACUUGCUAUGUUCAUGAACCUUGAGUUGCAUCUUGUAACCACCAGGGGAUUCGCUGGUAUUCUACUUCGACUACUCCGUAAGCGAACAGCUCGGCCGCUUUGUCCGAUUAAUGUGCCAUCCUAGAUUAAGCGCGGGGGCUGAGGAUGAAAUCAGUGUUGUCACCUUCGCCGUAGUCGGUCACCACUAUGUUCACCCCAUUAUCAGUACAGAGUUGGGGGUUUGUGCACCUAACCUGAGAGUUAAAAUCAAAACAAAUUCAAGUGACAUUAGUUAGCAAUAACAUUGAGUCGAGUUGGAAGAAUGACAAAUUUCAGCUUGAACAGAAUUUAAAUUUUGAAUUCCAUCGAGUAUAAUUUUUAAAGCUCAAGGUAUAAUUUAAUUUAUUUGAUCACUCAAGUUUUAUAUUUGAGCUCGAGCUUGAAUUAUAUUUUUGCUUAUACAAUUUUGGUAUUAAUUAAACUUAAUAAAUAAUGAAUAUAUAAUAAGAAAUUAAAAAGUUUUAGGCAACAAUUAAAUCUAAAUUUUCUAAUGAUCAUUGCUGGGUGGGUGAACUAAUUGGACCAAGAAUCAGUUAGGGUACUAAUCCGGAAAAAGGUGUUGUAAAUCGGUUGAACAAGUUUUUUUUUACUAUUUUUUAAUAUAUAUAUUUUUUUAAUAAUUUAUUCGAUUAGACCAACAAAUCAAUCGAAUUAAUCAAAUUGAUCAGACUGGGAAUUGGUGGUCGAACGAUUCAGCUAUCGAUCUAGUUCUGGAAACCUUGAUAAAAAAAAUAUUUAAUAUUUAUUUAAAUAUAUAUCAAGGAUAAAAAAUAAUUUAAUAAAAUAAAAUACUUAAUAUAUCUUAAAAAUGAAAAACUAGAUUAAGCUCAUGUUGGAAUUGUGUAUCAAGAUACUUAAAUUUGACUUUUUUAAUAAUUCAAAGUGCUCAAACUCAACUCCGUGAUUAUCAAAUAAGAAUCGAUUUUGAAGCUUAUACCUGAUAGCAAGUACCACAGCCAGUUCCAUUUUUGUAGAGCCUGUAAGAAACCCCAGCCACAUUCGCAUCAUUCACAGUCCUUCCAAAUUCUCCAUAUCCACAAGCUCCCCCUAAAAUUCAUCACAUAAUUGUUAGCUAAAACAUGAUAAACAUUGAAUAACCAUGCAUAAUUUCUUCAAGUAUUCAUGUUCGAAUAUGUGUCAAAGAACGAAGAGUCCAAGCAAUACGAUAAUGGUAAAUAAAUAAGGAGCAAUGUUCAUACUUGGAGUCCCUAAACAAUCAGGGCUGCCAUAGUAAGUUGCUCUGGACUUUACAUAGUCCUGAGCACAACACAGUGUAGGCAGAAACACCAUGACAGACAUAAGGCAGCAAUGAAACUUCAAUGAGAACCCCAUGUUUUCUGCAACAAAAAAUUUAUAGUAAUAAUGGAACAAAAUUAAAAAGAGAAAUGUAGUUAAUGAGAUGAGAAGCUAAGAGACCAGAGUUCCCAUAUUUAUAGCAGAAAUGAAGAGUUAUGUGUAUGCAAUAUCUGCAGGUUGAAUUUGAAAAGGUUAUGUGUCAAUUAUUACUAUGCUCUUGGGAUUAAAUUAUUAAGUUUAUCCUACAAUUGGUUUCCAAGGAUUAAAGUAUAAUAGUGGAGACUAUGUUUUCUCCAUUUCUUCUCUGUCUCUAUCAAUGGAUAGAUGAAAUUAGAGAAUCCCACAUUUUCGGAUUUAGAAUUUGUGUUUAUUAGAGUAUAAUAUUUUUUUUUAUAACUUUGAUGAUUUAGGGUGGGUUUAGAUGGGUGGUGCGUUUACCUGCGGUUAGUGUAAAAACAGCGGUGGCGGUGAGAUUAGAUACUGUAGCGAUACUAUAACGUGAGACAAAAAGUAAGUUAAACGCACCGCACCGCACUCAAUCGCCUAUCCAAAUCCACCUUUAAUGUAUUUUUAAAAUUUUGUCUUUCGACUUUAAAAAGAGUCUAUAACAUCUCUUAAAUCACUGAACAAUGAAUACGUGCCUAUUAACAGCAAUGCUCAUAUGGAACAAAAAUCCUUUAGGGUGCGUUGAUUCUUUAGUGGCAUCCAAAAACAGGGACGACACCAAAGGCAGGAGCUUAAGCUAUGAAAUAUCAGUUUAGUCCCUCCAAAGUAUACAUGUUUUCCAUUUUAGUAUUAAAUUUUUUUGUCCCUUGAAAUCUAAGCCAUUACUCCGUUAUAGAUUUGAGUCGAAAAAGUAAAAAGAGCUAGAAGGAUUAAUUGGCGAAUCAACCAAUAAGAAGAUACCACAUGAAAGUUCGUUACACAUGACAAUUAAUGACAUGACAUUCAUUUAAAAAUAUUCAAAAUACAAAUAUAUGUAUAUAUAAUAUCUAAAAAAUAUAUAAAUUUUAUUAAAUUUAAAAAAAUCAAAUUUUUACAAUAUAUAACUAUAUAAAAUAAAAAAUUAUAAAAACAUCAUAUAAAAAAUUCCAAAUUAUAUGUAUAAAUUCAAAUUUUUACUAAAUUUAUUAAAUUUAAAGAUUCAAAAAAUUAUAAUAUAUAAUAUUUUAUAUACAAACAUUAUAUAAAAUAUAAAACAAGGGGGAAAUAUAUAUAUAAAUUCAAAUUUUAUUAAAUUUAUAUUUAUAUUUUUAUAAUAUACCAAUUACAUAAAAUAAAAUAAUAUAUAUAACAUUAUUUAAAAUAUAAGUAAUUUGAGAAAAGGAAAAAAAAUAACUCUAAAAAUUUUAAAAUCUAUAUUACAAUGUUCAAAAGUCAAACAUUAGCGUCAAAUUUGGCACAAAAAUCUAUAUUAUGAUGAUAUCGGUAAUAGCACCGUUGAGUGACAUGACCAAAGCGCUCACAAAUUUGGCACUAGUGGCGUAGCCAAAAACUGUUAAACUUUGGCCUGCAAUGCAACAUGGAACCAGCAGCAAGCUCACAUCAAGACCAGCAACAGCAAAGCAGUUUGAAGUGCAGCAUUGUAGCUGAACCGAAUGCAACAGUUGUUUUGGUUAUUUUGUUCCCGUGUAACUUUGCUUAGUUUACUUGCAACUUGUUUAACAAAGUUAGUAGGAUUAGUUUAUGAUGUAAUGGCUGAUAUGUCAGCUUAUUUUGUGUGUAACUUAAGUUAGCAUUAGUCUAGUAUUAGUGGGGGCAGUUAAGCCAUUAAGUAACUGUCAAAUUAACAUUGUAACUCUCAUAUAUUUCAAAAUUUUGAAUGAAAAUUAGUAUGAAUCCUUUAGUUACAAUUUUUGCCAUUAGUUUUCUUUCUUUUUGCUUCGAUUUCUUUGCUUGGUCUUCUACUUUUGUUUGUUUUUAUUUUAUUUUACUGCUUAAGUUCCAACAAAUGUUAAUCAGAGUCUGUCAUCUUUAAAGGCCUCUGUUGUUGGUUGUUUCUUUCCAAAACAAAACUUGAGAAGAGAGAAAUCGAAACUGUUGGGCUUGUUUCAGCAGGAUGAGUUUUACACCACCUCCACCACCUGUGCUCACUAGAAAGAACUACCAUAUUAAAGGUUUGGAUCUAGAAACGAAAGAUAAAAUAAAAAUAGAAUUAGGAAUAUUGAAUCGAAAAUUCGAGAAAUUAAAAAUAGAGUUGAGAGAAAGGAAAUUCUUAUGGGAGAUUUCAGCCUCUAGUUGUCUUGUUCCGCCUUGGGUUCAAUCCUCGGCUUUUAGAUGAUUCUUCCCAAACCAAAUAAGCCAGUUAUAAUGGAAGAGGACACCUACAACCACCAGCUCCAAGGAUUUAGACUUACAAUUUAGUGGAACCUGACUCUAGCCAACAAUCGCUUCUGUAAGAUCGUCUUAUGCUAGAUCAACGCUUCUCAAUGGCGAAUCCCAUGCCAUUUUGUCUAUUGGGCUCGCCAGCCUCUGACGCAGUAAGCUAACGAACCGACUAUGCAACCUUCCCAAAAUAUACAAAGUGGCCGCCUUUGCAUACGUUGAAAAGCUUACUUCUUAAGGGACAUGGACAGAAGCGUCAACCCCGUAGUGCGGAGAAACGAUGAAUACUCAACGAGGAGGCUAAGUAUGGACUCUAAGCCUCAAGAACCCUUUUUGGGGAAUAUCAACAACUUUCGGCUAGAUGAGUUUAGUAGCUCAUGGUUGUGGUGGAAAAGAAAAUAAAUAUAAUAAAAAUGGAGAUUUUUUUGAAAAGAAAUAUGAGAAGAACAAAAGCCUAGACUUUUGGGGAGAGAGUGUUUAUAGCAAAAAAAAGAUGGAUCUCUUUUGAGUUACUUCACCCCCUAUUUAUAGUGCUAGGGGAGAUAGUCUAAUCCUACAUAAACUCCCAAAAGAUAAAUACAUUUAAUUGAAGAUAAAUAAAGAUAAAUAACAUAAAAUCCUAAAAUUAGAUAAUCCUUAAUAAUUAUCUUAAUAUUAAUUAUCCUAAUAUAAUUAAAAUAGAGUUUGAUAGAAUAAAAUCUUUUCUUUUUGCAUUUCAACCCUUGUGUCCUCCAUACUUGCACUUUUGGCACCAACUUUUCUUUGUGUCGCACAUUGGCCCAUUUUAUCUCUAAAUUCACACUUUUGGCCCUUAAUUUUGCUUUUGCCUCAAAUUUAGUCCCUAUGAGAUAAAAGAUCACGAAUAGCUCAAAUUAGCAGGAUCAUACUCAGAAUAAAUACAUAAUUAAUACAUAAAAAUACAUUAUUCUAGAGUGUUUUUAGUUUAAAUCGAAUAUGAAUUACACAAUUUGAGUUAUCCGAAAAUCCGAAUAAGAAAAGACAAAACUAUGUCGUUUUAAUAAAUGUUUACUCUUUAAAAAGUUAAAAUUCAAAACAAUUAAGUUAAAAGGCAAAACUAUGUCGUUUUAAUAAAUGUUUACCCAUUAAGUUAAAAGGCAAAAUCAUUAUAUUGUUCAUGUAGUUAAAUAAUCUUGUACUUUGUCUACUAGUUAAAUAAUUGGUCCAUCUAAAUGCAACAUUAAGUAUAAAUAAAAUGAUUCAUUAACUCGACUUGAUUUGACUCGAAAUUUUUUGACUCGAUUCAAUUCGAUUUGAAAAAAAUUCAAAUUGAGUUUGGUUGCUAAAAUAGGAUUUGUCAACUUGACUAACUCAAAAAUUUUUGACUCGAUUAUACUCGACUCGAUCAAAUACUCACCCUUAAUUCCCAGAGGGAUCAUCAAUGGGUUAGGGGGACCAAAUUUCAUAAGAGCAAAAUAAAAGGGCAAAAAUAGAAGUAAAAAUAAUAAGUUGUAGGACGAAAUUGAAAACAGCAAAAAAGCAGAAGGGCCAAAGCAGUAAUUAGACCCUCCCCUUUAAAAACAUGCUGAUCCUAAGGGAAUUCGAGUCAGGUCAUCGGGUCGGCCCCGAAAUGACACCAUUUUGGGGCGUUUACGGGCAUGACGAAAUGACGUCUUUUAAGUAACCUUAUUUAAGUAAAAAAUAUUUUUAAAAAAUCAUUUUAAAAUAAUUUUUCAAAAAAAAAAUUCAUUCCUCUUUUUUCUCUGAAGCUCUUCCUGUGUUCGGCUACAGGGCCGUCGGCGCUACACCAAGGCCACUAGUCAUUGGCGAUGGUAGUCGUCGCCUCUGGUGGUCGAAGUUGUAAAAAAUAGACUUUUUAUCUCUGUUAAACAGGGAACCCGGAUCUAAGGCCAAAAUCCCUAAAACUCGGUCAAAAUCUAAAAAUGCAAAAGGGACCUUUGGUUCCCGACCAUCUUCCAACGCGACCUUUCGGUGAAUCCCCAAGGAUUCGAUGGCCUUUCAAGCCAAAGGGGACAUCGACAGUGGAGGCAAAGGUAAAAAAGUUUUGUAUUUUAUUUAUUAUUUUUAUAUGUAUACGAUAUAAAAUAAUAUACUUUUUUUAAGAACUGGAAAUUUUUAUUCCUUUUUGCUCUUCUUUUUUUUAUUACAAUCUGUUUGUUUUGCUUUUAUAGCCGAUUGAUUAUAAAUAUUUGUAUUUGUAUUUAUUUUUGCUUUUUCUUUUUUUUUAUUCCGUUUUUGUCUUUUUCUUUCUUCUUUGCAGGUCGCGAUGGUAGUCAACGACGAUGGGAGUCACACCCUUGUCAUUUCAAUGAAUCGAUAGCAGGGGAGGCAAUCCUCGAGUGAAGCAUCCGUUGACGUGGCCAGGAGCAGCGGCGUAUAAGAGAUCUAGGGUUUUUUUUAUUUUCUAAAAAAAAUUUAGGUUGUGGUCUUGAGCUUAUGUAACAUUGGGUUUGGGUUUGUAAUUUGGGUUAAGGUAAAUUUUGUUUUUGUUUUGUCUUUGUUUGGGUUUAUUUAUUUGUAUUGGCCAGGCAAAAUUGGGUUACUACAUAUACAUAUAUGAUUUAUAUUUCUAGAGUUCUCUAGGAUGGACUCACAAAUGCACUGAUAACGAAGACAUAAUAGACUUUGAAGGUGUUCAUGUAUGCUACUAACUUUUUGUGCCAAGCUUGAUAGUUCCCAUGCCUCCGAAGUCGAUGUAAUGAACUUGAACCAAAAACAAAAAAAUGAUUUGAUCAUUGAUAAAUUUUAUCAUCAUAUUUUGUCAUUAAGAGCACGUAAAAAAUUUAUCUCUCCUCGUGUCUCAUCCCUACAAGACCUAUAAUCUGUGCAGUACAAGCGACGACACUCCAAAUGAUCCAGUAGGUAGCAGUGGGGAUAUGAGCCAUGGCAGUCGACAAUGGCGGCAUGUUAAAGAUAAUAAAACGAUUAGAGAGGUAGUUAGUGAAUGUUGAAAGGUUAGUUAGUUUGUUAAAGAAAGCUAGUGAUUUGUGUUUAUAAAUACAAAUGUAUGACUUUGUAUUGAGGCAAGUAAACAGUCUAAAUUCAUGAGUAAACAUUUGUUUCAGUAAAAAUUUUCUCAAAGUUACCUGGUUUCUUCAUGGUAUCAGUCGCUAGGAGUUCUUGAUCAUGGCAACAACAAACUCUGCUGCGUUAGACUCUGCUGAAGUGCAUGGCUCAGUCUUUGCUGCUGAUCGUGUGGUGAAUUCGUUUCCUAGGCAUGAAGUUGUGAAGCUUGAUGAAGGAAUGUUUCUUCAAUGGAAACAAUAGGUGCGUUUCAUUGUUAAUGGCUAUGAUUUGUUUGGUCUUUUCGAUGGAUCUAUUGCUGUGCCGUUGAGGUUUGUGCAAGCACCAGAUGGUGCGCUUGUGGUCAAUCCAGUGGCAUCAGUGUUUUAGCAACAGGAUAACCUUCUCACCUCUUGCCUUCUCUCCACUAUCAGUUCGUCAAUUCUUUCUUCGUUCAUGGAUGUUCAAUCGACGUUGGAUGUUUGGACUAUGGCGUUGGCAAUGUUCGCGGCCGAUUCUGAUCAGAGGCAGUCACAAUUGCGACAUGAACUUCACUCUCUCAAGAAAGAGAACAUGUUGAUUCGUGAUUAUGUUACGAAAUUAAAAAGCGUGUGUGCUCUAUUGGAGGCAUCUGAAACCUCUAUCUCAAUGGCGGAGAGGACGGCGGUGCUUCUUGUGGGGCUACCGUCUGACUUUGAGGGUGUUGUAUUGUCAGCCUCAUUGUCUCCAACGCCGUUACCGUUUCAGCGUCUAGUGGACGAUCUUAUCGAGUGUGAAAAUCAACAUGGUCAACCAAGUCAAGAGGUUGUUUAUGCUGCAAACCUAGUGGAAGACGUGUCCAUGGAUGGGUCGUCACGAGGAGGACGAUCGGGGGUGCGUGGCCAUGGUAGGACCUUCAGGCCGCGUCUCCAGUGCCAGAUCUGUUCACGAUUUGGUCACGUGGCUCAGAAAUGCUAUUACCGAUACUACCGUGACGACUCGUCUCUGGUGUAACCUCUGAUGCAAAAUUCAAUGCUGAGCUACCAUGAUUCAGGCAAAAGUGGCUGGCACUCUCAACCAAACACCAGGCCUAGGUUUUCAAACCUUGGUCAAAAUUGCUAUGGGACCAGUCAAAUUAAUUGUGCUACUGGUCAAAAUUAUUUCGGGCCUAGUCAAAAUGCAGUUGGUUUUGGUCAAAAUUUGUGUGCUGAAUGGGGGGUUCAAUGAGCAGCGUGGAGGCCGAAUGUUGGGCCACAUGGUUGGUCCAGGCUGAGUGAUGAAUGGCGUGGUUUUAGGCCUCCCAAUCUUGGGCCGCACACUAGUGGGCCAACUGAUGGUGUUAAUGGCAGAUUUGGACUGCCUUCUCAUCUUGGGCCGAAUGUUGGGCAGAAUAUUCCUCCGUUGUCCACAAAUCCGUUUGUGAAUAAUAUGCAGCUCAAUCAGGCUAACCCGACCGGUCAUAUUCUAGUCCUGUGGCGUACCAAGCCGGGUGCGCGCGUGUUUUCAGCUUCAAAUCCAUGUUUUGGGCUUCCUAAACUGGGAUAUUUACAUGCAUCUAAUUAUUUGGAUUUGUCGAUCUCUAGCUCCCAUAUUAACUAUGAUCGACAUAGAGUGAGUGGAGACGAGUCUGACUUAUCGAUUCCUGGACCAGUUGGGACGUUAUCCUGGUAUCCUAAUUCAGGAGCCAGCAAUCAUGUUUGUCGGGAUCCGUCAGUUUUGUAUAAUGCCGCUCCUUAUUCAGGUACGUCUUCUAUUUUAAUGGGUGAUGGUUCGCCCGCACUGAUAUCGUCCGUUGGUCAAAAUAUUUUGCCGACACAGUCUAGGUUACUUCGGCUAUCUAAUGUUUUAUGUGUCCCAGCCAUUCGGAAAAAUUUGUUGUCAGCAUCACAAUUUGUAACUGAUAAUGGGGUGUUUUUUUAGUUUCACUCUACUUAUUGUAUGAUUAAGGAUAGCGUGACACAGGAGGUUUUGCUGACGGGGCAUAUUUAUAAUGGGCUAUACCGAUUUUCUAUGCCAGAUGGUGUUUCUUAUAUGUCUGCUGCUCAGGUAAAAUGUUCAGAUUCGACUGCCAACAAUGAGUUGUUUUCGUUAUGGCACAAGCGCCUUGGACAUCUGUCAUCAACUGUUGUUAAAAAUGUUUUACAUAAGUGUCAUGUUCAUGUUCAUAUGAAUAAAAUUGCUAAUAGCGAUGUUUGUACUACUUGUAAAAAGGGUAAGUUUCAUAAGUUGCCAUUUUCGGCUUCCAAUACUGAAUAUAUCGAUCCCUUUUCGUUAGUUGUGUCUGAUGUAUGGGGACCUGCUUCGGUUGCUUCUAGUAACAAGUGGUACUAUGUGUCAUUCGUCGACAUAAGUUCUCGAUUUACUUGCGUAUAUCUAAUUCGGUAGAAGCCUCAAGUUAUGACCUACUUCAUUCAGUUUCAGAAACUUAUUCACACUCAGUUUGGCAAGACCAUCAAGCAGUUCUAGAGCGAAUGGGGUGGUGAGUAUCGAGCUUUGGCUUCAGUUUUGGCAUCCCAAGGCAUUGUUCAUCGUGUUUCUUGUCCGCAUACUUCUGAGCAAAAUGGCGUUGCCAAGCGUAAACAUCGCCACAUUGUGGAAAUGGGGCUUACACUUUUAGCUCAAGCGGGACUUUUGAUGGAGUUCUGGGCAUAUGCGUUUACAUGCACAGUUCAUUUAAUAAAUUGUCUUCCACACCAGUGCUGGAGGGUAAGACACCGUAUAGUGUGCUUUAUGGACGAGACCCUACUUAUGAUCACCUGCGUAUUUUUGGAUAUCGUUGUUAUCUGUUUUUGCGCUAGUUUUAGUGUCAUAAAUUAACCUUUCGGUCUCAACCGUGUACGUUCUUGGGCUACAGCCCCUGUCACAAAGGGUAUCAAUGUCUAUUGCCGGAUGGUCGCUUUAUUGUCUCUCGACAUGUAGAGUUUGAUAAAUCUCAUUUCCCCUCUCCGAUGAAUAUAUCUCGAUCACGGGAGGUGAGUACUAUACCUACGUACUUUCCUGUACUUGAGACUAAUCCGUUAUUAUAGAGGAAUGGUGUUACUGGUCCUGUUUGUUCACCUAGUGUACCUGGGUCUCUAAGUCCUCAGAAUGGAGUGGAUGUUAAUCCAACAAAUACUAACUGCCAUAAUACUCCCUCGGUGAAUGAGUUUUUGACUGAAGGUGAUAAUGCUUAUCAUGAUUUCUUGAACUCUGAAACUCAAUCUCCCACGCCUAUUGUUCAAAUUUCGUCUGACCCUACAGGACCAGAGGUUUCUGUGCCUAAUGUGAAUAUUCAUCCUAUGACUACUCGUUCCAAGGCUGGUAUUUUUAAACCUAAGGUUCUUGCUAUUGAGGUUGUAGAACCAUCAACGAUUGAAGAAGCUGUUGCUAGCCCUGAGUGACAAACCGCUGCUCAAGCUGAGUAUGAUGCUUUAAUUCGUAACGGUACCUGGAAAUUUGUUUCUAUGCCAUCAGGUCACAAAGUUAUUGGUUGCAAAUGGUUGUUUAAAGUGAAGAAAAACCCAGAUGGAACGGUUGAACGAUACAAGGCACGUCUGGUUGUGAAAGGCUGUUCUCAAGUUUCGGGGUGUGAUUUUCAAGAAACAUUUAGUCCAGUUGUCAAACCUGCCACUAUAAGGGUUAUCUUGUCAAUCGCGGUUGCUAAAGGAUGGUCACUUCGACAAGUUGAUGUUAACAAUGCCUUCUUAAAUGGUGAUGUUGAUAGUGAGGUGUUUAUGCAGCAACCCCCGAGAUAUGUUAAGCAUGGUUCUGACGGACGACCUUUGGUUUGUCGUUUAAAGAAGGCGUUAUAUGGUUUGCGUCAGGCUCCACGAGCUUGGUUUGAGAAGUUGAGAACUUUCCUUCAGACAGUUGGGUUUGUUGGCUCUAAGUCAGAUGCUUCUCUAUUUGUUCGAGUUCGCUCGGACUCCACUCUCUAUGUGCUUGUUUAUGUUGAUGACAUUAUCAUUACUGGUAAUUUGGCAUCGUCUAUUGACUGGUUUGUACAGUUAUUGAAUGAUGAAUUCUCGUUAAAAGACAUGGGUGAUUUACACUAUUUCUUGAGAGUGGAGGUUACCAGGUCAUCUUGUGGGAGUCUUCAUCUUUGUCAACGGAAGUACAUCCAGGAUAUGUUGAAGCGUAGUGGUUUGACAAGUGCUAAAGGUGUUCAUACACCCAUGAUUAGCUUGUCGCAUGUUUCUAAGAAUGAUGGUGAGUCUUUAUCUAAUCCAACUGAGUAUAGGAGUCUGGCGGGUGCUUUACAGUAUAUGGUUAUCACUAGGCCUGAUAUUGCUUAUGCGGUUAAUCGGGUGUGUCAGUUUAUGCAUAGUCCAACCACAGUUCAUAUGGCUGCCCUUAAAAGGAUAUUAUGAUAUUUAUCUGAUACAAACUGGGGGUUGGAUGUUGAUGAUCGGCGGUCUACUUCAGGAUACUGUGUAUUUUUUGGGUCUAACCCUGUUUCAUGUUCGUCGAAGAAACAACAGGUGGUAUCGCGAUCUACGGCUGAGGCUGAAUAUAGAAGUCUUGCUGCUGUUACAAGUGAUGUUAUGUAGUUAAUUUCGUUGUUAUGAGAGUUGCAUAUUGGGUCUGCUUCUCCACCAAAUAUCUGGUGUGAUAGCUCUAGUGCAGUUGCAGUUGCUGCUAAUCCUUUGUUACACUCCAAGUUUAAGCAUGUGGAGUUAGAUUUAUUUUUAUUCGUGAAAAGGUUGCUGAUGGUUCGGCUCUAGUUGGGGAAGUUCCUGCGUCUGAUCAAGUUGCUGACGUUUUAACUAAACCAUUGUCAGUUUCGUGUUUCACUCGGUUUAGAAAUUUUCUUCGGGUCUUACCAAUAGAGAAGAUGGAUGCAUGUUAAAGAUAAUAAAACGGUUAGAGAGGUAGUUAGUGAAGGUUGAAAGGUUAGUUAGUUUGUUAAAGAAAGCUAGUGAUUUGUGUUUAUAAAUACAAACGUAUGACUUUGUAUUGAGGCAAGUAAACAAUCUAAAUUCAUGAGUAAACAUUUGUUUCAAUAAAAAUUUUCUCAAAGUUACCUGGUUUUCUUCACGGCACAUCAAUCAAAAUAAACUCAAAAGGUAGCUCAGUGAACUCAAUAAUGUACUUGGUUACAUCAAUCAUUGCAUUGAUGAGCUUGUUAAGUGCAUCAAGGUGGGGUUUCAAUGUUAGGGAAUGCUCUAAAAGGUCUGGUAAUUGCUUGAGGAGAGCCACGGAUUUGGCCAAUGAGUUGGAAGUGCAAAGCUGAAUGAUUAGCCAAAAUUCAGCAAAAUUCGCUGUGAAAGCAGCUAAUGUUAGCACCACUUUUGCAUCCCAUGAAUAGCUUGAAAGCAUGUUGAGAAUCCCCAUUGUUGUUGCAUGAGCAUCCCCUCCGCCUGAACACUUGCAUGAUACCUACAAAACAUCAAAUGUUACUAUCGUCAUUUUUCAGUUUCGAAAAAGAUUCAGAUUCUGAAAGAAAAGAGAACAGCCGAAUAACCUCGCAGCAAAUUUUGUGUAUGAUAUAAGCCAAUGCAUCAAGUGCACCAUCAACGGCAGACGAGUUGGUCCGAUCAUCAAGAGCAUCGAUGUGUCCCAUUCCACCCUACCAGACAAUAAUAAUAAUAAUAAUAAUAAUAAUAAACCAAUUUACAUAAUUGUCUUCACCCACAUAUAGUGGGUGUGGCAUAAUAUUGUAUUUAUUAAAAGUUCAUACAAAAAUCAAAUGGUGCUUUGGUUUAAAUAGUAAAGAUUAAAUGUUUAAAAUUUAUUGUGUCAUGAUUUCAAAUCUUAUUAUGUUUAAGUUUUUAUUAUUUAUAAAAGAUAAAAAGAUAAAAACACUCUCAUAAUAAUAUAACUUGCUCAGUACAUAAAAAAAUAUUUUGGUAAUUUUACAACUGAGUUGUUGCUCAGUUGACUUGUAAUACCAACUCAAUUAAGAGCCUAAUAUAAGUAUAGAUAAUAAUUCAAUUUUUUUCAUUCACAUUUUAAUGUUAUUAUUCAACCUAUUUUGCAUAAUUUAUUAUAAUAAACUAAUUUAGAGAAAACUAUACUAUAUUAUUUUUGCUUUAUUUUUUAUGUUAGAAGCGAUAACCUAAUAAUUCAUUUUAGUUAUACAUGAGAUGUUGGAAAAAAAUAGAUUUCUUGGAAGCUUUGAGUCAUAUUCUCGAUUAGUAAAGGUGGAUAUUUGAAUCAUAAAAUUAUGGUUUUAUAUUCCACUCCAUGAGACCUUUACAAUGGUAUAUCAUAUGCUUAAAAUGAUUGAGUGAUGAAUGAGAAAUUGAUGCUCAAAGUAAGCCACUUGUGAAUUAUGUUGAGAAAAUUGGAAAGCUUAGUCUCACAUUAGUUAGAUAUCAAGUGUGAAUUUGUUUCUAUAUGUGAACCAACUUAGUGGUUAUUGAAUAAUUAAACUAAUGCUCUCCCUCGCGCGCAUUUAUAUUAUUAUGAAAAUAUCAUAUUCAAUCUUAAAUUCAAUUAGUAUUUAUAAUUCUCUUUAUAUAUUUUUUGAAAAUAAAUUUGUGUUUUUUAAAAUGAAUGUAUGUAUUAUUUUUAUACAAGGAGUCGCAUUAUGGAUGAAACCUUUCAAUUUUUUUUUGUGUAAUCAUAUGUGUUUUCAUUCGUUUAUUGUUUGAGAUUAAUUAUGUUGGGGUCUAAAUUGGAUUCAAAUAUAUUUAUGUAUUAUUUUUAUAAAAAAUGUCACAUUAUUAAACUUUUAAAAGUUGCGAUAUGGUCACUAACAUUAUCAAUUUAUUAUAUUUUAUCACUAAACCAUUAAUUGACGUUAACGGUGUAACAACAAGUUGACCUGACUGUUAAGAAAUUGAUUGAAAAGAUAAGAGAAAAUAAAAUGCUUCAAGUCUGUCAUUCUUGCUACUACAGCUUGAUAGUAAUAUAAUGGGUAGGUAGUAACUAACUAGCAUACUUAUUACUUAAUUACAAGGAACUUAUCUCUAAAUACUAGGAGUUGUUAUAACAACUUAUUUACCAACUUCAACACUCCCCCUCAAGUUGGAGGGUGAUAUAUGUCUAUCACUCCCAACUUGGAUAUUAAGUGUCGAUGUUGUUGUACUGCUUGUCCUUUAGUAAGAAUGUCUGCAAGUUGUUCCUUUGUUGAAAUGUGUUCAGUUUUCACUAAACCUUUCUAGAUACUUUCUCUUAUAAAGUGGCAAUUGAUUUCAAUAUGCUUGGCUCUUUCAUGGUAAAUAGGGUUUGCUGCAAUUUGAAUUGCAGCUUGACUGUCAAAAUAAAGCACAGCUAGCUUACUUUCUUUGAUCCGUAAUUCGUAAUCAUUUUAACCAUUUCAACUCUACAACAGUAGAUGCCAUGCUCCUAUAUUCGACUUUUGCUGAAGAUCUUGAGACAAUGCUUUGUUUUUUUUUUUUUAUUUCUAAGAGAUUAAGGAACUUUCUAGUUUUAUACAGUACCCCGUUAUUGAUUUCCUAGACAUAAGGCAAGAUGCCCAGUCUGAAUCACAAUAUGCAAUUAACAUUGGAUCUCCAUCAGAAGCAACCAGAAUUCCUUGUCCUAGAUUGCUUUUAAUGUAUCUCACAAUCCUCAAUGCAGCUGCAUAAUGAGACUUCUUAGGCUUAUGCAUGAACUGACUCAAGUGUUGCACACCAUAAGCAAUAUCUGGUCUAGUGUUUGUCAAAUAUAACAAUCUCCCAAUUAGUCUUUGAUAAAUUGUUACAUCUGCUAAAACUUCAUCAUCAUUUUUCAGCUACAAUGUUUCAUCAAAGUCUACUAUUGUAAGCUUUUGAUUCUGCUCUAAUAGAGUGACUGCUGAUUUCACUUCUUUUAAACCGACAUUUUUAAUUAAUUCGAGAGCAUAUUUUCUCUGAUUUAACACAACGCCUGCAUCCGACCUUGAUAUUUCGAUCCCAAGAAAAUAUUUUAGACUCCCAAGGUCCUUCAUCUUGAAAUUAUUGUACAAUAUACCUUUUAAUUCACUGACCAAUUUACUGUCAUUUCCUUUAAUCAAUAGAUCAUCAACAUAUAUAAACAUGAUGACUUUUUUGGAUUCUACACUUUUUGUGAACAUGGAGUAGUCAUGUUUACUCCGAAUGUAUCCAUGUGAAACCAAAGUUUCAGUCGACUUCAAAUUCCAUUGUCGUGAAGCCUGUUUCAGGCCAUAAAGAUAUUUAAGCAACCUGCAGACCCUAUUCUCCCCCUGGUUACGAAAUCCCUCUAGAAGAGUUAUGAACACUUCCUCUCGUAAAUCACCUUGUAAAAAGGCAUUGAAGACAUCUAACUGAUAAAGUGGCCAGUAAAAAAGGGCUGCAAGAGUAAUAACAGUAUAGAUGGUGACUUGUUUUGCUACUAAAGAGAACGUGUCUUGAAAGUCAAUACCUUCCUAUUGAUUGUAGCCCUUGGCGACAACCCGAGCUUUUAACCUUUCAAUUGUGCCAUUAGAGUGAUAUUUGACCUUUUACACCCAUUUACAACCAAUGGAAGUUUUCUCGAGAGGUAAAGAGACUACUUCCCAAGUGCCAUUGGAUUCCAAAGCUUGUAUUUCCUAUUGCAUAGCCUCUAUCCAACACUUAUGUUUACCAACCUCAGAAUGGGAUUUUGGUUUUACAAGGUGUGAUAUGGUGGCAGUGAAGUGUUGUGUAUGGAAAGGUAAAUGAGCAUAAGAAAGAGUAAGAGAAUACGAACCUUGUAUUGCAAGUGAAGAGGAUGAAAAGGAUGGAGGAGAACAUACAAAGUCUUAAAGCCAAGAUGGUCGUGUAGUGGUUCUUGUGGAUCAUCAAAAAGGAGGAGAUGGACGUAAAGGUGGAAAUGAGGAAGGAUCCAAAAUGAAAGAGGAAAAAAAGAUCAGAAGAGGUAAUGGGAGAAGGUAUGGGGGGUUGAAAAGGAAAUAUAAGUCUUCUAUGGGGACCAAAAGUAGUAAUGUAAAACAUUGGAGUAGCAGAACAUGAAAUUUUGAAAGGAAAAAUAGUCUCAUGAAAGGUGACAUUUCGAUUAACAAAAAAUUUCUUCAAAAUAAUAUCAAAGAGAAUGUACCCCUUUUGAACUACAGAAUCAAAAAAAAUGAAAGGAAUGGCUUUAGGAGAAAGCUUAUCAUGAUAAUGUGGUACGGUGGUAUAACAUAAGUACCAAAAACUUUAAGAUGAUCAAGAGAUAGAGGAGUUUUGUAGAGUUUUUCAUAAGAAGAUUUCCAAGACAAAACAGAGGUAGGUAAACGAUUGAUAAUGUAACAAGCUGUUAGCACACAUUCUCCCCAAAAUUUAGAAGGCAAAUGAGAGUGAAAUUUUAAGGCUCUGGCAAGUUUAAGGAGAUGGCGAUGUUUGCGUUCAACAACCUCAUUUUGUUGUGGAGUAUUAACGUAUGAGCUUUGAUGGACAAUACCAAAAGAGGUGAAAAGAGGUGUACAUGUAGAGUUAAAAAAUUCAGAAACAUUAUGAUAUAGGGAUGCGCGCGAACCAAGAUCGAGUUGUCAAGUCACGAGAAACUCCUAUGAAAACCCUAAAUAAUCAGAUCUGAAACAAAAUAGAAAAUUAAAAGAUUAGAACUUUGAAUUUCCAGAUCUGAAAUAAAAUCUCCAAAUCAGCAAAGAAUCAAAUGAGAAAAGAAAUAAGUGUUAAUAAGGGUUCUUGAAACCCUAAAGGAAAUUGCGAUUCUACCCAAUUGAACACCAAGAUAGUUUUCCCCAAAUUUCGGCAAUUUAAUUUCACCCAAAAAGAGUAUGGAUGUAUCGGCAAGAACCCUAGAAAUUGGGGAUUUUUGGCUGAUUCUUUAAGAUAGAAAAAAGGGCUGGAAACACAAUAAUAACAGCAAAUAAAUUAGAUAAAGAUUUAGCACAAGCAGAAAUAAAGAAAGAAUUGACAGCAAGAAAUUAAAAGAUAAGUCCUAAGAAGCCUUGAAAUCCCUAAAGAUCUCACAACUCCCUUCAAACGGCUUUAAUCUUCCCUCCAAUGAAUAUCAAUGGCAAGAAGAAGGUUGAAGACGGCUCCCACAAUCAAAAGAUUGUUAAAACAGCUUCUAAAGAAAACUCAAGAUAAAUUCUUGGAGAAAACCCCAAAGAAAAUUAUGCUCUCAAUAAAUCUGAAAAUUUUUAAUAUCAUAUAAGAAGUUAAUAACAAGGUGACUGGCCAAGCCUUUAUAUAGGCCUUAUAACUAGUCCUAAUCUAAUUAGAAAACUAAAAUAAAAAAACUCCUAAUUGUUUUAAUAUGGAAAUUCAGCCAAGGGUCUUUAUUUGGGACUUUUUGACUGAAUAUUUACAUAAAAAUUUAAACUAAAAUAAAUAAAUAAAUAAAUAAAAUAAAACUUUACAACUUGGGCCACUUUGACAAUUUGGCCUGAUUUUCAACUAAGUAUGGGUGGAUUUCUUGAUUGGGCUUGGAAUCUUCUUAUUGGGCCUUGCCUUCAAGAAUUUGGGCUUGUGAUCCAUCUCCUAUCGAAAUUGAAUCGUUGAUGCUCGUAACGGAGAUCCAAUGCGCUUUGGCUGCAAGAUUUGAUUUCUUGAACCAAGAUUCCCAAGAUUUGAAAUCUUGAUUUUCCCGUUCUUUCGUGUACGCAUCUAAGGCCUUGCUAACAAACUCCUGAAUGGUCUCAUUUAGUUUGGAGCGCAUUUGUCGGGCCUUUGAUCUCGUAUCAUUCCCCCCUUCCUCAAAAAGAUUCGACUUCGAAUCUGAAAAAUCAAAUGGGGACAAGUCGGCCACAUUAAAAGUAGAACUUACAUUGUACUCACCAAGUAGAUCAAUUUUAUAGGCAUUAUCGUUGAUCCUCUCGAGUACUUGGAAAGGCCCAUCGCCCCUUGGGUCCAACUUGGUCUUUCUUUUUGCAGGAAAUCGUUCUUUCCUCAUACGGACCCAAACCCAAUCUCCGGGUUCUAGGACAACCUGCUUGCGCCCCUUGUUUGCUUUGUUGGUGUUGGCAUCAUUUGUUUUGGCUAUUCGUUGCCUAGCCUUCUCAUGUAAGGAUUUCACCAACUCAGCUUUCUGUUCGCCAUCUAAAUUAACAAUGUGUUCAAGUGGUAAUGGCGCAAGAUCAAGUACUGUUAGUGGGUUAAAACCAUAAACAAGUUCAAAUGGAGAAUAACCAGUUGUAGAAUGAAUAGAUCUAUUAUAUGCAAAUUCAACAAACGGUAGGCAUUCUUCCCAAUUUCUAAUGUUCUUUCCCACAACAGAUCGUAAUAAAGUCCCUAAGAUCCGAUUAACUACUUCGGUUUGCCCAUCAGUUUGGGGGUGACAUGUAGUGGAAUAAAGUAAUUUAGUACCAAGCUUACCCCACAAUACCUUCCAAAAGUGGCUAAGGAAUUUGACAUCUCUAUCAGAAACAAUUGUUUUAGGGAUGCCAUGAAGUCUUACCACCUCUUUAAAGAAUAAGUCUGCCACAUGUGUAGGUAGCAUCAUCUGUUUUGUGACAAGAAAUAAAAUGUGCCAUCUUUGAAAACCUGUCAACAACAACAAAUAUACUAUCUCUUCCUUUCUUAUUUCGAGGCAAACCUAGAAUAAAAUCCAUGGAUAAAUCUACCCAAGGUGACGUAGGAAUCGGUAAAUGAGUGUAAAGGCCAUGAGGCAUUACCUUAGAUUUUGCUUGUUUGCAUGUAAUGCACUUGGAACAUACCUUUUCGACAUCCUUUUUCAUAUGUGGCCAAUGAAAGUAUUCUUGCAAGAUGUCUAGUGUUUUGGCCACUCCAAAAUGUCCCAUCAAACCCCCACUAUGGGCCUCAUGAAUCAAUAAGUCUCUCAUGGAACACUUUGGUAUGCAUAACCUAUUUAUACGAAAAAGAAAGCCAUCUACAAGAUAAAAUUUAUCGAAAGUAGUAUGUCCACAAUUCUUAUAGAUAUGGCCGAAAUCAGCAUCAUCAUCAUAUAGUUCCUUAAUAUGUUCGAACCCUAAGACUUUAGCAUUCAACGUAGUUAUUAAAGUAUAUCGUCUAGACAAAGCAUCUGCACCUACAUUAUCUUUACCUGUUUUAUAUUGUAUCACAUAAGGGAAUGUUUCAAUGAAUUCAACCCAUCGAGCAUGUCUUUUACUCAACUUACCUUGUCCCUUUAACCAUUUAAGAGAUUCGUGAUUUGUGUGUAUGACAAACUCAUUAGGCAGCAAAUAAUGUUGCCAUACUUGAAGUGCACGAACCAAUGCUAAUAGUUCUUUGUCAUAAGUCGAGUAGUUUAACUGUGCACCAUUCAAUUUGUCACUAAAAUAAGCAAUAGGUUGCUUAUCUUGCAUUAAAACGGCGCCAAUUCCAAUUCCUGAAGCAUCACACUCAAGUUCAAAAGUUUUAGCAAAAUCAGGUAAUUUAAGCAAAGGAGCAGAACAUAACUUAGCUUUUAGAGUUUGAAAGGCCUUUUCUUGGGUUUCACCCCAUUUGAAACCCACUGAUUUCUUUAUAACCUCUGUCAAUGGGGCAGCAAUAGUAGAGAAAUCUUUCACAAAUCGUCUAUAAAAACUAGCUAAACCAUGGAAAGAUCUCACCUCAGUUACCGAUUUAGGAGUCGGCCACUCCUUAAUUGCCUUGACUUUGUCCUCGUCGACAUGAAUACCUUGAGCACUAACUAUGAAACCUAAGAAUAUUAGUUUAUCACAACAGAAUGUGCAUUUAUCAAGGUUGGCAAAUAAUUUUUCAAUUCGCAGAAUAUCCAAAACGGUCCUAACAUGGAAAACAUGAUCAUCUAAUGACUUGGAGUAAAUUAAAAUAUCAUCAAAGUAAACUACUACAAAUUUACCCAAGUGAAGCCUUAAAACAUGAUUCAUUAAUCUCAUAAAUGUACUAGGUGCAUUAGUAAGGCCGAAAGGCAUAACUAACCAUUCAUACAAUCCAAAUUUUGUUUUAAAAGCUGUUUUCCAUUCAUCCCCUUCCGUCAUUCGAAUUUGAUGAUAACCGCUUUUUAAAUCAAUUUUUGUAAAUAUUAUUGAACCAUGUAAUUCAUCAACCAUAUCAUCUAGUCUAGGGAUUGGGUGUCGAUACUUUACCGUUAUCUUGUUGAUUGGGCGACAAUCAACGCACAUACGAAAUGUACCAUCUUUCUUUGGCACUAAUAAGACAGGAACAGCACAAGGACUUAGGCUCUCACGAAUGUACCCUUUGUCUAGUAAUUCCUCAACUUGCCUUUGCAAUUCCUUUGUCUCCUCAGGAUUGCAUCUAUAGGCUGGUCGAUUUGGGAUUGAAGCUCCGGGUACUAAGUCAAUUUGAUGUUCUAUCCCUCGUAAAGGUGGUAAACCUUUAGGGGCCUCACUAAAAACAUCCUCAUAAUCCUGCAAAAGAGAUUGAAACACACUAGGCAAAUUUUCGUUAAUGUUAGAUAAAGAUAAAUAAUUUUGCCUAAACCUCACAAGGAUACAAGGCUGUUUAUUAAGUAGGGCUCUCUUCACAUCUUUUUUUGUUGCCAAAAGAUUUUUUCCGCUCAUUUUACCACUAGAGGAUUCACUCACCUUUGGGCUUUUUAAAUUUUGACUUUUCCCACUACUAUUAGCCUCUUUUCUCUCUGUCUUUUGUACUUGCUCUUUCUCCCUUACCCCCUCACAAAAUUUUAUCAUCCUCAAUUGAUCUUUAUAUACAUCGGUAGGAUUUAAAGGAGCAAAAGUGAAUUUCUUACCUUUAAAUACAAGGGAGUAUCGAUUAAGUUUACCUUGGUGUGUAACAUCGCGAUCAAAUUGCCAAGGUCGUCCAAGGAGCAAAUGUGCCGCAUGCAUUGGGACUACAUCACACCAUACUUCAUCCUCAUAAUUGCCGAGUUUAAAAGUGACCAAGGACUGUUUCGUAACUUUAACUUCGGAACAUUCAUUAAGCCACUGAAGGUGAUAUGGCUUAGGGUGUUUGGUGCAAGGUAACUUUAAGGAAUCCACCAAAUAGCUGCUAACUACAUUCGAACAACUCCCACUAUCAAUAAUAAGUGAACAUAAGUUACCUUUUAUAAAACACCUAGAAUGGAAAAUAUUGGUCCUUCGGUUAUCACAAUCGUCUCCCAUUUGGAUGUUAAGGGUGCGGCAGACUACCAUCUUAUUGUUUUUUCUCUUUUUUGAAAUACCUGUAAAACAAAUACUCAACACUCAAAAGAAAAAUUAGCAAACCUCACCGUUAGUCACUCAAAAAGAAAAAUCAAAUUCUCAAUGAGGUAGAAUUCAGUCUUGUGAGUUCUUUAGUAGAGUUUAUAUCAACCAAUUAGAGAGUGUAUGAACCAAACUACCAAAGAAUCCUAAUUUGCACUAAGAUGCCAAAAAACUAACGAGACACCAAUUGAUUCGUGUUGCACCGAGGAAGAAUUGUGCACACGUUUAAAUCCUACUAACACAAGAAACAAGAAGGUGUUAUAUAUUGUAAAGGGAGAAUAAAAGGCAAACAAAUGAAAACCUACAGCUAAGAAUUAAUAAAAAUUGCUGAAACUAGAAAACCCGAAAAAAACUACGGAGUAACUUGACAACUUCGUUCGAGGUGUUCCCAAUCUCCAAAAAUCACGAAAUUAAAUCUGGAAUGUCCUUAUAUAUUGAAUUUUUGAUCUGGAAGGUUUGGGCACCAAAUUCAACCCGCUGAAUCUUUUUUUUAAUUUUUUAUUGGAUUUCAUAUUUUUUCAAUUUUUUGACUUUUUCAACUGAUUUUUUUGCGGGAAAUAUUUUUUUAUAUUCAAUAACAGUGCCACAAAUAUGUAUGUAAAAUUUUAGAUCAAUCAAAAAACGUUUACCCACUCAAAUGAAUUUUUUUUUGAAAAUUUUUCUGGGUAAAAUUGCUGUUUGUGCUUUAAAAAAUUGAGAUCAGUUUAGAAAUCAUCCAAGAACACCCAAAACGCCCAAAAUCUGAUACCAAAUGAUAUAGGGAUGCGCACGGACCAAGAUCGAGUUGUCAAGUCACGAGAAACUCCUAUGAAAACCCUAAAUAAUCAAAUCUGAAACAAAACAGAAAAUUAAAAUAUUAGAACUUUGAAUUUCCAGAUCUGAAAUAAAAUCCCCAAAUCAGCAAAGAAUCAAAUGAGAAAAGAAAUAAGUGUUAAUAAGGGUUCUUGAAACCCUAAAGGAGAUUGCGAUUCUGCCCAAUUGAACACCAAGAUAGUUUUCCCCAAAUUUCGGCAAUUUAAUUUCACCCAAAAAGAGAAUGGAUGUAUCGGCAAGAACCCUAGAAAUUGGGGAUUUUUGGCUGAUUCUUUAAGAUAGAAAAAAGGGCUGGAAACACAAUAAGAACAGCAAAUAAAUUAGAUAAAGAUUCGGCACAAGCAGAAAUAAAGAAAGAAUUGACAGCAAGAAAUUAAAAGAUAAGUCCUAAGAAGCCUUGAAAUCCCUAAAGAUCUCACAACUCCCUUCAAACGGCUUUAAUCUUCCCUCCAAUGAAUAUCAAUGGCAAAAAAAUGGUUGAAGACGGCUCCCACAAUCAAAAGAUUGUUAAAACAGCUUCUAAAGAAAACUCAAGAUAGAAUUCUUGGAGAAAAACCCCAAAGAAAAUUCUGCUCUCAAUAAAUCUGGAAAUUUUUAAUAUCAUAUAAGAAGUUAAUAACAAGGUGACUGGCCAAGCCUUUAUAUAGGCCUUAUAACUAGUCCUAAUCUAAUUAGAAAACUAAAAUAAAAAAAACUCCUAAUUGUUUUAAUAUGGAAAUUCAGCCAAGGGUCUUUAUUUGGGACUCUUUGACUGAAUAUUUACAUAAAAAUUUAAACUAAAAUAAAUAAAUAAAUAAAUAAAAUAAAACUUUACAACUUGGGCCACUUUGACAAUUUGGCCUGAUUUUCAACUAAGUAUGGGUGGAUUUCUUGAUUGGGCUUGGAAUCUUCUUAUUGGGCCUUGCCUUCAAGAAUUUGGGCUUGUGAUCCAUCUCCUAUCGAAAUUGAAUCGUUGAUGCUCGUAACGGAGAUCCAAUGCGCUUUGACUGCAAGAUUUGAUUUCUUGAACCAAGAUUCCCAAGAUUUGAAAUCUUGAUUUUCCCGUUCUUUCGUGUACGCAUCUAAGGCCUUGCUAACAAACUCCUGAAUGGUCCCAUUUAGUUUGGAGCGCAUUUGUCGGGCCUUUGAUCUCGUAUCACAUUAUCACUCCGAAUGACCUUAAUAUCAGCUAAAAAUUAUGUUUUUGCAAAGGCAACAAAUUGCUUAAGAGUGAUAGAAGCAUCACUCUUGGUUCGUAAAAGGUAUACCCAAGUCAUUCGAGUGAAAUCAUCAACUAUAGUGAGGAAAAACAAUAACCAGUAUGAGUUGAGAUUCUAUAAGGUCCCCAUAGGUCAAUAUAAAUUAAAGCAAAAGUAUUAGUGGUUUGAGUGUGACUACGAGGAAAGGGGAAUUUAGUUUGUUUAGCUAGUGGACAAACAAAAUAAAAAGAUAAUUCAUUAAGAUCAUGUAAAACAGAUUUUAAUUGAACAUUUUUUUUCAUUAUGGAAACAGAGGUGUGACCAAGGCGAGCAUGCCAUACAUGUGGAUCAUUAUGUAAAGCCAUAAAAGAAGUAAAAAUGGGCAAAGAAAUAUUGGUAGAUUUGUGAGGAUGAACAAGACUGGAAGAGAACUUAUAUGGGUGAAAGUAAUAGAGACCAGCAUGUUCUUUACCAAUCCCCAACAUCCGUCCACUGCAAAAGUCCUGUAAAAGAAAAAGGAAGGGUAAAAAGAGACAAACAAUUGAGGCCUUUAGUAAGUUGAGAAACAGAAAGUAAAUUAUAAUUAAAAUCAGGUAUGUCUAAAACAUUAGUUACUUAUAAGUGGGGGAAAGGAUAUGAUGGCCAAUAUGAGUAACAGAGGCUGGUUUCCCAUUAGGUAAUUGAACACAAGAGCUGUUAGGAGCAAGAGCAACAGAAGAAUUCAAGCAUUGAAAAUCAAAUGUCAUAUGGUUGGUGGAUCCUAUGUCAAGGAUCCAGCCAGACGAUGUAAAGGAAGAGAGUGUACCAGCCAUGUAAACAGUUGUAGAAAUAGAUGAAUCCUUCUACAAAAUAGUCAGAAGUUAUUGUACUGUUGCGAUGUUAAAGUAGGAGUAGAUGGAGCUUGAAUAGAGAAUGGAAUCACAGGUUUCAACUGAAUCAAUCGAAGAGGUAACAUUAGUAGCAACUGAUUUCUUGCGAGUGCACUUAAAAUCAGGAGGGAAAUAAAUCAUUUUAUAACAGUUUUCAUGUUUAUGGCCCCAGACAUGACAGUGAUCACAAGUGCCAUUAAAUCUGCGCUUGAAGCUACCAGUGGUAGUAGUCGAUGAGUAAAGGGCAGUAGGCUCAGAUGCAGAAAGCAGUGGAAAGGAGAUUUGAUGUUGAGAUUCUUCCUGAACAAGCAUGGAUUAGGUUUGAUUGACUGAGGGCAGCAGUUGCAUAAGUAAUAUUUGACUACGCACAGCAGAAUAGGAAUCAUUGAGGCCCAUUAAAAAUUGAAAGAGUCGUUGUUGAAGAAAAGAGGCAGAUGUGGUUCAAGCAUUUUCACGAUCACAUGGAAAGUAAGGCACUAAAACAUCAUACUCAUCCCAUAAAGGGCAGAGCUGUGUGAAAUACGUGAAGAUGGAAGAAGUACGUUGAGUGUGAGAAAAAAUAGUGUGAUGGAGAUAAUAAAUUCUGGACCCAUCAACUUUGCUGUAGCAUUCUUGAAGAUCCUUCCAAAUAAGGCAGGCACUCGAAGCGAACAAUACCAACUGAAAGUUCUUGGAAAACGGUGUUGAGGAUCCAAGAGAGGACAAUAACAUUGCCACGGUUCCAUUGAAGAUGAAGAUCAACUGGAAGAUCAACCCGUGAGCAAGUGCCAUCAACAAAUCCAAGUUUGUUUUUGGCAAGAAGAGUAAUUUUCAUUGAUCGACUCCAUAUAUUAUAAUUCUCAAAGCCAAGAAGCUGAUGAGAAACCAGUAGAGUGCUAGGAGUAUCAGAGGGGCGAAGAUAAAGAUGGUGAUGAAAGUCAAUGACAGGAGAAGAAGAUUAUGAAAAAAAAAAGGAAACCAAGAAAAAAUUAAACCUGGCUCUAAUACCAUGUUAAGAUAUCGAUUGAAAAGAUAAGAGAAAAUAAAAUGCUUCAAGUUUGUCAUUCUUGCUGCUACAGCUUGAUUGUAAUAUGGUCUUCAUGUGGUUUGAUAUGACCCUCAUGAUGAGUUUUCAAUGAUGGAUAAUAUAUGGCUAUUUGUAUAUCAUAAUUUUAAUAUUAUACAUUCACAUAUUUUUAUAUGACCGUAAUUUAAAUCAUAUAUAAGUGACUAAAUAUGUAGUUUACCUAUAAUUAAUUUAACUUUGCUUAUUUUUCUAAAAAAAAUAUUAAUUUUAUUUAAUAGAUAAGAUUUAUUUCUAUUUCUUUUACUGCUAUAUUAUAAUUAUAUUUUUUGCAUGAAAAAAAAUAGUUUUCUUAAUGAAAAUAAUCUUUUACAAUUUUACUGAACCAUGGAAUUUCUAUCUUUGAUUAUUAGAAUGCUUUAAAUAUCUAUUUGUCAUACUUCAAGAGUUCUUUUCACUUAGGUUCUUUUAAUAAUUUAACAUUAAAUUCAUAUAUCUAAUAUAUUAUAUAUAAAAAAUUGUUUUAUAUUAAACUUAUACUGUUUGAACUGAAGAAUAAAGAAUAUUAAUUUAUAAUAUAUUUAUUUUUAAAACUUUCUAUAAGUACUUGAUUAGAAUUUUUUAUCAUGAUAAUAUUUGAAUUAUAGAAUUAAUUUGUAUAAGUUAAUUAUGUUUAUUAUUUUGGGUUAAUUAUAUGAAAUUGCUGACAUAUUUGAAGGUAAGGAAAAUUUUUGUGGCUAAAAUAGUGGGCACAACUUGAGGCACUGUUUCAUUAAAUUACUUAUCUAUUUACAGAGCUGAACUACCUAUUUUGAAAAUAAUUGGACAAGUUAGAGUCCAAAACAUGAAGGCCAAUUGAAGACUUGAAGAUUGAUUUUUGCGGAUCAAGUAAACUCACUUUCUAUAUUUUAAGACAUUUGAUUACAUCAAGACUCUUAUAAAAUUAUUAUUCUAUAUUGAUUUGUAGCUUUAUUUUAUAGAAAAGAGAUUAAACUAUGACUCUUAUGUAAGCUAAGCUUAAGUGAUAUAUAAACUUAAGUUUUGUCUAGGUUAAGUGGACCAAGAAAUACUAAGAGAUAGAAAGAGCACAAAUUUAUUCAAGUUAGGAAUGCUUUAUGUGUGCAUUGUUUUUGUAAGAGUCUCUUGAGUUGUAAAACUAAGUUUUCGAGGGGGAAGUUUAGUAGAAGAGUGAUCUAGUCUUUGUACAAUGAUAAGAUAGUUAAAUUGAUGAGAAUUAAACCGAAUUAAGACUUAAAUCAUUGGUUGUACUUUGAGAAAGAUAUGAAUCAUUGCUCUGGAUAAUAUCUCACAUAUAUAGACUAGGGUUGAACUGUAUAAACAAUCUUAAUGUUCAUUUUUACUUUUGUACACGUUCUUUAUUUCGUGGUUAAAACUAUUAUGACAGUUCCAAACAUUAUUUUAACCAUAAUUUUUAUUUGCAAAGCAAGUACCCAAGGCUCACGUAAUAUUAAAACUAAUUUAUCAAAUUUCAAAGUUACCUCGCACUUUUCACACAUUCCCUUAGUACUUUUCACACAUUGGUUGAUAGAUUUUUUUAGAAGGUUGGUAGAAUGCAAUAAAUAUUCACUAAUAUUAUUUGCAUAACAUUAUUUACGUGGAAACAAAAAUAUAAAUUCUUUUUCAUCAACUUAAUGCAUUGACAGCAGAAGUGCUUAUGUGUCAAGUUAGAUUCAUGAAUGGUACUAGUACAAUAUUAAUCGUUUAACUCUAUAAGAAAUAUGAAUUUUAAAUAUCGUUAAAGUUUAUUUAUAUUUAUAAUUAAUUAAUGGGUAAAUUAUAAAUUUAGUAAUUUAUGUAUUGUUUAAAUUAUAAUUUAAUCACUAAACUUUAAAAAGUUGCAAUCUAAUUAUUAAUAUUAUCAAUUUAUUAUAGUUUGAUCGUUAAGCUAUUAAUUUUCAUUAAUGAUAUAAUGACAAGAUCAUAGAUAAAUCCAAAUUAUUUUUAAUUAAGGCCGAAAUUUAAUUAUAAUUUUUUCAUAAAUCAAAAUAUAAAUUUAUUAUAUAUUAAUUUAUAAUUUCAUAAUUUUUAAAAAAAUAAAUAUAAAUUACUUCAUUUCUAUAAUAUCAAAAUACAAUUUUACUAUAUAUUAAUUUAUAAUUCUUUAUUUUUGUUAGAGUGAAUAACAUCCGUUCACACUAGUAUUAGAGUGAAUAACAUCCGCUCACACUAGCUAUUAAAUGUUGUCCCCUUAUUGACGACAAAAGAAAGAAAAAAAAUCUCAUUCAUUUUAAUAACUUUCCUUGACUUGACAUGUGUAAGCGAAUAUUUUUUAACGUAUGUUUGACGUUAAAUUAAUUAUUUAAAAUUUAAUUUUUUUAUACUUUUCGAGUAUAUAAUUUUAUAGAUACCUUCGUGUAUGUCACGUUCAUCUCAUUCAUUUUAAUAAUUUUCCUUGACACAUGUUAACUAAUAUUUUUUUUCCUUUCUUAUAAAAUAACUUCUAUGAUAUUAACGUAUCUUUGAUGUUAAAUCAAUUGUUUGGAGUAUAGUUUUUCUAUACUUUUCAUAAUUAAUAUUUAAAGAGUAUAUAUAUUUUUAUAGAUACCUUCAUAUAUGUAUGUCACGUUUAUCUCAUUCAUUUUAAUAUUUUUUUUUGACUUGACACGUGUAUGUUUGACGUUAAAUCAAUUAUUUAAAAUUUAGUAUCCUUAUAUUUUUUAUAAUUUAUGUUUAAAGAGUAUAUAUAUUUUUAUAGAUACCUUCGUAUAUGUAUGUCAUGCUCAUCUCAUUCAUUUUAAUAAUUUUCGUUGGCUUUAUAAAACAAUUUCUAUGAUAUUAACGUGUGCUUGACGUUAAAUCAAUUAUUUGAAAUUUAGUUUUUUUUUAUACUUUUCAUAAUUUAUGUUUAAAGAGUAUAUAUUAAUUUUAUAGAAUAUGUAUACCACGUUCAUCUCAUUCAUUUUAAUAAUUUUUCUUGGCUUAACACGUGUAAGCCAAUAUUUUUUCCCUUCUUAUAAAACAACUUCUAUGAUAUUAACGUAUGUUUGACAUUAAAUCAAUUAUUUGUAAUUUAGUUUCCCUAUACUUUUCAUAAUUCACGUUUAAAGAGUAUAUAUUUUUUAUAGACACCUUCAUUUAUGUAUGUAGUGUUCAUCUCUUGUUUAUUACUAGAUUAUGUAAUACCUACAUUUUGUGAAAAAAAAAAUGAAACAAAUAUAUUUAUUAAAAGUUCAUACAAAAAUCGAACGGUGCUUUGAUAUAAAUGGUAAACUUAAUUGUUUCAGGUUUAUUGUGUUAUGAGUAUAAAUUUUAUUAUGUCUAAAUUUUUAUUUAUUUACAAAUGUAAAAAGGAAAAAAAAACACUUUCACUAUAGUAUAACUUAUUUUGUGCAUAAAUGAGUACAUUGGUAAUUUUCUAAUUAAGUUGGUGCAAUGAUUCAAUUUAAUUUUUUGCAUCAAUAUCGUAAUAUUAUUCUUCAACUUAGUUUGCAUAAUUUAUUAUAAUAAUUUAAUUUAGAGAAAAAAUGCUAUCUUAUUUUUGUUUUAUUUUUUAUGUUAAAAGUUUUAUAAAUUGUGAUAAAUUAAUAAUUCAUUAUACAUAUUUUUUUUAUUUUCAUAUAUUUAUAUAUAUAUAUAUAUAUGAGACAUUAAUAUAAAUAUCUGUUGAGAAUUUCAAUAGCAGUAUGAAUUGAUGUGAAAAGGUGAAAGAAUAAGAAAUUUGAUAUCAGUUUUUUGUUAAUAAAAACUGUAUAUAAAAUUACAACUGAUAUACAUUGAUAUACUAACUAUCAGCUCCUAACUAACUAACUGAUGAUUAUCUCUUCAACAACUAACUGAUGGUUAUCUCUUUGACACUUCCCUUCAAGUUGUAGGGCGAUAGAGAUCCUUGACCCCCAACUUGGAUAUCAAAUAUUCAAGUUACUAGACUCCAAGUGCCUUAGUCAACACAUCUGCAAGUUGUUCAUUAGUGCACACAUGUUGUGUCCGAACCAAUCCGUCUUGUACUUUUUUAUCGUACAAAGUGACAGUCAACUUCUAUAUGCUUGGCUCACUCAUGGAAUACAGGAUUUGCUACAAUUCGAAGUGCUGCUUGACUGCCAAAAAGUAACAACGCUGGAUCAAGUUUAUCAAGACAUAUUUCUUUUAACAACCCAUCCAGCCAUAUUAUGUCCACAAUUGUCAAUGAAAUGUGUACAGACCAAUUUUACCCAGCCCAUUUCCAGCAGACCCAAAACCCAAUACCCACCUAAACCUAACCCAAAAUCAACCCAGUACACUUAAAACAAACCCAAACCAAUUAAACCUACCCAAACCCAAAUUAUAGGCCCAUAAUUACACCCUAGCCCCUAACCUAGGCGUCGCACAUCCCUUCAGUCGCCUACCCUCUGCGCGUCGAUGCCACCACCUGCCCACUGCUCCGCCCUACCUACUCUGCCACCUGCUCUAUCAAGGCCUACACGCAAGCAAAGAAGGACAAAACAGUAGUAGAAACAAUAGAAAAUUGUAAAAUGGCGAUUUAAAAGCCAUUCAAAACAGAUCUAAAGGGGGUAUUAUUUUUCGGUAUAAAACCGAUUGAAAAACCAUUGUAAAAAAAGAAAUCGAUCUUGUUUUGUAAAAAAAGGGGCUCCUUUUUUCUUUUCAUGAACAUUAGAGGAAAUUAAACAGAAAGAGAUUUCUCAAAUGCUUUUUAGGUUUGCUUUUAUUUUCUGUCCUUUUUUGUGUUUUUCUUUUACUCCAUACCAAAUAAUAAGUAAUAAAAUAACAAAGUAAAAAAGGGGAGAAAGAAAACCUUACCUGCUCCGCGCCGGAGGAGAAGGAAGGCGAGUGGUUUCGCUCCCAUUUUUUGGCUUUUGGGCUCUCCUUUCACGAGAUUCAGCCUUGAAUCCGUGUUCUAGAGGCCACCGGCUUCAAAAAGGGACCGGAAAGGCUUGAUUUUGUGCCUCCGGCUGCCGCUCGCGGUGGCGCUACGGCGGAGGUGCGCCGGAGCUUGGCCGGAUGGGGGAGAGGAAACAUUGAGAGGGUUUUUGUUGUUUUUUUGGAAGAAAGGUUUAAAAUGAGAUUUUCUAAAAUCUUUUUGGCUUUUAUAACAAAAUGAAACGGCGCCGUUUUAGUAAAGGGCCGACCCGCGAUCCGACCAGCUCCAAGGCUAGGGUCCGCGUGUUUCUAUUGGAAGGGCUAACUGCAACUUUAGCCCUUCCGCUUUUUAACAGUUUUACAAUCAACUACUUGUGUUUUUUAAAAAAUUUUCCCCGUAAAUUUUUUGUGAUUACAUUUUGGUCCCUGUUGGAACGACGUCAUUUUCGGGGGAAAGGUUAAAUUACCCUUUCAGUCCCUUCAUGUUGCAAGCGUGUUCAAAUUAGUAUCUCCCCUUUAUUUUAUUUGUGAUUGAACCCCAAAUUUUGUUUUAAAUUUUUAAUUUAGUCCUUUUGUUAUUUUAUUAUUAUUAUUAUUAUUAUUAUUAUUAUUAUUAUUAUUAUUAUUAUCUAUAUUAUUGUUACUUAUCAUAUUAUUAUUAUUACAUAAUAGCUUAUAUAUAUACAUAUAUACUUUUGCAUACCUUUUAUAGUUUUUAUAUACUUGCAUGUACAUAUACAUAUUUUUUAUAUUUUAUAACUUAAAACUAGUUCCAUGCAUGUGUAUAUUUCUUUUUUUUUAAUACUAAAUAUAUACGCAUAUGUUUUUAUUUUGUUUUAUAACUUAAAACUAUAUAUAUACAUACAUAUAUUCUUUUUAUAUAUUUUAUAGUUUUAAAAUAUACGCAUGCAUCUAUAUAUUUUUAUAAUACAUAUGUACAUAUAUUUUAUAAUUUAUAUAUAUACAUAUAUUUUUGUAAUUUUAAAAUGUACAUAUAAACACACAUACUUCUAUAAUUCAUUUAUUUAUUUAUUUAUUAAUUUAUUUCUGUGUUUCUUUCUUGUAUCUUUGUUUUACCUGAUGUUUAUUUGUAUAUUUACGUAUAUCUUUGUUGUUUUGCUUUUUAGAUUUUAUGAUUUCCACGUACAUAUAUAUACAUAUUUAUACUUUAGUAUUUUUAUAAUUUUGUUCAUGUUCAUUUUGAUUAUUUAUUCACAUCUUUAUUAUUAUUUUAAUCUAAUUCGUUCACGUAUCUGUUAUUCUGCAUGUCGUUAAUUUAUCUUUUUAUUCAUUCAUUUUAUUACUGCUGCUCGCAUUAUUUUUAUUUGCAUCAUCAUAAUUACUAUUUUUUCAUAUAUAGUUUUUACUCAAAUUUUCCAAAAAUGAAAUUUUAAAAAUAUAAGUAAUAUUUGGUAUUUUGGAUCUUCGAGAGAAUCGAGCCCUAACGUAUUGGGUUCCGACUUUCUUCGUUGAAUUUAAAUAAUCGAGAUUACUCUUUUAAAAAUGAUAAAAAGCUCGUUAUCAAGAAUUCAAUACGUUGUGUCCUAACGCAUUGGAUGUGACAUGUUGUUUUCUCGAGACGAAGAUUUUUCGAAAUAAAUGCAAUAUUCAAUGUUUAAUAUUUUGAGAAAUUGUGCCCUAACGUAUUGGGUUGCGAUUUCUUCUUUUGAUUUAAACAAUUGAAUAUUCUUUUAAACUUUAUUACACGAAUCUUUUCAAACUCAAGUUUUAAAUAAUAUCGAGAAUUAAAAAAGGAUUGUGUCCUAACUUUCUGGUCGUGAUCCUUUUUUAAAUCCAAGAUAGUUAAAUAUCUUUUAAAUAAGCAUUUUUCAUUCGCGUAUCAGGAAUUCGAGACAUUAUGUCCUAACUUACUGGAUAUGAUGCUUUCUUUCUCGAUUAACGUGGAAUGUGCUCCUUUUUCCCAAAAUUUUCAACAUUUUAAUACAAGGAUCUUAUUUUUAAAUUUUUUUUAAAGUUUUCAAGUUUUUGACACUAAGACAUUAAGUAAUCAACUAUGUACCAAUUUUGGGCGUAUCGAGGGUGCCAAUCCUUCCUCGUGCGUAACCGACUCCCCAACCCAUUUUUCUGAAUUUCGUGGACCAAACUUGCUGUUUUAAUAAAAUCAAACCGUUUAUUAAAAACAACCACUUUUCGAGGUAUCCAAUCACACCUCAUAAAAACGCUGGAAUACAGUCAACUUCUAUAUGCUUGGCUCACUCAUGGAAUACAGGAUUUGCUACAAUUCGAAGUGCUGCUUGACUGCCAAAAAGUAACAACGCUGGAUCAAGUUUAUCAAGACAUAUUUCUUUUAACAACCCAUCCAGCCAUAUUAUGUCCACAAUUGUCAAUGAAAUGUGUACAGACCAAUUUUACCCAGCCCAUUUCCAGCAGACCCAAAACCCAAUACCCACCUAAACCUAACCCAAAAUCAACCCAGUACACUUAAAACAAACCCAAACCAAUUAAACCUACCCAAACCCAAAUUAUAGGCCCAUAAUUACACCCUAGCCCCUAACCUAGGCGUCGCACAUCCCUUCAGUCGCCUACCCUCUGCGCGCCGAUGCCACCACCUGUCCACUGCUUCGCCCCACCUACUCCGCCACCUGCUCUAUCAAGGCCUACACGCAAGCAAAGAAGGACAAAACAGUAGUAGAAAAAUAGAAAAUUGUAAAAUGGCGAUUUAAAAGCCAUUCAAAACAGAUCUAAAGGGGUAUUAUUUUUCGGUAUAAAACCGAUUGAAAAACCAUUGCAAAAAAAGAAACCGAUCUUGUUUUGUAAAAAAAGGGGCUCCUUUUUUCUUUUCAUGAACAUUAGAGGAAAUUAAACAGAAAGAGAUUUCUCAAAUGCUUUUUAGGUUUGCUUUUAUUUUCUGUCUUUUUUUGUGUUUUUCUUUUACUCCAUACCAAAUAAUAAGUAAUAAAAUAACAAAGUAAAAAAGGGGAGAACGAAAACCUUACCAGCUCCGCGCCGGAGGAGAAGGAAGGUGAGCAGUUUCGCUCCCAUUUUUUGGCUUUUGGGCUCUCCUUUCACGAGAUUCAGCCUUGAAUCCGUGUUCUAGAGGCCACCGGCUUCAAAAAGGGACUGGAAAGGCUUGAUUUUGUGCCUCCGGCCGCCGCUCGCGGUGGCGCUACGGCGGAGGUGCGCCGGAGCUUGGCCGGAUGGGGGAGAGGAAACAUUGAGAGGGUUUUUGUUGUUUUUUUUUGGAAGAAAGGAUUAAAAUGAGAUUUUCUAAAAUCUUUUUUACUUUUAUAACAAAAUGAAAUGGCGCCGUUUUAGUAAAGGGCCGACCCGCGAUCCGACCAGCUCCAAGGCUAGGGUUCGCGUAUUUCUAUUGGAAGGGCUAACUACAACUUUAGCCCUUCCGCUUUUUAACAGUUUUACAAUCAAGUACUUGUGUUUUUUAAAAAAUUUUCCCCGUAAAUUUUUUGCGAUUACAUUUUGGUCCCUGUUGGAACGACGUCAUUUUCGGGGGAAAGGUUAAAUUACCCUUUCAGUCCCUUCAUGUUGCGCGCGUGUUCAAAUUAGUCCCUCCCCUUUAUUUUAUUUGUGAUUGAACCCCUAAUUUUGUUUUAAAAUUUUAAUUUAGUCCUUUUGUUAUUUUAUUAUUAUUAUUAUUAUUAUUAUUAUUAUUAUUAUUAUUAUCAUCAUAUUAUUAUUAUUACAUAAUAGCUUAUAUAUAUAUACAUAUAUACUUUUGCAUACCUUUUAUAGUUUUUAUAUACUUGCAUGUACAUAUACAUAUUUUUUAUAUUUUAUAACUUAAAACUAGUUCCAUGCAUGUGUAUAUUUCUUUUUUUUUAAUACUAAAUAUAUACGCAUAUGUUUUUAUUUUGUUUUAUAACUUAAAACUAUAUAUAUACAUACAUAUAUUCUUUUUAUAUAUUUUAUAGUUUUAAAAUAUACGCAUGCAUCUAUAUAUUUUUAUAAUACAUAUGUACAUAUAUUUUAUAAUUUAUAUAUAUACAUAUAUUUUUGUAAUUUUAAAAUGUACAUAUAAACACACAUACUUCUAUAAUUCAUUCAUUUAUUUAUUUAUUUAUUUAUUUAUUUAUUUCUGUGUUUCUUUCUUGUAUCUUUGUUUUACCUGAUGUUUAUUUGUAUAUUUACAUAUAUCUUUGUUGUUUUGCUUUUUAGAUUUUAUGAUUUCCACGUACAUAUAUAUACAUAUUUAUACUUUAGUAUUUUUAUAAUUUUGUUCAUGUUCAUUUUGAUUAUUUAUUCACAUUUUUAUUAUUAUUUUAAUCUAAUUCGUUCACGUAUCUGUUAUUCUGCAUGUCGUUAAUUUAUCUUUUUAUUCAUUCAUUUUAUUACUGCUGCUCGCAUUAUUUUUAUUUGCAUCAUCAUAAUUACUAUUUUGUCAUAUAUAGUUUUUACUCAAAUUUGCCAAAAAUGAAAUUUUAAAAAUAUAAGUAAUAUUCGGUAUUUUGGAUCUUCGAGAGAAUCGAGCCCUAACGUAUUGGGUUCCGACUUUCUUCGUUGAAUUUAAAUAAUCGAGAUUACUCUUUUAAAAAUGAUAAAAAGCUCGUUAUCGAGAAUUCAAUACGUUGUGUCCUAACGCAUUGGAUGUGACAUGUUGUUUUCUCGAGACGAAGAUUUUUCGAAAUAAAUGCAAUAUUCAAUGUUUAAUAUUUUGAGAAAUUGUGCCCUAACGUAUUGGGUUGCUAUUUCUUCAUUUGAUUUAAACAAUUGAAUAUUGUUUUAAACUUUAUUACACGAAUCUUUUCAAACUCAAGUUUUAAACGAUAUCGAGAAUUAAAAAAGGAUCGUGUCCUAACUUACUAGUCGUGAUCCCUUUUUUAAUCCAAGAUAGUUAAAUAUCUUUUAAAUAAGCAUUUUUCAUUCGCGUAUCAGGAAUUCGAGACAUUAUGUCCUAACUUACUGGAUAUGAUGCUUUCUUUCUCGAUUAACGUGGAAUGUGCUCCCUUUUCCCAAAAUUUUCAACAUUUUAAUACAAGGAUCUUAUUUUUAAAUUUUUUUAAAGUUUUCAAGUUUUUGACACUAAGACAUUAAGUAAUCAACUAGGUACCAAUUUUGGGCGUAUCGAGGGUGCCAAUCCUUCCUCAUGCGUAACCGACUCCCGAACCCGUUUUUCUAAAUUUCGUGGACCAAACUUGUUGUUUUAAUAAAAUCAAACCGUUUAUUAAAAGUAACCACUUUUCGAGGUGAUCCAAUCACACCUCAUAAAAAAGGAUUGGUGGCAACUCCCGUUUUACUCGUUUUCGUCAAAACCCAAGUCGACCCCAUUUUCAUCCAAAAAAUGGUGUCAACAGCUUGGCGACUCCACUAGGGACUUUAAAUAAGAGAGUCAAGUCACGAGUUGAUUAUUUCUUGUCUUUUUGUCAAAAGUUGAAAAUUUGAUUUAAAUAUACGAUCCUCUUAUUACAUUUUGUUUGUUUUUAGUUAUAGUUUUCAUGAUGUUUUGUAUUUUAAAUUUUUAUAUCUCUGCGCAUUGCAUUGCAUGACCGUUGGUCACACCUUUUUAAGUGGGAGUGAGAAGCUAGUCCUUCGUGAGGUUUUCACCUCCGUGUAGGAUAGUGGAUCGCUUUCGAGAUACAUCCGUACCUAUGUCUUCGUGAGAUUUUCAUCUCCGUGCAGCCAUAGGGAAAUGUAUUCCCCUGAACCGAACUCGGUCUAUAUGAGCAUAUAAUGGGUGAGGAUCGAGGAAUCUGUUGGUUCGGGUACCCUUACUUUAGAGCCAAACCUCAUGUAGUGAACCUUAGGAGCCCACCCUAGGUAGAACCACUUCAAACCCCUAGUAGUCACCCGACUAGGUGUUCUAUUUAUUCUUGCUUGCUUUUGUUUCAUACUAACCUAUUUUCCUUUUUUGAUGAUUGCAUUGCAUUUUCAUCAUAAAAAGAGGUGUUUAUUAACGUUCGGUUGUUAAAUAGAGAGCUUGUCAUAAGAAAAUGGGUCAUUUGAUAAAGUGGAAAAUAAUAUGGUUGCCCGAAUAUGUUCUGAGAAAACACAACAAGAGAAAGAUGAUAGUUUAAUAGAAGACAACACAACUAUUGCUUUGUUGCCCCGAGGAUUCAAGGUGAUAAAGAUUAUUUGAGAGCCGCUGAACUUUCUUAAAGAGAAGCCAAUGAGCAUCCCGAGGAUGAGCGAGCAACGAGCCGAGGUCGGAUCAAGCAAAAAAGAGAUAAAAGAGACAUCCCAUUUGAAGAGUUCGUGAAAUUCAUCUUAACGCGCGAAUGAAGAAAAGGAUCGUUGUCUUGGAAUAUAAGGGCAAGGCCGUAUAUAUAUCCAUUUUAUGUAAAGAAAUUUGUUUUCUAGUAAAGUUGUUCUAGUAAGAAUUGAACCAAGAAUCGACGUCUCUUUUUGCAUUCAUGCAUUUGCAUUACAUGACAUCAUAUGCAUUAACAACCAUUAAAAGACCCUAAUUGAGUAAAAUUACUUCAGAAAAUCUAGAAAAUUAACAUUCUUGUGGUACCCGAAGAAAAACAUGGACCAAAGAUUAAAAAACUUGAACGAUUCCAAAAGGGGAGGCAAGACCAACUACAACUGCAAAUACAAGAGCGGUAAGCUAAGGUCUAGCAAGAUAGAGUUUUGUGAAGGGGUUAAAAAAUGUUCAUAUCAAUGUCAUACAUGAAGACAACUGAAAAUGGACCUUGUUAGAUAUUCGCCCUUAUAAAAUUGGGAGUGUUCUAAAUAAUCGGACUGCAGAAGAAAUCUCUGUAAUAUUUAAAGCUUACUCAGAGUGAUAUUCAAAACACACUUGUUACUUUUAGCCUAAAGGCAACAAGAAGUCUUUUGUGAAAUAGGCUCAUGUUUGAACGUCAUUAUUUUAAUGGAAUGCAUCUUUGCAAUAUUUUGAACCAAUAUUCUUUUAUUUCUUGAAUGAUUAUUUUUAUUCUUUUAUUCUUUCAUCCAAAUCAUUCUUUCAUUCAUUCAUAAUCAUAUUGUAAUAACUUCAUAUAUUCUUUGUAUAUUCUUUUGUACCGACAAUAGGUCCCUGGAUAUCAAAGGCAUGAAUGACACUGCUAUAGACUUAGAAUCUCCUUUGAGCGAGACAUGUGUUUAGAGGGAUCUCACGACUUUGAAGAUGACAUAGAUUGUAUCCUAUCCCCGGACUUGUUGAGGAUGGUAGAACAAGAGGAUAAACAGAUCCUACCUCUCAAGGAAUCAUUAGAAAUUGUGAGCUUGGUGAAGACUAGAAUUGACCUGACCAGAGAGAUGAAGCAAGACCUUGUUGAGUUACCUCUAGAGUUCAAAGAUGUCUUUGUAUGAUCAUACCAGGGUAUGCCUCGAUUCUUAUAAUAAAACCUACACAACAGCACGAUGUCAGAAAUUUACAGUGCGAACGAUACAAUUCUUUGCCGGGGCAAUGGCUCUCUUGUUGAGUCAGCAUAGCUUUGCCCAUUUGAAGUCGAGUUUCCAUCCCUUCAAGAUGUUGUUGGAUUCUAUCCUGAUUAAAGAGGAAGAUCCAAAGUUUUUGUCGUAGUUUCGCCCCAAAAGGGCUCUAUGAAAGAAAUCUGGUACCAAAGAAGGUUUUUCACAUACAAGAUGAGAGUGGAAGAUCUUAUGUGGAAGACUUUAGAAUAACAUUGAUUCUGGUCAAAAAGCAUGACCAGGACUUGCUUGAUCUCAUGAGUUCAGACUCAAAAAAAAUAAAAAAUCAAAAAUCAAAAAAAUCGAAGUCAAAAAAAAGAGGAAGAAGAAAAAAGAAAAAGAAAAAGGAGAGGUCAAGGUGAAAACCCGCAAAGGGCGCUUUGACCAAAGGUGGAUCUGAGUUGAAAACCUGAAAAAGGGCGACUCAAAUUUUGAGCAAAAUGGGGCAUGGACAUCACCAUUAUCGAAGACUUCUAAUGGGCAUUGCUUCAUUUUUGAGAGGCUACUGCAUGGAUCAAGGUCAUCCUAUACCGAUACAGAAUUUCAGAUAGGAUGAUAUUGGAAAAUGCAUUGAACUUAAAUGAUAGCAUGAUAACUGAGGUCUGAAAUCAAUUCAGAAGCAGACACCACAUUUUGUCACCGAAUCACCUAGAGGCGAACAAGGACUGGCAUGUGAAAUUACCAUUUGCCCUCAUUGUUUGUCGAACAUCUGUACUGGGACAACACCUCUCUUUUUGGUUUACAGGAUUGAGGUAGUUUUACCUAUCAAAAUCCCCUUAUUGCUUGUUGGAGGGAUCCAAUCGCGAUGUGAUCAGUUGGCCCUAAGAAAAAGGAUUAAAAGCUAUUCAUCAGGGUCGGAUGUACCAUAAAUAAAUAAUACAAGCCUAUAAUAAACAGGCUCGUCUCAGAGAAUUCCACGAGAGGGCUAGAUGUUGAAAAAGAUUCUUCCUUAACGAAAGGAUUCUAAAGGGAAAUGAAUGCCAAACUAGGAAAGUCCUUAUGUUGUAAAGAAGACCAUUUUCAGAGGAGCACUGAUCCUGAGUGAGAUUGCCAAUCCUAUAAACUCGGAUCCAAUUAAGAAACACUUCGUUUAAAGAAGAAGGAAGGACCAAGGCGAAAACCUACAAAAGGGCACUUUGAGUAAAAAAAAAAGAGAUGAAAAAAAUGAAAAAGUAAAAAUGGAGAAGCUAAGGGGAAAACCCGCAAAGGGCACCUUAGGCCAAAGGGGAUUUGAGUUGAAAACCCGAAGAGGGCGGCUCAAAUAUUGAUCAGAAUAGGGCAUGAAGUGAUCAGAUUGGGGCAUGUGGUGAUCUUGCUAUACCUGAAAGGGUAAGGCGACAUCUUGAGGCAUCGACAGAGUCUCGAAGAUCUCCUAAACACAUGUCAAACUUAGAAAAGUCUUCAGAAAGUUUGUACAGAAAAGUUCAAGCUGCGAUAUCUGGGGCACCUAACCUUCAUACUAUUUAUAUAUUGAAGAUUUUCCAAUCAAUUCCUCUUUUUAUUCUUGCUAUCCUUGAUAAUUUAUUCAUUUUGAGCUAUGCUCUCAAAUCAAUUCUAUUUUAUCUAUCGUUAUGAUCUUUUGCAAGCAUGUUGCAUUAGAAUAAUGAUUAAUGGACUAAUAAUACUUUCACAAUUGAAGUUUUGCAUAUUACUCUAGAAGUUUCUAAAUAAUAUAGGAACCAGAAAUAGGACUAUUGUUUAGAAAACACCAAGUUUAAAGGGUGAAAUAUCUAAGAAGGAAGGGUCUAAGUUAAGACUAUCCCUUCGGAUUUUGUUGUCUAAACAUUGAUUGAACAAAAUGACAAAAUAUCGUGUUGGUAACAAAGCUUCAAUGAUCACCAAGUAAUAAGAAAAGGUUUUCUCGAAGAAAAUUUUUUCAAUUGUACAUGAGCAUUUGGUAUGACACCUUGGGAAUGGGGUAAAGGACCAAAGAGCUUCACAUUCUGUAUCCUUGAAUUGUGAUAGGAGAAGAUUAAAAAAAGCCAUAUCUUUCUACCCUGGGGUUACAGCGGGAGAAAGAUGGUUCAAAUUUUGCAUCCAGUGGAUUGAACUUUGACGUUCACAAUGGGGGGCAAUCAGAUUAAGUGUUUCUUUGGAUAUGCCAGCUAAGCAAGAAGACGUUGUAACACGCCAGUGAUAAAACAAUGAGCAAUAACAACCUAAGCAUUAAGGAAUCAUUUUCAUGACAUUUUGCAUUCAUUCAAAUGUCAUUCAUACACAUAUAGUUAGGAGCAUUUGAUUCUUUAUGAUCAUGUCAUCUUAAUCACUAGGCACAAUUAGGUUCAUAAAAUAGAACAUACAGGUCAUGUUCCCUAGAGAACAGAUCAACGAAGUUAUAGAUCUUAUCUUCCUGUAUUUGGCAGCGGAGGAGAUCGAAGAUAGCAGAUCUUAUCUUCCUGUAUUUACAGUAGAGGAGAUCGAAGAUAGUAGAUCUUGUCUUCUUGUAUUUAGUAGUGGAGGAGAUCAAAGAUAGCAGAUCUUGUCUUCCUGUAUUUGGCAGCAGAGGAGAUCGAAGAUAGCAGAUCUUAUCUUCCUGUAUUUGGCAGUGGAGGAGAUCGAAGAUAGCAGAUCUUAUCUUCUUGUAUUUGGCAGCGGAGGAGAUCGAAGAUAGCAUAUCUUAUCUUCCUGUAUUUGGCAAUGGAUAUCAGAUCUUGUCUUCCUGUAUUUGGCAGCAAAGGAGAUCGAAGAUAGCAGAUCUUGCCUUCCUGUACUGACAGUGAAGCAGAUCGAAGAAACCAUAGUUUGCAAUUCAUACGAUUGAAGCCACAACGGUGAAUCUUACUUCCCAGGUGAUGCAGCGGAACAAAUUGAAGCUACGACAGUGAAUUUCACUUCCUGGACAUUGCAAUUCAAAAGAUUGAAGCCACAACGGUGAAUCUUACUUCCAGGAUGCAGUGGAACAGAUUGAAGCUACAACAGCGGAUCUUGCUUCCCUGGCAGUUAAAAAGAUUGAAGCUACAACAGCGAAUCUUACUUUCCUAGCGUUGCAACGGAACAGAUUGAAGCUACAACAGCGGAUCUUGCUCCCCUGGCAAUUAAAAAGAUUGAAGCUACAACAGCGGAUCUUACUUUCCUAGCGUUGCAGUGGAACAGAUUGAAGCUACAACAGCGAAUCUUACUUCCCUGACAUUGCAAUUAAAAAGAUUAAAGCUACAACAGCAGAUCUUACUUUCCUAGCAUUACAGUGGAACAGAUUGGAGCUACAACAGCGGAUCUUACUUCCCCGGCAGUUAAAAAGAUUGAAGCUACAACAGCGGAUCUUACUUUCUAUUGCAGUGGAACAGAUUGAAGCUACAACAGCGGAUCUUACUUCCCCGGCAGUUAAAAGAUUGAAGCUACAACAACGGAUCUUACUUUCCAAGUUGCAGUGGAACAGAUUGAAGCUACAGCAGCGGAUCUUGCUUCCCCGACAUUGUAACUUAAAAGAUUGAGGCCACAACAACGAAUCUUACCUUUUCAGGCGGUGCAGUAGAACAGAUUGAAGCUACAAUGGCGAAUCUCACUUCCCUGACAUUGCAAUCAAAAGAUUGAGGCUACAACGGCGAAUCUUAUUUCCAAGCAGUGCAGUGGAAUAGAUUAAAGUCACAACAGAGAAUCUUACUUCCCCGACAUUGUAAUUAAAGGAUUAAGGCCACAACGGAAAAUCUUAUUCCCAAGCGGUACAGCGAAACAGAUUGAAACUACAACGUGGAACCGAUUGAAGCUACAAUGGCGAAUCUUGCUUCCCUGUCAUUUUAAAUAGAUUAAAGAUGACAAACCUUAUCUCUUUGAAACUGCAGUAGAGCAAAUCAUAGCAAGUCUUAUCUCCCUAACGUUGUAGUAGAAUGGACUAAAACCCCGAAUCUUAUCCUCCUGAAGUUGCUGCGAAGAAGACUGAAGCUACGAGUCAGGUCUCCUUGAAGUGCAGUGGAAUGGAGUCAAGCAACAAGUCCUAGUGGAUUGGAAUGAGGAUACUUGAAAAAGAGAAGCGUCAAGAGAAGCCAAGACUCGAUGGGACUGGGCAAAAUUGGUCUUUCUUAGUCUUUGCUUUAUUCUCGUUACACGACAACGAGCAAAGAGGGGCAGCUGUACAGACCAAUUUUACCCAGCCCAUUUCCAGCAGACCCAAAACCCAAUACCCACCUAAACCUAACCCUAAAUUAGCCCAGUACACUUAAAACAAACCCAAACCAAUUAAACCUACCCAAACCCAAAUUGUAGGCCCAUAAUUAAACCCUAGCCCCUAACCUAGGCGCCGCACAUCCCUUCAGUCGCCUACCCUCUGCGCGCCGAUGCCACCACCUGUCCACUGCUUCGCCCCACCUACUCCGCCACCUGCUCUAUCAAGGCCUACACGCAAGCAAAGAAGGACAAAACAGUAGUAGAAAAAUAGAAAAUUGUAAAAUGGCGAUUUAAAAGCCAUUCAAAACAGAUCUAAAGGGGUAUUAUUUUUCGGUAUAAAACCGAUUGAAAAACCAUUGCAAAAAAAGAAACCGAUCUUGUUUUGUAAAAAAAGGGGCUCCUUUUUUCUUUUCAUGAACAUUAGAGGAAAUUAAACAGAAAGAGAUUUCUCAAAUGCUUUUUAGGUUUGCUUUUAUUUUCUGUCUUUUUUUGUGUUUUUCUUUUACUCCAUACCAAAUAAUAAGUAAUAAAAUAACAAAGUAAAAAAGGGGAGAACGAAAACCUUACCAGCUCCGCGCCGGAGGAGAAGGAAGGUGAGCAGUUUCGCUCCCAUUUUUUGGCUUUUGGGCUCUCCUUUCACGAGAUUCAGCCUUGAAUCCGUGUUCUAGAGGCCACCGGCUUCAAAAAGGGACUGGAAAGGCUUGAUUUUGUGCCUCCGGCCGCCGCUCGCGGUGGCGCUACGGCGGAGGUGCGCCGGAGCUUGGCCGGAUGGGGGAGAGGAAACAUUGAGAGGGUUUUUGUUGUUUUUUUUUUGGAAGAAAGGAUUAAAAUGAGAUUUUCUAAAAUCUUUUUUACUUUUAUAACAAAAUGAAAUGGCGCCGUUUUAGUAAAGGGCCGACUCGCGAUCCGACCAGCUCCAAGGCUAGGGUUCGCGUAUUUCUAUUGGAAGGGCUAACUACAACUUUAGCCCUUCCGCUUUUUAACAGUUUUACAAUCAAGUACUUGUGUUUUUUAAAAAAUUUUCCCCGUAAAUUUUUUGCGAUUACAUUUUGGUCCCUGUUGGAACGACGUCAUUUUCGGGGGAAAGGUUAAAUUACCCUUUCAGUCCCUUCAUGUUGCGCGCGUGUUCAAAUUAGUCCCUCCCCUUUAUUUUAUUUGUGAUUGAACCCCUAAUUUUGUUUUAAAAUUUUAAUUUAGUCCUUUUGUUAUUUUAUUAUUAUUAUUAUUAUUAUUAUUAUUAUUAUUAUUAUUAUUAUUAUUAUUAUCAUCAUAUUAUUAUUAUUACAUAAUAGCUUAUAUAUAUAUACAUAUAUACUUUUGCAUACCUUUUAUAGUUUUUAUAUACUUGCAUGUACAUAUACAUAUUUUUUAUAUUUUAUAACUUAAAACUAUUUCCAUGCAUGUGUAUAUUUCUUUUUUUUUAAUACUAAAUAUAUACGCAUAUGUUUUUAUUUUGUUUUAUAACUUAAAACUAUAUAUAUACAUACAUAUAUUCUUUUUAUAUAUUUUAUAGUUUUAAAAUAUACGCAUGCAUCUAUAUAUUUUUAUAAUACAUAUGUACAUAUAUUUUAUAAUUUAUAUAUAUACAUAUAUUUUUGUAAUUUUAAAAUGUACAUAUAAACACACAUACUUCUAUAAUUCAUUUAUUUAUUUAUUUAUUAAUUUAUUUCUGUGUUUCUUUCUUGUAUCUUUGUUUUACCUGAUGUUUAUUUGUAUAUUUACGUAUAUCUUUGUUGUUUUGCUUUUUAGAUUUUAUGAUUUCCACGUACAUAUAUAUACAUAUUUAUACUUUAGUAUUUUUAUAAUUUUGUUCAUGUUCAUUUUGAUUAUUUAUUCACAUCUUUAUUAUUAUUUUAAUCUAAUUCGUUCACGUAUCUGUUAUUCUGCAUGUCGUUAAUUUAUCUUUUUAUUCAUUCAUUUUAUUACUGCUGCUCGCAUUAUUUUUAUUUGCAUCAUCAUAAUUACUAUUUUUUCAUAUAUAGUUUUUACUCAAAUUUUCCAAAAAUGAAAUUUUAAAAAUAUAAGUAAUAUUUGGUAUUUUGGAUCUUCGAGAGAAUCGAGCCCUAACGUAUUGGGUUCCGACUUUCUUCGUUGAAUUUAAAUAAUCGAGAUUACUCUUUUAAAAAUGAUAAAAAGCUCGUUAUCAAGAAUUCAAUACGUUGUGUCCUAACGCAUUGGAUGUGACAUGUUGUUUUCUCGAGACGAAGAUUUUUCGAAAUAAAUGCAAUAUUCAAUGUUUAAUAUUUUGAGAAAUUGUGCCCUAACGUAUUGGGUUGCGAUUUCUUCUUUUGAUUUAAACAAUUGAAUAUUCUUUUAAACUUUAUUACACGAAUCUUUUCAAACUCAAGUUUUAAAUAAUAUCGAGAAUUAAAAAAGGAUUGUGUCCUAACUUUCUGGUCGUGAUCCUUUUUUAAAUCCAAGAUAGUUAAAUAUCUUUUAAAUAAGCAUUUUUCAUUCGCGUAUCAGGAAUUCGAGACAUUAUGUCCUAACUUACUGGAUAUGAUGCUUUCUUUCUCGAUUAACGUGGAAUGUGCUCCUUUUUCCCAAAAUUUUCAACAUUUUAAUACAAGGAUCUUAUUUUUAAAUUUUUUUUAAAGUUUUCAAGUUUUUGACACUAAGACAUUAAGUAAUCAACUAUGUACCAAUUUUGGGCGUAUCGAGGGUGCCAAUCCUUCCUCGUGCGUAACCGACUCCCCAACCCAUUUUUCUGAAUUUCGUGGACCAAACUUGCUGUUUUAAUAAAAUCAAACCGUUUAUUAAAAACAACCACUUUUCAAAGUAUCCAAUCACACCUCAUAAAAACGGAUUAGUGGCGACUCCCGUUUUAUUCGUUUUCGUCAAAACCCAAGUCGACCCCGUUUUCAUCCAAAAAAUGGUGUCAACAAAAUGCUUCUAUACUCAGCUUCAGCUGAUGAAUGUGAGACUAUAUUCAGCUUCUUUGACUCCCAGGAGAUAAGAGAAUCUUCGAGUUUGAUGUAGAAACCAACAAUAGACCUUCUAGACAUGGGGCACGUGGCUCAAUCCGAAUCGCAAUAAGUAACAAGUUGUUGUUUAUUUGAUGCAGCCAACAAAAUCCCUAGGCCAAGAUCCUGACACCCCUUUUUGGGACUUGACUUUGUCUAGCUUCAUCUUAGGCUUUCAUUUUACCUUGAUGGAUUAACUUAUUAAGAGAUAACCACGCAAUCAAAUAUACUGAUUGUCAACUACCUUUAGCGAACUUACAGAUAUCUCGCCACUACGACGUAUUCUUACUUUGAUCUAUUCAUUCCACAUUGAACUCAAUACCAACUUAUUGUAUUAUCUCGACAGCUGCCUUCUUAUAACUUAGCUUGAGCAUAUACGCUUCUAAAAGAAAGACCGUUUACCUACAUCCUUGUAUGUGACCUUCAAAUAUAAGACUUGGCGGAUAAUCAGACACUAUGUUUUUCUUGCGGAAUUGUACUUGUAAGACAGUCCUAAUGGACUUUUCCUCUUAAGAUAGUUCGAAUAGAUAUUUCUUUAAUCAGGUACCUAAUUUACUUCCCAUCCACCAAUCGUCUCCAGCAGACUAUCUCUUCACUAGAUCAUGUAAGGCAGACUUCCCUUUUAUAAGAUAGUCCUUAGUAGACUUCUCAGCACUAGAUAGACCCAACAAACAUCAUCUUCCUUUGUUAAUCCCUGGUGGACAUUCCACCUAAGAUAGUCCUUGGCGUACAUUCCACUUAAGAUAGUCUUUGGUGAACAUCAUUUUUUGGUGACCUCUUUGCCACUAAAUACUUAGAAUUAAAAUCUGAAGAACCGCCUCGCUUUCUCAUAACCAAUAUUGACUUAUUCAUUACGUUUGACGAACUCUUAAAUGGCAGAUACUUAUCCACAAAUACUCUGAAGAAAAUACUACUGUUUUUAUACAUAUCCACGCACUAAGCACUUUCACAUAUUCCUCAUGCGCUCGCAUCUUGGCUGGAUCUCUUAUCAGCACAAUUGCCCACGUUCCCAUAUGCGCCAUGACCGUUAUGACAAACAUGUUCAGCAUUUUGCUUUGAAUGUUCACAACCAUAAGAAGAGAAAGGCACAAAAGCAUCAUACUCAUCCCAAAGUAAGCGUAAUUUAGUGAAAUACACAAACAUUGAAGCGGUUCCUUGAAUGUGAGAAAUGGUCUCACGAUGCAAAAAAUAGACUCGAAAUGCAUCAACUUUAUUAAAACGUUCAUCAAGAUCUUUCCAAACAAACGUUGCACUGGAAGAAAAAACUAUCCUUACUGAAAGUUCUCUGCUAACUGUAUUCAAGAUCCAUGAUACAAUUAUGACAUUACAGUGUUCCCAUUAAGAAUGCAAAUCCUCUUGUUUUUUUCCAAUAAUGCAAUUCGCAUAAAUCUGCUCCAGAUAUUAUAGUUUUCAAGCCCAAAAAUGGAUUCAUAAAAAAGGAAAAAUGAUUUCAUGAAAAAUAACAUCACGGUUGACAAAGAAAGUUUUUGUGUCAAGGUUGAAUAGAAGAUAACCUUUUUAAACAUUUGAGUUCCCCAUGAAAACAAACGACAUUGCUUUGGGAGAAAACUUAUUACACUCGCCCCAAAUUUUGCUAGGUAUAUUGGACAAAAAUUUUAAGGAUCGGGCAGCCUUAAGCAAGUAUUGAUGCUUACGCUCGGCCACACCAUUUUGUUGUGAAGUGUGAGUGCAUGAAAUUUGGUGUACAAUUCCCAAGGUAGAAAAAUAUGCAUUACAUUCAUUAUUAAAGAAUUCAUAUCCAUUGUCAUUACAAAUGAUUUUGACAAUGGCUAAAAACUGGUUUUUUUACCAUAGUAACAAACUGCUUGAGUUGUAAAUUAACAUCACUCUUUAAUUGUAAAAUAUACACCUAAGUCAUGCUUGAGUAAUCAUCAACAGUGGUUAAGAAGUAUCUAUGUCCACUAUGUGUAGAAACUCUAUAAGGACCCUACAAGUCAAUAUGGAUAAGAGAAAAAAUUAUUUCAACCUGAGUUUUACUUAUUGAAAAAGAUAACCUACUUUGUUUUGCAAGAGGACAUACAGGGCACUGCUGUAUGGGACAAAUAUUCGAGAAUGUACAUGGUAUGUAAGACAUCUUAUUCAACUUUGAAAGGGAAGCAUGACCAAGAUGUGCAUCCCAAAGUAGAGAGGAUUCUAUAGUUGCAGUUGUGAGGAAUGAGGUGUCAGCUGUGUUUGAAGCUGGUGAAGUUUCAUUUUUAGAAGAGUAAAGGACGUAGAGACCACCUUGUUCUUUACCAAUCCCCUUUUAUCUUUCCUCUCAAAAGAUCCUGAAAAAGAUUAAAAUGGGGAUAAAAUGAAACAAAACAAUGUAGUUCUUUAGUAAGUUUGGAAAUUGAAAUUAGAUUGUAGCAAAAAAUUGGAAUAUAAAUCACAAGUGUUAGUUUAGCAUCAAGAUAAAUAGCACAAGAUCCUAUGUGAGUAAUCAGAGUGGAUGAACCAGUAGGUAAUCAAACACAAGAUGAAGAUGAUGCACAAGAAAUAGGAGAUUCCAAACACUAGAAGUUAGAUAGCAUAUGGUUGGUAGUACCAGUGUCCAAGAUCCACUCACAAGGUGAUCUCAUAUCUGCCAAACUUGCAACAGCUUCAACUGAAGAGUCUUUAUUCAAUAGAAACAGAAUAUGUUGAUAUUGUGCUUGUGUAAAAAAGGGUGCUUGAGAGGUAUUAAACAUACCAAUGUUACCAGCCGUAUCAAAAGAAUUGGUCACCUCAACAUUAUUCACCACAGAUCUAGUUGAAGUCUUUCGUGAACUUAAAACCAGGGGCUAUCCAAUUAACCUAUAAUAAUUCUCCAUCUUAUGCCCCUUGAUUUUACAAUGAUCACAUACGCCAUUGAUCCUCUUAUUCUGGGCCACAUUAGUAGAAUGCACGAAAGUUGGAUCAGGAAUGACAGACCCUGAAGCAUGUUGCCUUUGAGACUCUUCCUGCACCAACAUAGAGUAUGCUUGAUUUAUAGAAGGCAAUGGAUUCAUUAGUAAAAUUUGACUACGAACUGCAUUAUAGGUUUCAUUUAAGCCUAUCAAGAACUAAAACAGACACUGUUGAGUAACAUGUUUAGCAUUUUGCUUUGAUUAUUCACAACCAUAAGAAGAGAAAGGUACAAGAGCAUCAUCCUCAUCCCAAAGCAAGCGUAAUUUAGUGAAAUACAUAGACAUUGAAGCGGUUCCUUGAAUGUGAGAAGUGGUCUCACAAUGCACAAAGUAGACUCGCUAUGCAUCAACUUUAUUAAAACGCUCAUUAAGAUCUUUCCAAACAAAUGCUACACUGGAAGCAAAAACUAUCCUUGCUGAAAGUUCUUUGCUAACCGUGUACAGCCCAAAUUUACCCGAGGCCCAAACCCCAAACAGCAGACCCAAUAACCCAAAUUACAAACAAGCCCAAACCCAAAAACAAAAAAAAAGAAACAAAGAAACCCUAGCCCCUAAUCCUAGCCUCUGCCACCGCCCUAGCCUCUACCAUGCCAGCACCGCCACUGCCGCCGCCCUCCUAGAACCGUCCACUUGCACCACUUGCGCCUGCAACAGUCAGAGAAGAAAAGAUAGCAAACAAUUGAAACAUGCAACAAAUAAUAGGGAUAACAUGUAACAAUAGCUAUAAAAGCCGAAUCUCAUAACUAAACAGGGGAUUUUUGCUUUUUGAAAAUAGACGUGAAAUCAAAAAUAAAAACAGACAUUCGAGAAUAGAAGCAACACUUUAAGGUUUUAUUCUUUUUGCUAUUUCAUUUUUUUUUUCAUUUCGAAAUAUAAGACAAAAAAGAGAGUUUUUUACCUUUUUUAGUCGUCAUCGGAGUGUUGGAGGCGGAGGGCUGCAUCGAAAAAAUAGAAGAAAUUUUUUGGACUCCCCGCCGCCAUGCACGGCGGCGCCGACACCGACGAUCGGUGACUGGCGACCGGCACGGUAGUCAAUAACCGGACCUGAGGCUGGUGCCCGGAGAAAGAGGGGAGUUAAGAGUGUUUUUGAGAAUUUUUUGCCAAGAAGAGAGAAAAAUGAAUAUUUUUUUUUGGAAAAAAUUUGGUUUAAAUAGGGGAGCAAAACAACGCCGUUUUGCUCAGCCCUUUAAAAUGCCAAAACGGCGUCGUUUCGAGGCCGGCCCGAGACCCGACUCGCUCCAGGUCAAGAUCCGCGUGUUUUUAUUUAGAAGGGCUAAUUGCACCUUUAGCCCUUCCGCUUUUUAAUGGUUUUAUAAUCAAGUAUUUUUAUUGCUUUUAAUUUUACCCCGGAUUGUUUUUGAGUUUUCAAUUUAGUCCCUACUGGAACUCUGCGUUUUGCAAGAAUGGGAUUAUUUCCCAUUUGCCCCUUCCUAGUUUUCCACGCAUUCAAGAUGAUCCUUUCUUCUUUAUUUGUUUUCAAUUUCGCCCCCAAAUGUUGCUUUUUUUUAUUUUAGUCCUUUUCUAUCUUUAUUUUAUUAUUAAACCAAUUAAGUUAGUACUAUUAUUAUUAUUUAAUAUUAUUGUUAUUAUCAUCAUAUUUCCAUUUAUACUUAUUUAUGUAAAUUUUAAAUACAUUUAUCUUAUUAUAGUAUUAUUAUUUUAAUUACUUACAUAUAUAUAUACACAUACAUGUGAUUUUAUAAUAUAUAUAUAUGUAUAUUUUUAUAAUCUAUCUAUAUAUUCAUAUACGUACCUAUAUAUAUUUCAUAAUUUUUAUACACAUCUAUAUACAUAUUUUCUAAAUUUUUAUAAUUAUAUAUAUUUAUACGUACACAUUUCUUAAUUUUUUUUAUAAAUAUAUAAAGUAUACAUAUAUACAUACUUUUAUAUAUACAUGUUUUUACAUAUUUCAUAAUUUUAUAUAUACACAUAUAUGUAUAAUUUAACUCAUAUUUACGUAUAUACAUACUUACAUAUAUUUUCACGUAAAAUAGCUUUAAAAUAUGUGUACAUACAUAUGCUCUUCAUAUUUUCAUAAUUUUGUACAUAUAUAUAUCUUUUAUAUUUUCAUAAUUUUUUGGAUCAUUUCGUUCAUUUAUUUAUUUGUUACAUGACUGCUAUUAUUAUUUAUGUUUUAGUUUUUAUCUGUUUAUUAUUUGUCAUUGUGCCUGCAUGAUUGAAUUUUUUUAUAUAUUGGUCUUAUUUAUUUAUUUGUUCGUUUUUGCUCAUAUUAUUUACAUUAUCAUCAUUAUCAUUAUUUUGCUUCCAUUUUUACUCGGAUUUAUCAAAAAACGAAAAAUUUCAAAAUAAAAGUAAUACUCAGUAUUUGGGAUCUUCGAGACAAUCGAGCCCUAACGUAUUGGGUUCAGAUUUUCUUCAUUGAACCUAAAUAAUCGAGAUUACUCUUUUAAAAAAAAAUAAAAAGCUCAUUAUCGGGAAUUCAAUACGUUGUGUCCUAACGCAUUGGAUAUGACACGUUGUUUUCCCGAGAUGAGGAUUUUUUCUAAAAAAUAAUAAAGGCAAUAUUCAAUGUUUAGAAUUUUGAGAAAUUGUACCCUAACGUAUUGGGUUGCGAUUUCUUCAUCUGACUUAAACAAUUGAAUAUCCUUUUAAACUUUAUUACACGAGUCUUUUUUUCAAACCUAAUCUUUAAACAACCUCGGAAAUUAAGAAAAGAUCAAGUCCUAACUUACUGGGCCUGAUCCCUUUUUUCUGAAAUUCGAGAUAACUAAAUAUCUUUUAAAUAAGCAAAUUUUUAGCAUUCAUUCGCGUAUCGAGAAUUCGAGACAUUGUGUCCUAACUUACUGGAUAUGAUUUUCUUUCUCGAUUAACGUGAAAUAUGCCCUUUUCCCAAAAAUUUUCAACAUUUUAAUACAAGGGUCGUAUUUUUAAAAUUCUUCAAAGUUUUCAAUUUUCGACAUUAAGACAUUAACUAAUCAACUAGGUACCAAUUUUUGGGCGUUACGAGGGUGCUAAUCCUUCCUAGCACGUAACUGACUCCCGAACCCGUUUUUCUGAAUUUCGUGGACCAAAAUCGUUGCUUUAAUAAAAUUAGAUCGUUUAUUAAAAACAACCACUUUUCAAGGUGAUCCGAUCACACCUUAUCAAAAAGGAUUGGCGGUGACUCCCGUUUUCGUUUUCAAAAUUCAAGUCGGCCCCGUUUUAUCAAAAAAAUGGUGUCAUCAAACCGUAUUCAAGAUCCAUGACAAAACUGCGACAUUACAACAUUCCCAUUGAGAAUGCAAAUCCUCUAUUACAGAUUCUUUAGAGUUGGUCCCAUCUGCAAAACCUAACUUGUUUUUUUCCAAUAAUGCAAUUCGCAUAGAUCUGCUCCAGAUAUUAUAGUUUUGAAGCCCAAAAAGUUAAUGAGAAACGAGUAACGUAUCUAGAGUAUCAGUAAGAGUAUCAGAAGGAUGCAAGUACAGGGGAUGAUUGAAAUCAACUAAAAGAUUAAAGGAAUUCACCAUUGCAACAAAUCGCGAACAAAAAAACAAAGUAGUGACAAACCAACCACAAUCAAUAGAGAAUUUCAAUAGCAGUUAAGAAUUUAUGUGAAAAGGUGAAAGAUGAAUAAAUUUGAUAUCAAUUUUUUAUUAGUGAAAACUGUAUAUAAAAUUAGAACUGAUAGUAUUUAUAUACUAUCAACUCCUAACUAACUAACCGAUGAUUAUCUCUUCAACAAUAUCAUAUUCAAACUUAAAUUUCUUGAAUAAGGUAUAUAUUUUAGUAUUUAUAGUUCUCUUUAUAUAUUUUUAAAAAAAAAUUGAUUUUAAGUUUUUUUAAAGUAAAUUUAUGUAUUAUUUUAUACGAGGUGCCACGUUAUGGCAAAAAAUUUCAAAUUUUCUCUUGGUAUUAUCAAAUACCCUCAUUCGUUUUACGGUUUAAGAUCAAUCUUGUAGGAGUCGAGAAUGGAUUCAAAUAAAAUUUUUCCAAUAAUAAUAACUCCAAUAUUCAAAUUUAGUACAGAAUUCAACCACUAUUGGUAGUUCCAAAAUUUUAUCCUCAAUAAUUGUUGGUAUUGAAACGUGUUACACAAUGAGUUUUGUCGAUAUAUUAUUUGUUGAUGACCUUUCUCGAUUAUGAUACUGACAUGUACCUACGAAAAACAGUCCAUGCUUGACCUUAUUUACAUGUGACCAAGCAUAAUUUGACACAAAGCUUCUAUUGUGGCACCUUUUCGGAGGAUCAUAAUAAACAGAAGUAUAAAUAUAGACUUCUAACUACUUUUUUUCAUCAACUUAAUGCAUUGAUAGCAGUACUGUUUAUGUGUGAAGUUAGAUUCAUGGUAUUAAUGCAUUGAUAGCCGUACUGUUUAUGUGUGAAGUGCUAUAUUUUUAUUAAAUAUUAAAAAUAUUUUAUUUAAACUUAAAUUAUAUUUAUUUUCAUAUUAAAUUAUACAUGUACUAUAAUUUAAAUUAUUCAAUUUUGAAUUACACUUUUUUAUUAAUACAAAAGUAAGACUUACCACUAUAAAAUAUGUAUUGUUAAUUAGUAGUUAAAAAUUCACAUUAAAAUUCAAAUUUCAUUAUCAUUUACACAUUCAAAUCUCCAUCAAGAUUUGAAGGUUCUUUCUUUUAAUUAUUAUAGUAUCAAGGGGAAUUUAAAGGGGUAGGUGGUGCCUUGGUUCAAUUAUGUUUUAGCUCCUCAAAUGAAAAAAAUUAUGUUAAGUCACUCUUAAAAUAAUGUAAUCAUAAAAUUAUAUUUGAUAAAAUUAUAUUUAGACCUCUUAAAAAUUUAUAAUUUAAUUCUGACCCCUUUUUCGUAACCAUUUCAAAAUUAUUACUUUGUAUUAUUUACAUUAAAUAAAAAUAUAUUCUUUUAUAAAUUAUAAAUAUAAUUAGGUAAAAUCACAUAACUCCCAACCCCUAACUUCGUCUUUAUUUCGACAGCGACUUCCAUCUUUCAAUUUCACUAAUUAAAUUUGUUUAUCUAUUGGGAGUUUUCUUCAACCUUUUCUCUCAUUGGUUUUUAUUAUAUAUAAAGGAUACUAAAUCAUCAUGUGUGAUCUUGUGGUUAAUCUAGCUAUCUUUAUUUCAAAAUGAAUCCUCUUAUUCUAUUGAAGAAUGCUGCUCAAAAUGGAGAUGUUAACAAGUUAUAUCAAGCGAUAGCUAAAGAGUCUAAUGUUUUGGAGCAUUAUGAUCAAACACCUUUCGCUGAAACUCCAUUACAUAUAGCCACAAGUCGAGGGCAUAUCAAUUUUGCUUUAGAGAUAAUGAGGCUUAAACCAUCUCUUUCCAAGAAGCUAGAUGAACAAGUGUGGAGUCCCAUGCACGUUGCGUUGCAACAUAACCAGACCUCGAUGGUGUAUCGGCUCAUAGAGACGGAGCCAACCCUUGUUGGUGUCAAAGGAAGGGAGGGUUUCACUCCACUGCACUACGUUGUUCAAAACGACGAAGUUAAUCUCUUGCGUGAGUUUCUAGCGGUAAGCCCUCAUUCCAUCAUGGAUACCACGAAUAAAGGUAAAACGGCUUUGCAUAUCGCUGUGGAGAAGGGAAAUACCAGAGCUUUAGAGACUUUGUUGUCGUUUCUUCGAAGGUCAUGGUAUAGGGAGGCAUUAUAUUGGGAAGAGAAAUUAGUUAACUGGAAGGAUGAAAAAGGUGAAACAGUACUGCAUGUAGCAGUGAAGAUGAACGAUAUCGAGGUGAUUUUUGAUGAACUCAUUUCAGCUAUGCAUGACAAGAUUAUAUUGCAUUGCAUUACAAUUAGAUUAUAUAACCGGCCAAAUUUUAUAGGAAGUCCCUAUACUUUACAUUCUUCUUUGUAGCUUUAGUAAAUUUACUACAUUUGAUCAAUUCUAGUUUUGGUUUAGACCGGGUUGUCUUCGGUUUGUGAUGAUGAUUUUGGGUUUUAAUUUUAGGUUUAAUUAAUUUUUCAUUUUUAAAAAUAAAAAUUUUGUGCCGAUGGGGCAAGAAAAUUUGCCAUGCCUGUCGGGUUAACGAUUUGAUUUUAAGUUUUUCGGGGCAAUAUAUUAUUGGUAUUUAAAUUUAGUUUUAUUGUUAAAUUUGAUAAUUGAAAUUUUUUUUUGUUUUAAUUUAGUACCUAAGUUUGAUUUUAAUUUUUUAUUAGAUCAAAUGGCGUCAUGUACCCCAAUGAAUGUUUGACAUGUGUACUUUAAUCAAAAAUGUACUUAAUUGAAAAAAAAGAAGCUCAAGUACCAAAUUAAAAAUUGAAGCUAAACUCCAAUUCUUACUUUUUUUUUCUUUUUUUACCAUUGUCUAAGAACAAAAAUCACAAAUUUUAAGUCAUUUUUCUGAACUAUCCAACUAUUUUCUUUUGAGUCAAGUUUAAAAUUUUAAUAUUCAAAAUGUCGAAUGAAAUUAAAAUUGAUAAAGUUGGAAUGCAGGACCAAAUCCACUAGAACACAUAGUACAUGAACAAUUAGGAUAAUUUAACCAUGAUAAUCCUUUCUUCAAUGGUAAUAAGAUGAUCAUUGCAAAAUCCUACCUUGCAGGUUGUGAAAUCGUUACUAAACUCUAAAAUCAACGUGAAUGCAAAAAGCCUAGAAGGUAAAACAGUUCUGGACAUUCGCGCUGGCAAUAAUCCAGACAUGGAAAAAGUUUUAAUCCAAGCAGGAGCUAAAAAUAGUGAUGUAAUGAAGGCCAACAACAUUAAUGCUAUUCCUUCCUGUUGGGAAGAAACCGAACAACCGAAACAAAGCGAAAGCACAACCGGUGUUCUUUCUCUCCUUAUAACUCCUGUAAAAAAUUAUGGCAAGCACAAUAGCACAAGAUAUGUUCUCUAGCAACCUUAAUCAACCACAAAUCAACUAAUGCAACCACAACAAAAAUAAAUAGAGACACCAAUAUUUUUACGUGGAAAACCCCUCUAAAUUAAGGGUAAAAACCACGGGACUUUAGAGUCCGAUAAAGAGCUCCACUAUCAUCAAAUGUUCAACUACAAGAUCACAAUAUCAAGCCUACAACAAGCAUUCAACUCCGACAAGGCUAACAACAUGUAAUCUUUAGCAAAAGAGAGAAAAAUGAGAGAACAUCACCAAAAACGUAGCUGCUGAAAAAUGGGUAUUUCCGACGCUACAAGACUCGGAUGAAAAAUCCGACCGUACAAAGUCAAGAACACCUUAUCACCUAGCUGCUGUCCAAAAAUCAGCUCAAUCGAACCACGGAUGGACCUUCGAUCGAAGAGUUGAUCACUGUUGCACCAAGCUUGAAAAUCUGAUUUUUUUCUAUUCUCUUUCUCUCUAUUUUUUCUUUAGCUCUCUGCAGAAAAAUUUCUGCCCAACACCCGUUAAUAAGCCAAAAAAUUGGCUUUUGACAAAACCAAAAGAAAAAGGAAGGCAAAACAUUUGUGCCAGAAAAUAUGGGUUUCCCACAUAGUGGGACCCAUACCCAACAAAUCUCCCCCUCCAACUAUGUGGGGAAUGCCUCCAUACCGGAGGUCAAACAACAUGCUUCAAAUUUUCCUCUUGGUAAGGCCUUCGUCAACAUAUCAGCACCAUUAUCAUUAGUGUGUAUCUUCUCAAGCUCUAACAGCUUAGCUUCAAGAACAUCUCGUAUCCAAUGGUACCUCACAUCAAUAUGCUUAGAUCUAGCAUGAAAAGUUGAGUUCUUACCAAGAUGAAUAGCACUCUGGCUAUCACAGUACAGGACAUACUUCUCCUGAGUAAAACCAAGCUCAUGCACAAACUUCUUCAUCCAAAGCAUCUCCUUACACGCUUCGGUUGCUGCAAUGAACUCUGAUUCGGUGGUGGACAAUGCAACACACUUUUGCAGUCUCGAUUGCCAUGCCACAGCUCCCCCUGCAUAAGUGAUUAAGUAACCUGAAGUAGAUCUCCUCGAGUCAAUGUCUCCGGCCAUGUCUGAAUCUGUAUACCCAACAAGAACAGGUUUCUCAUUGCCGAAACAAAGUUUCAUGUUGGAAGUGCCACGAAGAUAUCUCAUAAUCCACUUCACUGCAUUCCAAUGCUCUCUGCCUGGAUUAGAAAGAAACCGACUAACUGUACCAACGGCAUAAGCCAAGUCUGGUCUCGUGCAAACCAUUGCGUACAUCAAACUACCCACGGCUGAAGAGUAAGGAAUUUUCUGCAUCUCUUCCUUCUCCUUUUCUGUGGAAGGACUAUGCUUAACACUCAAUCUAAAGUGCAUAGCAAAGGGAGUAUUCACCGCUUUAGCUUUGUCCAUACUAAACCUUUGAAGUACUUUCUCAAUGUACCUCUCUUGUGAUAACCAUAAUUUCUUGGCCUUUCUAUCACGUGUCAGUCUUAUGCCAAGAAUUUGCUUUGCUGGCCCCAAAUCCUUCAUUGCAAAGGAUUUACUCAACUCUUGUUUCAACUUCUCAAUUCUAGAAGCAUUCUGACCAACAAUAAGCAUAUCAUCAACAUAGAGCAAAAGAAUAAUAAAAUCAUCACCAGAGAAUCUCUUAACAAACACACAAUGAUCAGAAGUAGUCUUCUUGUAGCCUUGCUCCCCCAUAACAGACUCAAACUUCUUGUACCAUUGCCUUGGAGCUUGCUUCAAACCAUACAAGCUCUUCUUCAAUCUGCACACAUAGUCCUCUUUCCCUUGUGCAACAAAACCCUCUGGCUGCUCCAUGUAAAGCUCUUCUUCCAAGUCACCAUGAAGAAAAGCAGUUUUCACAUCCAUUUGUUCAACCUCUAGGUCAUAACAAGCUGCCAAACUCAGUAUAGUUCUGAUAGAGGACAUCUUCACAACCGGAGAAAAUAUUUCUUCAAAAUCAACCCCCUUUUUCUGAGUAUAACCCUUGACGACCAAUCUAGCUUUGUAUCGUGGAGAUGAAGACUUCUCUUCUUGCUUCAACCUGUAAACCCACCGAUUCUUCAAAGCUCUUUUGCCCUUAGGCAGUUUCACCAAUUCAAAAGUAUGGUUCUCAUGCAAGGAUUGAAGUUCGUCUUUCAUCGCUUCAACCCACUGAUCUUUGCAUUCACUCUCCAUAGCCUCUUCAUAACAUUCAGGUUCUCCCCCGUCAGUCAAAAGAACAUAUUCAUCAGGAGAAUACCUGACAGAAGAUCGUCGAUCUCUGGAAGACCUUCGAAGUGGAACUGCUGGUGGAGCUAUAGGUGCUUGUUGUUGAUCAUUCACAACAUCAUCCAUGGGAGUAUCAAAGUCACCUAUAGUCUGAUGGUCACCACUAACAUCACCAUGCACAUCAUCCUGGAUAGGAUCUGGUGAAGAGUCUAAGGGAACCGGAUUCACAUCGAUCAAGUCACCACUACCUUGUGAAUCCACUUUCUCCGUUUUAUCAAUGUCAUCAAUGGUCUGAUCCUCAAUGAAGACAACAUCUCUGCUUCUCACGAGUUUCUUCUGAACUGGAUCAUAGAGUCUAUAACCAAACUCACCAUCUAGACCAUAACCAAUAAAAAUGCAUUGUCGAGCCUUGGCAUCCAACUUGGAUCUUUCAUCCUUUGGAACAUGAACAAAUGCUUUACAACCGAACACACGUAGGUGAUCAUAUGACACGUCUUUACCAAACCAAACUCUAUCUGGCACAUCACCUUUCAAAGGAACACUAGGAGACAGAUUUAUCACAUGUGUCACUGUAUUCAAAGCUUCAGCCCAAAACGAUCUUGGUAACUUUGCAUCUGACAACAAACAUCUGACUCUCUCAAUCAAUGUUCGGUUCAUUCUUUCAGCUAACCCAUUUAACUGUGGAGUCUUUGGUGGUGUUCUCUGAUGUCUGAUUCCCUGUCGCAGACAAUACUCAUGAAACGACCCUGUGUACUCGCCACCAUUAUCAGUACGAAUGCACUUCAACUUCUUCCCAGUUUCCCUUUCAACUGAUGCUUGAAACUGUUUAAACACCUCAAAGACUUGAUUUUUAGACUUUAAAGUGUAAACCCAUAGCUUUCUUGAACAAUCAUCAAUGAAAGUCACAAAGUAAAGUGCACCACCAUGUGAUCUUACUUUUAUCGGACCACAAACAUCUGAAUGGACCAACUCUAGCAACUCUGAUUUCCUAUGAGGAGGAUGGCUUCUAAAUGAAACUCUUUUCUGCUUUCCUGCUAGACAAUGAGCACAAUUCUUCAGUGUAGCAUUCUUUAAACCCGAAAGUUGAUUCUUCUUCGCUAAACAGCUAAGCCCCUUCUCACUCAUGUGACUGAGUCGUUUAUGCCACAACUCAGUUGAGUUGUCAUUCAGUGUCACAUUCACCGUCUCUCGAGAAGUCAAAGCUUGCAUCAAGUACAAAUUUGAGCUCUUCUUUCCUCGAGCCACAACCAAGGAGCCUUUAGUCAGCUUCCACUGCCCUUCACUGAAGGUGUUACAGAAUCCCUCAUCAUCAAGUUUUCCUGCAGAAAUCAAAUUCAAACGGACAUCCGGUGCAUGUCUGACAUCCUUGAGAGUUAACUUUGUUCCAUUGUUACUUACCAAGCUAACAUCUCCCAUACCAAUAACCGAAACCAAACCAUCAUUACCCAUCUUCAAUACCCCAAAAUCACCAGGAGUAUAAGAUGUGAAGAAUUCCUUCCUCGACGUGACAUGAAGUGAUGCACCAGUAUCAAUCACCCAACUAGUCUCGUCGCAUGCUAGGUUGACCAAAUUCUCAUCACAAAUAACUAACAGAUCUUCACGAGUAACAGUAGCAACACGCUCGAAUUUUUCAUCGUCAUUCCGAUCGUGUUUAUCACCACCACAUUUGUUCUCUUUCUUCCACUUGAAGCAAUAUUUCUUGAUAUGACCUUUCUUACCACAAUGAUGACACUCAAGAUUCUUGUAUCUCGAUCUUGACUUGCUUCGGCUUUUAUCUCUACCCUUUCCAUCUUUGUCUCUGUUUCUCCCCCUGUUCUCGAUAACCAACACCUCGGACUGUGAUGUAGAACCCUGAGAUCUUCUUCUAACCUCUUCAUUCAACACACCACUCUUAGCCAAAUCCAAAGUAAUAAUACCCUGUGGGGCAGAAUUAAUGAGUGAGACUCGAAAGGUCUCCCAAGAGUCUGGUAGAGUAGCAAGCAACCAAAGUCCUAAAAUCUCGUCAUCAAAUUUGACACCCAUACCAAGCAACUGAUUCAUCAUACUCUGAAAUUCACUAACAUGGUCAGCUAUAGACAUUCCUUCUUUAUAUUUCAGCGCCAUCAUUUUCUUCAGCAAAAAUAACUUGUUAUUGCCCGACCUCGAAGCAUACAAGCUUUCAAGCUUCUCCCACAAUGUUCGAGCAUGUGUCUCCUGAUCAAUGUGAUUGUAAACAUUUUCUUCAACAAAUUGCCGAAUAAAGCCACACACUUGUUGAUGCUCAAAUUCCCAUUCUUCAUCACUUUUCGAAUCGGGUUUUUGAGUAGUAAAGACCGGAAGAUGCAAAGCCUUCACAAACAACAAGUCCUUCAUUUUAUUCCGCCAAAGUUGAUAAUUUGUGCCAUUCAACAUAAUCAUCUUGCUCGUAUUAAUUUCCAUAAUUAUCUGACACAAUAACCAAGCUCUGGUACCAGUUUGUUGGGAAGAAACCGAACAACCGAAACAAAGCGAAAGCACAACCGGUGUUCUUUCUCUCCUUAUAACUCCUGUAAAAAAUUAUGGCAAGCACAAUAGCACAAGAUAUGUUCUCUAGCAACCUUAAUCAACCACAAAUCAACUAAUGCAACCACAACAAAAAUAAAUAGAGACACCAAUAUUUUUACGUGGAAAACCCCUCUAAAUUAAGGGUAAAAACCACGGGACUUUAGAGUCCGAUAAAGAGCUCCACUAUCAUCAAAUGUUCAACUACAAGAUCACAAUAUCAAGCCUACAACAAGCAUUCAACUCUGACAAGGCUAACAACAUGUAAUCUUUAGCAAAAGAGAGAAAAAUGAGAGAACAUCACCAAAAACGUAGCUGCUGAAAAAUGGGUAUUUCCGACGCUACAAGACUCGGAUGAAAAAUCCGACCGUACAAAGUCAAGAACACCUUAUCACCUAGCUGCUGUCCAAAAAUCAGCUCAAUCGAACCACGGAUGGACCUUCGAUCGAAGAGUUGAUCACUGCUGCACCAAGCUUGAAAAUCUGAUUUUUUUCUAUUCUCUUUCUCUCUAUUUUUUCUUUAGCUCUCUGCAGAAAAAUUUCUGCCCAACACCCGUUAAUAAGCCAAAAAAUUGGCUUUUGACAAAACCAAAAGAAAAAGGAAGGCAAAACAUUUGUGCCAGAAAAUAUGGGUUUCCCACAUAGUGGGACCCAUACCCAACACUUCCAUGAAGCAAGUAAGUUUUGAACCAAAGCCUACACUUCUUGAUAAUGUCAUACGGUUCCUAAAAGGCCAGAAAACAAAUAUCUCGACCGAAACAUGUGAUGCUUUGCUAGUGGUGGCUGCACUGGUUGCAACAGCCACUUUCCAAGCGGUUCUCAGCCCACCGGGAGGGCUUCGACAGGCUGACAGUAGCGACAGUGAUUCACUUCCGUUCAGCAAGGUGGGGAAGGUGGUGAUGAAAGAAUGGUUAUACAUAACUUUCUUGAUUCUUAAUAGUACUUCAUUUUGGGUGACAAUCAUAACCAUUUAUCUUUUACUCCCAAACGGGUUUUAUGGUCAGCUAUCGACUCUACCCUUAAUUCUCUUCUCGAUUACCUACUUGUUCUGCUCAACAAUCAUAUCACCAAGCCUCAUUUGUGCCAUUGUUAAUUUCAGCUUUUUCAUAUGUUGUGUGGUGUUACUAAGUUCAGGCCUUGUGGUUAUAUCCAAUCAUUCCUUGUUGUCCUACAUCAAGAAAUUAUGGUCCCGUUGCAGAUAGGAUGAUUUACUUGUGGAUUUGGAGUUUGUUGCAUGGAACCUCCUCAUCACUUGUUUGUGUUGUGUUACUCUGUCUAUGACAUAACGUUGAAACUCUAUUGCUAAUUGUUGAAUAAUGUAUUGUAAUUAAAGUUUGUAUUCAAUCAGUGAGAUGGGAAUGGAUGAAUUUAAGAAAUUUAGUAGCCAUUUAAUUAGGAUG
rnacentral:lncRNA from 1 species